NNNNNNNNNNNNNNNNNNNNNNNNNNNNNNNNNNNNNNNNNNNNNNNNNNNNNNNNNNNNNNNNNNNNNNNNNNNNNNNNNNNNNNNNNNNNNNNNNNNNNNNNNNNNNNNNNNNNNNNNNNNNNNNNNNNNNNNNNNNNNNNNNNNNNNNNNNNNNNNNNNNNNNNNNNNNNNNNNNNNNNNNNNNNNNNNNNNNNNNNNNNNNNNNNNNNNNNNNNNNNNNNNNNNNNNNNNNNNNNNNNNNNNNNNNNNNNNNNNNNNNNNNNNNNNNNNNNNNNNNNNNNNNNNNNNNNNNNNNNNNNNNNNNNNNNNNNNNNNNNNNNNNNNNNNNNNNNNNNNNNNNNNNNNNNNNNNNNNNNNNNNNNNNNNNNNNNNNNNNNNNNNNNNNNNNNNNNNNNNNNNNNNNNNNNNNNNNNNNNNNNNNNNNNNNNNNNNNNNNNNNNNNNNNNNNNNNNNNNNNNNNNNNNNNNNNNNNNNNNNNNNNNNNNNNNNNNNNNNNNNNNNNNNNNNNNNNNNNNNNNNNNNNNNNNNNNNNNNNNNNNNNNNNNNNNNNNNNNNNNNNNNNNNNNNNNNNNNNNNNNNNNNNNNNNNNNNNNNNNNNNNNNNNNNNNNNNNNNNNNNNNNNNNNNNNNNNNNNNNNNNNNNNNNNNNNNNNNNNNNNNNNNNNNNNNNNNNNNNNNNNNNNNNNNNNNNNNNNNNNNNNNNNNNNNNNNNNNNNNNNNNNNNNNNNNNNNNNNNNNNNNNNNNNNNNNNNNNNNNNNNNNNNNNNNNNNNNNNNNNNNNNNNNNNNNNNNNNNNNNNNNNNNNNNNNNNNNNNNNNNNNNNNNNNNNNNNNNNNNNNNNNNNNNNNNNNNNNNNNNNNNNNNNNNNNNNNNNNNNNNNNNNNNNNNNNNNNNNNNNNNNNNNNNNNNNNNNNNNNNNNNNNNNNNNNNNNNNNNNNNNNNNNNNNNNNNNNNNNNNNNAUUCCCUUUUCCUAAUACAGACAUGCUCGUGUUAUUCCCAAGUUUCACUGAAUCUCGAAAGGUUCCAUCAAAAUCUAAAAAAUAAUCCUUUUUUCCACACAUAUGAUUGCUGCAUCCAGAGUCAAGAAACCACGUAUCUUCUCGACUAGUUUUGUUUAGAUCCACAUAUGCCAUCAACAACAUCUCCUCUUGAUUCUCUGCGUAGUAAGCCCCUGUCUCUCGGUGUGGACAUUCCCAUGCAAAAUGUCCUAGCUUGUGACAAUUAUAGCACUCCACAGUAGCCUUAUCAAAAGAUCUUCUAUUCCGUCCUCUUCCUCUUCCUCUAUAAUUUCCAUGACCACGACCUCUACUUCCGGAGUGAUCUCCAUGAGUAACUUUCAAAGCCUGUUCUUCUUCUAACACAUGAGAGGUCAUGCGUUGUUCAUGGACAAGAAGACUACUCUGCAACUCAUCUAUGGUUAAAGUGUCUAAAUCUUUAGACUCUUCAAUGGAACAAACAACAUAAUCAAAUUUGGAAGUCAUAGAUCGUAAAAUCUUUUCAACAACAGCAGUAUUUCCUUUAUCCUCACCAUUGACCUUCAUUUUGUUGGCAAUGGCAAGAGUGCGAGAGAAAUAUUCAUUCACAGUUUCUCCCGACUUCAUGUGAAGAAUUUCGAAUUCCUUCAUCAAAGCUUGCAAAUUUCCACGCUUCACUCGUGUGGUGCCCUGAAAUUUCUGCUUCAUAGAAUCCCAAAUAUCCUUCGUAGUCUUUUUGUUUAGAAUUGUCUCUAGGAUAGAACGAUCUAAUGCCUGAAAUAGAUAGUUCUUUGCCUUCAAAUCCUUUAACUGCUGAUCUUCAAUGUGCUUUCUCUGUGCAUCUGUGAGAACAGCAUCUUCAGCCACUGCAGGAACUCCAUUCACCACAAGUCCCCAAUACUCCUUGGAACGCAAGAAGUUUUCCAUGAGCAUUGCCCAGUGAUCAUAGUAGCCAUCAAAUUUCGGAAUAGCUGGCUGGACAAAUGAACUCUCUGUCGUCAUUGUUCAAACAGAACACACGUAGAAGACUGCUGCUUCUAAAUAAUCAGGCCCCUAUGAUGGGGCUCUGAUACCAAAUGUUGGAAAUUGAAUAGGAGUAUAGAUGAAGCUGGAGAAAAACAACUUUACUAAAUUGAAUAACAAACUUGGCUAAUAUAUAGCCUUACAGAAAAUAGCCCAUAUCUAGAUAACUCCUAAAAGUGCUGAGAAGAUAACCCUCAGCAAAUAUCAGAACCCAAAAUAAUAGAUAACUCCUAAACGUGGUGGUAACUAACUACUAAAGAUAAACAUAAAAAACUAACAUUAACCAAUAAGAUAAACAUCACAAAACUAACAUAUGGAAUAGGCAAAUGUCAGGAACAGGGAAAGACCAGAAAAAUAGAGCACAAGGGAUAGGAACAAAAUAAUCCCAUACAAGCCGUGUUUCAUAUCCGGAUCAAUGGGCUUAGGUGAGGGUGAGCGCAAUCAAAUGGAAGACAAAACAUGAUUGCAUGUAUUUUCAUGAGGAAGCUUUAAACAGGGCCAAGUUAACAUUCAACAAAAACCAAAUAAAUGAGGAACAUGAACGUGCUAUAAUUCCACAAAACCGACCUGAAGGUCAGCCAAAAUAUACCUGUAGCACUUAAUGUCUAUUCCCCAAUCAACAAAUAGCACUCAACAAUCAGCAGAGAAAAGAAAAGAAAAGCAUGCCAGUUGGAAUGAGUUAGAAACCCAUAAUAAUCAUACCUGAAAAACAAUCCUCCCCAAGAAGCCGUGUCGGAUUUCUAGCUGUUCCACUGGUUCCCUCUUCUUCCCUUUAGCUGCCUUUUCCUCAAGUCACCUCAAAAUCACAACCCUCAAGCAACCCGCAACCCUUUCCUUUUUCAGAUUCUUCUUUUCUUUUCACUCUCAGCACCUACUAUAUCCUUCUUCCAUCGGCUUCCUCUGUUUCUCUCGAACAGCUCCAAGGAAAAAAAAAACUUCUCCCCUCUUCCCUAGCUUCCCCUCCAAGCUAUACUCUAAAUAUUUCUUCUCUGUUUCCAUCUUCUCCCGCAAGCCACCACCUGCUCCACUGUGCACCAUUCCGCCAAUGCGUCACCCUCCAAACCACCACCAUGGGCGAGCCAUGCAGCCGGUUCUCAGCAUAAGGAGGUCCCCCUCCAAAAAUGCAAGGAAAAGAAAAGAAAACAACUCUGCUCGGGCCCUCACCACACGUCCUAUGCUUCUCGUGUGUCUCCAGAAAGAGCUCCCUCCCCCCUACUUCAAAAAAAUGAAAGAAUUCCACUCUCCCGGGUGGUCCUAAAAUAAAAGAAAAGCUAUCCGUUUUUUUGAGGGGGUUUACAACUUUAUUAUUACAUUUUAUUUUUUGUUUGAUGCUUUAAAUAAUUUUUAUUAAAUAAAAUUAUAAUUAUAUUGGUGGAGGGCUAAUUAACUUUGUUUUUAAGUGAGAAAGACAGUGAUAAGGUUGAAGUGGGUUUAAAAAAAUGAAAUAAAAGAAUGAAAAAAAGAAAAAGAAAAAGAAGAUAGAGAUAAGAUUGAGGUGGGUCCGUAAUUAAAAAAAAAAUGAAGAGUAGGAGAAAAAGUGACAAAAGCUUUUGCUUUCUUCCAAAAAAGUAAAAACAAAGGCUAAUGACAUCAUGUGAUCAAACUCUAUACAAGACCCUACUUGAAUAUUUCUAUGAUUUGUUUAUUAAACUAGUCUUAUACAAGGACAAAGUUAAAAAUAACUUUAAAAAAAAUAUUAUUUAAGAAAUUAUUUUCUAAUCUACAUAAUUGCUACAUCUUUUCGACUCGAUUUUAUUCAAUUUCAUUAAAAUGAAAUCAUUUAUUUGAGCCCAAAAAUCCAAAUCCAACUCAUUUAUCUAUAUACUUUAUUGGCAUGGAAUGAGAAAAGUUAUAAAGUGAAAGAAAAUUUGAUCAUAUGAGAGAUUUUCCAAAGUUGGAGCCAAUUCAAUGCUUAGUGGGUAUAACAAAAAAAAAAGUGGAAAUUAGAGUGAAACAACCAAAUUUUUAAGGUUUGAGGGGAUGUCACUGCACCUUCCAUAUAACUGUCUAAGAAUGUGAGAUGUCAUUGCAUUGAAAAUUGAUAUUAAAUCUCAUAAAGUAACUAUAAGAAUUGCUUUACUUAAGUAAUAAAUAUAUCUUGCUUUUUCAUAAAGUUUAUGACCCUAAGUGAAUAAAAUUUUUAGAGUGGGAUGAAUGCAUUUCACGUGAGUCAUGUCCUAGAUAUAUUUUUAGAAUUUUUUAGCAAGAUAUUAAGAGAAACUUUAUGGUGAGUGUUUUUUUUCUAGUUAAGGUGGGUACAGUUUGAUGUCAUUUGUAAACAUAAUUCAAACCCAAUAUAUUUUUUAGGUGUUUGAAUUGAAUAGAUUUGUAUUUAAUUUAAAUUCAUGUGAAUAUAUAUAAUUCAUUUAAUAAAUAAAUUAUUUUUAAAUUAACUCAGAUAACCUACAUUUGACUCGAAUUAACUUAUUUAAAAAUGGUAUUGAUUAACCUAAUAAUAACUUUAAUUUAUUGAACUCAUAUUUAACUCAUUUAAGAUUUGUUUUUCAAGUAGUAUGCCAUAAUUGGGUCAUUAUAUAAUAUUAGAACAUUAAGCAUAUUAUUUCAUUCAACAUUUAACUUGAUUUGAUUAUUAAACAUUAUCUUAUUAUUAAAUUGGUUAAACAGGUUAUGAUGUAUCACCUGGUUAAUAAUUAUAUAGUGUUUGAGUUUAUAUUUUUAAUUUUGAUUAUUAUUCAUGUCAUGUUUGGGUUGAGUUGUUUCGUGGAGUAUCUAACAUUUGAUACAAGACAAACACAAUCCACCAACAUAUUAAUAAAAAAUUACGAGAUAUUAGGAGAGUAAUUUUGGUAAAAGUUAAUAUUUAAUGAUUUAAGAUGAUUUUAAAUAAAAUUAUAUUUAAAUGGUCAAGUCAUAUCAAAUCAUUAACUUAAUUUAUCAAAAUCAUUUUUGAUUUUAUAUUAUAGUAUUAAGUUAUUUUAACGAUCAUACUUAAUAUACUUAAGAACUUAAAUUUAGUCUUAUCAACAUUCUCUAAGGUCUUCUCAAUUUUUAAUAUUUAUUUGAUACAUAUUUUAAAGUAAACAAGUCAAAAUAUAUUAUCUCAAAAUUUCUAAUUCAUACUCCUACAAGAUUUUAAAAUUCAUUAAUUAAUUUGAAAGAAAUUUGUUUUGGAACAUGCAAGUGAUGGACAUAUCACAUAUCUUAAAUUUUUAACUAAAAAACCUCAUAACAAAAUAAUUUGAUGAAUGUUUUUAAGUUUAAAAAACUUAGAACCAUUUCACAAUGAUUUUGGGAAGUUAGAAAUGUUUCCAAAUGCUUGAAAAUGUUUUAAUAACGAAAAUUAAACAUUUGAUAAAAAUUAAAGUUCACAUUCUAAGUAAUUGAUAGUGCUUCUUAUAAUUUUUUCUUUCUUUUCAUUAUAUAUAUAUAUAUAUUAGACAUUGAAAAGGUUUCACCAAUUAAAUGGUGUCACAUUUACAUUUUUUUUUAUAACAUGAAUUGAAAAAGUUUCAUCAAUUAGGUGGUGUCACACAUAUAUUUUUAAGUCUCAUAGUUAAUACCAUUGUACCUUGGCCACAUUUGUUUAUACCUUUGUUUAACGAUUUAGAUCUCACUACAUAUAUUUAAUAGUUUAGAUCUAGACUUCGUCAGGUACCACUACAAAACCUUAGUAUUAUAUAUAUAUAUAUAUAUAUAUAUAUAUACAUCAUACUAACUAGUUUUUUUUUUUUUUUUUAAUCAAAACACUUACAAUAGAAAUGCUACAAAUUAGAAGUGUUUUUAUCAAAAUAGUUUCCAAACCAACCAUAAUAUUUGCAUUAGCUUUAACAUAUAAUAUCUUUUACUUUAGUUGUUGAUAUAGCUACAUAUAAGACCAACCAUUCAUAUGAUAAUUAUUAUGGAUCUUAUUUUAAUUUGAUAAAAAUAUCUACCCAAGCAUUACGCAAAUAGGGAUGACAAUGGGGUGAAAUAUAGACAAGUCAUUCCUAUCCCAAUCUCACCCCAUUUAUUCAAAAUAAUUCUCAUUCUCGUCUCAUUGAAGAAAUUAAAUGGAAUGGGGUAGGUAUGAGAAUUUCCUGUACAUUAUUUUUAAAUUUGUUUAAAUACAUUAAAAUAAAUAUAUUUUAUAAAUAAUUUAAAAUUUAAAAUUUUUUUUAUAACUUAUUUAUUAUUAUUAUUAUUAUUAUUAUCAUUAUUAAAAAUAGGAAAAUAACAAUUUAUAUCUAAUUGAGGCAGGACAAGGUAAUAUCUAAACAUACCCCAAACUUGUCUCGAGUUUUAAAAAAAUUCUAAAAAAUGCUUUUAACUCGUUUAUUUAAAUUUCAAAUUCAUCCCAUUAGGAAUGGGGUGAAAACCCGUCUCAUUGUCAUCUCUAUAUGCAAGUCAUAAAUAUAUAAUAAGAAAAAUAAUAAUAAAAUUAGUAUCUAUUUAGAUGAACUUCUUGUUUUUUGUUUUUAAAAUCAGAAAAUAAUAAUAACUUUUAUAUAAGUGUAGACCCCCUUUGGUAGUGAGGACCCGGGAGGUUUUUUUUUUUUGGGGAUUUUCAUUAUAUUGUUAGAAGGGGUAGGGGACCCCCAGCUGGAGAGGAGCAGAGACGCCAUGCUGAUGAUGAAGGUAGCCACCAAAUGGGACGUGUAGCAGCGGGCAGAGUGGCUUGCGGUGGAAGAUAGAAACAUGAGAGAAAAAGGAUAUACGAGGGGGGAGUCUGACGGGAGAGAGGCAGCCAUUAGGGGAGUCACAGAGAAGGGAGCUUGCUGGUUCCAUUGAUCUUAGAGGAGAACUUACUAGAGAAAGAGAUAACAGAGAAAGAAGACAGCUGCAGGUGAGUUUGGGGUGAGUCUCUUGCUCCCUUUUGAUUCAUAUUCUCCUCAUCCCUUUCUCAUUUUGGUUUGCUUUGCAUUGCUCAUCAGUCCGGGUUGGAUUUCAUGUUGAAUUUCAUUGAUUUUUCUGGAUCACUUGUUUGUUGUCGUUGAUCUUGCCGUUAUCCUUAUGGUUUAGUUUGGAGUUGAUGAGAUCUGUUUCUCACGUAUUUUGUGGCUCUGGCUUGAGAUCUUCCCACCUGUAUCUGCCCAUGGAUACCACCCGACAUGAGGCUUGAUACACUCAUGUUUUUCUACUUUAUUCCUUGAUUAUCUUUCCCUCGUUUUUUGUUGUUUUGGCUCCUAUAUUUGUGAUCCUUUCUAUGAAUGAAGGCCUAUACACAAAGGUUGUUUCUUGUAUUUGAUAAAACCGAUUGAGCCACCCAUGGUUUCAGAUGAAGCAGAGACGUUAACGAGAUGUAUGCUCUGUUUUUAGGAUCUUUUUUCUUCUUUUAAUAUCUGUAAACAGAGAAGCUUGCAUGCAAAGAGUUCAUCAUCCAAAACUGGCAGCGUGUUGGGCCUGAGGUUAAACAAGAGUGACAAAUGUAAGAACAGUGAGGGAAGAGAGCCAUUUUUUUCAAUCACUGGGCUGCCAUAUUUUUAUCACCGGGCUGUUGAUUUCUUUUCAUCACCGGACUGCUAUUCUUUUUCAUCACCGGGCUACUGACUUUUCUUUAUCACCGGGCUGCUCAUCCACCAUAGCAUCAACUCCAUGUCACAGCUGGUUCUUUUCCAUUCGCCGCCGCACCAACUGCACACCCCAUUUUUUUGGUACCUUCACGGCCAUUAGGUAUGUCAGUUGUUUUUUUACAUAUAUAUGCAUAGAGUUUCAGCAACAGUGAAGGCUCGGAGCAUUUUUCCAAGUAGAAUUAUUAUUAUAAUAGGGUAAGUGGUUUGACUUUAUUUACUAGCUCCAACACUUUUUUGGUCUAUAUGGUCAUAUGGAUAUGGUUGCAAAGUAUGGGAUCACCUUAUUAUCCAAUGGGCAAAAUUAUAAGUGGACUUUCUAGGAAGAGACUUAAAAAAAUAGGUUUGUGGGGCCUUUUCUUUCCAUUUAUUGAUUCCUCAUGUUGUGUACACGUUUUGAUGGUAAGCCUCUUUUUAUUUUAUUUCAUUCUAUUAUUUUAUUAGUUUUCUUCAACUUUUGAUGCCCAAAAAUUUCAUUUUCAAAAUUUUAAUCUUAAAAUAAUAUACCAAAAAAAAAAAAAACUCUAGUUUUAAUUUAAUUUCUCAAAGCUCCAAUUCUAAUUUAAUUUUUCAAAAGCUCCGAUUUUUUAAAAUUUAGUUUUCAAUACUUUAACUUCCCAAACUUUAAUUAUUUUCAAAUUUUAAUUUUUAAAAUUCCAUCAUUAGACAAUUCCAAUUUUUCGACUCCCGAAUUUAAUUUUCAACCUCAAAAUUUUCACUAUUCACAUUCAGCUGUUUAAUGACGAUUUUCGUUACUAUUAUUAUCCCGUUCAUUUAUUUAUUCACUUAUUCAUAUAUUUAAAAUCCCAUCUCCAAAUAAUUUCUCAAAAUUUCAAUCUCUAAAUUCAAUCUUCAAUCUUUAAAAUUCUAUUUUUCGCAAUUAUUUACUUAAUAUUUAUUAUUUCAUCAUUAUUAUUAUUCCAUUCCUUUAUUUAUCCACUUAUUUGUUUAUUAAAAUUCCGUCUUUAAAUAAUUUUUUCAAAAUUCCGAUUCCCAAAUUUAGCUCUCUAAAAUUCCAAUUCCUUUCAAGUUUAAUUUCUAAAAUUCUCAUUUUUAUAUUUAAUUUCUAAAAAUCUAGUUUUUCAAGUAAUUUCUAAAACUCCAAUUUUCAAAUAAUCCCUAAGACUCCAAUUUUCAAAUAAAUUUCAAAAAUCCAAUUUUCUCUCAAAUAGUUUUGAUUCCACUCUGGUUUUCAAACAAUCUUAUGCUCCUCUUGAUUUUAAUAAGCGUGAAUGCAAUCUUCAUAAUUCCUAAAUAAUGGAAUUUGUGAUAUUAAUUCGUGCAAGAUUAAUCGGGCUUUGGUGGGGGCCCCACAUACAUGAUUUUAUGAUUGAUUGAUCGAUUGAUCGAUUGGUUGAUUUAUUUGCCAUGCGUGAUUGAUUUGCUAUGUUCCAUGAUAUGUACAUAAUCAACCUGCGUUUGUCCACUAACCCUAUUUUGUGAUAGCGUGUUGUCGUUUGCUGAAUAGGUACGUAUCCACUUCCACUUUGGUUAUUCUCUAUGCAUAUUCUGAUUCUCAUAUGUGCAUGAUAGUUCCGGGUAUCCAUUGAUUUCUUAAUUAAUUGCUAUGAUUGCUCCAUUUUAUUAGUAGAGACCCAUUUUAGGGACUUAGAGGGGUGCUACGGUCUUUCCCGUACCUUCCUGAUAAGUAACCUGACCCUCGUACCCGAUCCGGUUUUUCGCAGACCGUCUUUUUCAAAUUAAGGAGUCAUAUUUAGGGUUUUUCUUUCUUAUUUUGUUUACCCUUUUAAAAAUAAAACAAAAAUAAGUGGCGACUCCAAGUCAUUUCCUUAAUCAAUAAAAAAUCAAUUUUUCAAAUAAAAUCGAGCUCGCCAUCGAGUGGAAAACGCAUGAGCACGAAAUGCGGGGUCCACAAAAAGAUAUAAGGAUACUUAUAUUAAAAAAAUAAUAAUAGUUUUAAAAAUCAUUUAAAAAUUUAAGGUAUUAAAAGAAUUUUACUAAACCAAAUUUUAAAAAAUUUUAAUGUGAUUUUUAAACAUAUGACAUAAAUUUAUAUUUUUUUGUAUAACAUGUUCUACUUUCAUAUAGAAAUUCUAAUUUAAAAAAAAAAAAUAACAGAUGUAUUAAAUGGACACUUUAGCUUCUUAUUUUUUUAGUGGUUCACCUUGCCCCUUAGAUAAGAAGAUUAUGAAAAUUUUCAAUAAUUAUGAAAAAGAUAAAAGUGAAAGACUUUUGACAAAAUUAUGUGUGAGAUGGUGUGCAUCAACUUUAAUUUGGACAAUUAUGUUAAUGGGAAGAUGUUAUCCUCAUCACCUUUAAAUUGUAGUACUUAUUGUAUUUUGGAUAAUUAUGUUAACGGUCAUGUCAUCCUUGUCUCAACUCAUGUUGAUUAUUUAAGUUAUAAGUUAUAGUCACCAUGUCUUAUUUAAACUUUUAUACUAUUUUUUAUUAUUUUUAAAUAUAAAUCUUAUUAAAAUUAAUAUAAUUUAAGAGUUAAUAAAUUAAUUUUUAUGAAUUUUAUAUUAGCAUUGAUAAAAAUUAUAUUUUCAAUUUUAUUUUAAACAUGUUCAAAAGGGGGAAAACAAAAAAAGAAACUAAAUUAUUUUUAUUGAAUUUUAUAAAUAAAAAUGAUUUAAUUUUAAUUUUUAUUUAAUUUUAUAAAAAAAUUCUCAAAUAUAUCCCUAAUUUGUUUAAACUGGUCCUAAAUCCUUCUAUAGUUGUCAUCUCUAAUUUUGACCAUAUAAAAAUUAAACCAAAAUAUAAGAAGGUUGAGGAAUAUCAAAUAUAAAGAGAGGUUGAAAAAAUUUAUAAUGCUUAGAGGUUUUUUUCUUACAAAUAGAACUUGUUUGGUCAUGUGAUUUAAAAAUAGUGCAUUUUUUUUUUUUGUUUUUAAAAAUAAAAAACUGUUUUUAAAAUUUUCUAACAAUGUUUGACCAUUGUUAUCUGGAAGCAAUUUUUAAAAAUAAGGUGAAAUAAAGAACAAUUUUUAGAGAACAAAUAUAAAUUGUUUUCAUUGAUUUUUAAAAACAAAGGGAAAAUAUGAGCCCAUUUGACCAUAUUUUCUUAAACUUGUUUUUACACACUUUUUUUUUUUAAAAAAAAAAAAAGACUUUUUAGAUUAAAAACAUUUUUUAGAAUCACUACCAAAAUGAUUUUAAGUAUUAUCUCACUUCACCUCAUUUAUAUAUAAAAUUAAGUAAAAAUAAUUUAAUUUCCUUUUCCAUUUCCCCUUUUUAAUCAUAUUUAAAAUAAAGUUACAAAUUUACUUUUUAUUAAGAUAGAAUAUAAAAUUUAUGAAAAAUAAUUUAUUUACUCAUAAAUUACAUUUAUUUUAAUAAAAAUUAUUAUUAUUUUUUAAAAAAAAAGCAAAAACAAAAGGUGAAUUGAAGUAGUAAAGCUCGUUCGAAAAAGAAAAUAAAGAGGAAAAUUAGAAAAUAAUAAUAAUAAUAAUAUAAAAUAAAUUUAAAAUUCAUAAUUUAUUUUUAUAUUUUAUUUAAAUCUUAUUUUAUUUAUAAAGAUUAAAUGAAUCUAAAAAUACAUAAACUUUUAAUUAAUUUUAAUUAUAUAUAACUUAAAGUAAAACUAAAUAUUUCAUUAACAUUUUUUCGUAAUACUUGAACAAUCAAACAUAACUUAAAGCACUAAAAAAGUAUUUAUAAAAAAUUUCAGUUUGAUUGUGAUAAAUGUUAAAUUAUUAAUUUUCUUAAAAGUUUAAACUUAUAAGAUUUGAGUUAGCCCCCUCCCUAACAUACGAUCUCAUUUCAUAUAAUUGCAAAUGACAAGACGGGAGAUAUACCAAAGAAUUGUUAAAAAAGAGAAUAGAUAUCAGAUGAAGAAACAAAUAUGAAAAUUAUGGAGUAGUUCAAACUACAACUCCUCUCCAAACCAAACUAUAUUGAUAUAUCAAUUUUUCUAAAUAUUUAAACUUAUAGGAUUUGAGUUCAAUAUACAUAUCAUGUUUUACGAUGAUAUAAAUAAUAAAAAUAAAGUAUAAAAAAUAAAUUUAAAUAAUAAGAUUAAGAUAUAAAAGAAUAAAACUAAGCUCGAACCUAACAUAAAUUAAUGAAACCUUAAUAUAAAUGUGGUAGGAUUUGAUCCAUGGUGUUUGUCUUUUAGGUACUGACCCAUCAACACUAAAACCAGAUUUAUAUUAAUUUAAUGAGAUCGUGGAUUCAGGGUAGAAUGGGACAGGGAAAGAGUCAUGUGAAGAUGAACCUUCGGCAUAUAAUCUUUUAUUAAUUUAAUAGAAAGUUUUGAGUGUACAAGUCCGAACUACCAACUGUUGUUUGAAAAUGGUGUCUUUGGACACAGGUGGAUCCGAUCAAAUUGCGGGACGGAUGGAGCAUCCGGUGAGGGUUUUUAGAUAUGAAAGUCCCAUCAAAUGUCUCUGAUGCAGCCAGUAAAUUAACUUUGGAAGUAACUUCCCUCUUAAAGAAAAGAAUAUGAUAAUAUUAAUGGUUGAAAAGAUCUGGCCAAUGGGUGUCUUCCACGUUGCUGCAAUGAAUUUCACGUAAAUUGAUUGCCAUCUUUUCUAUUCGCGAAAGGUAAACAUGGACACGUGGUCACCGCCCUCUUGUUUUAUCUAGGAUUUGACAUUCAUACAAAUCAUGCGUACAAUCAUAAAAUUAUGCAAGUCAUGCAUAACUGUUUAAUUUAUUCAUUUUUAAAAUGAUUGUUGUUGUGCUGUCAAAACAUCUUCAUCCAUGGAUCACAGAUUGAUGCUUCUUCAUCAUAAUGUUAAAAGAUUACGAUUUUGAAUAUGUUUUUGAAGAUUUUCUGUAUUCAGAUUUAUAUAUAUAUAUUUAGAGUGUUAUUAGAAAGAUUAUUUAUCAAGUAUUUUUUUUAUAUUAUUAGUUAUUUUUUUCUUUUAAAAAAAAUAUUUUUUAUAUUAGAAAUAGUUUAUUAAAACAUUUCAUGGACUUUUAUUUUAACGUGGUUUUUCAUUUACGUGAUUGGUUUCUUGGACGUUUUUCUUUUAAAAGAUAAAUUUUAAGUUGUGUUCGUAAGUACGUCAAAAUUCCACUUGUUUUUCUUCUCUCGAAUGUUCAUAGAUAUUUAUAUUUUGUCAAGCCUUUAUAUGUCAUCCUCUAAUUGGCCUGAUUAAUAAUUAUUUAUAAUUGAAAAUAAGUGUUUGAACUUAGACGAUCGUACUAGUGUUAAUACGACAAUUAUAAGUGUUUGUUCAAAUGGGUGCUUUAAGAAAACGUUAGCUCGGUCAUCAUGAGUGUAGAUAUAUCUAGAUGAGUGGUUGUUAGAUUAGGGAGCAAGUGUGAAUUUGCUACCAUACUCUAUCUACAAGAAAUUGGGACUUGGUGAAUUGAAGCCAACAUCAAUCACUCUAUCUCUAGCAGAUAGAUCAGUGAAAAUUCCAAGGGGGAUAAUUGAAGAUGUCUUAGUUCAAGUUGAUAAUUCCUAUUAUCGAGUAGACUUUGUUGUUCUUGACACAUACCUAAUUGUCAAGGAAACGAAUUAUGUUCCUAUCAUCCUUGGAAGGCCAUUCCUUGCUACGUCAAAUGCAAUCAUAAAUUGUAGGAAUGGACUUAUGCAACUCACGUUUGGCAACAUGAAACUGGAGCUCAAUAUCUUCUAUAUGUCCAAAAAGCUAAUCACUCUGAAAGAAGAAGAAGGUCCAGAAGAAGUGUGCAUUAUUGACACUCUAGUGGAGGAGCAUUGUAAUAAGAAAAUGCAAGACAAGUUGAAUGAAAGUCUUGGGGAUCUUGAAGAAGGGUUGCCUGAACCCUUUGAUAUGCUUGCUACUUUACAAGGUUGGAGAAGGAUAAAAGAGAUUCUACCUUUGUUCAAUAAAGAGGAGGCACAAGAAGCUGCUAAAGAGGAGACCCCAAAGCUCAAUCUGAAACCUCUACCCACGGAGUUGAAAUAUACAUACCUGGAAGAAAAUUAAAAGUGCCCUGUUGUUAUGUCUUCAUCUCUUACUACUCCUCAGGAGAUGUCUCUACUUGAAGUUCUCAAGAGGUGUAAGAAAGCAAUAGGAUGACAAAUAUCUGACUUGAAAGGCAUCAGUCCUUUGGUCUGUACACAUCAUUUAUACAUGGAAGAAGAAGCUAAACUAAUUCGUCAACCUCAAAGAAGAUUGAAUCCUCAUUUGCAAGAGGUGGUGCGAGCUGAGGUUCUGAAGCUAUUUCAAGCAAGUAUUAUUUACCCCAUAUUUGAUAGCCCUUGGGUAAGUCCUACUCAAGUAGUCCCAAAGAAGUCAGGGAUCACGGUGGUUCAAAAUGAAAAGGGAGAAGAAGUUGCUACACGCCUCACUUCAGGUUGGAGGGUGUGUAUUGAUUAUAGAAAAUUGAAUGCUGUGACAAGGAAUGAUCAUUUUCCGUUGCCAUUUAUUGAUCAAGUGUUGGAGAGAGUCUCUGGCCACCCUUUCUAUUGUUUCUUGGACGGCUACUCCGGGUAUUUUCAAAUUGAAAUUGAUGUUGAAGAUCAGGAGAAUACCACUUUCACAUGUCCAUUUGGAACAUAUGCCUACAGAAGAAUGCCUUUUAGUUUAUGUAAUGCACCUGCAACAUUCCAACGAUGUAUGCUAAGUAUCUUCAGUGAUAUGGUGGAGCGAAUUAUGGAGUUUUUCAUGGAUGACAUCACCAUAUAUGGAGGUACAUUUGAAGAAUGCUUAGUCAACUUGGAAGCGGUUAUGAACAGAUGCAUUGAAAAGGACUUGGUGCUCAAUUGGGAGAAAUGUCAUUUUAUGGUACAACAAGAAAUUGUCUUUGACCAUAUCAUCUCCGAGAAAGGCAUUGAAGUUGAUAAAGCAAAGGUGGAACUUAUUGUCAAAUUGCCAUCCCCAACAACUGUAAAAGGAGUAAGGCAAUUCCUUGGCCAUGCAGGGUUCUAUAGGAGGUUUGUAAAAUAUUUCUCUAAGUUUUCAAAGCCUCUUUGUGAACUUUUGGCUAAGGAUGCUAAGUUUGUAUGGGAUGAGAGAUGUCAAAAGAGUUUUGAUCAACUGAAGUAAUUCUUGACAACGGAUCCAAUAGUGAGGGCUCCCAACUGGCAACUACCCUUUAAAGUGAUGUGUGAUGCUAGUGACUUUGCUAUAGGAGCUGUGCUUGGCCAAAGAGAAGAUGGAAAGCCCUAUGUGAUCUACUAUGCAAGCAAGACAUUAAACGAAGCAAAAAGGAACUACACAACCACAAAGAAAGAAUUGUUAGCUGUAGUGUUUGCCUUAGACAAGUUUCGUGCUUAUCUAGUAGGGUCUUUCAUCAUUGUUUUCACUGACCAUUCAGCCUUGAAGUAUUUAUUGACAAAGCAAGAUGCAAAAGCAAGGUUGGUUAGAUGGAUUCUCUUACUACAAGAGUUCAAUCUCCAAAUCAGAGAUAAGAAAGGAGUGGAGAAUGUGGUAGCUGACCACCUUUCAAGGUUGGCUAUAGCACACAAUUCCCAUGUCUUACCUAUUAAUGAUGACUUUCCAGAGGAAUCACUUAUGUUGCUAGAAAAAACUCCUUGGUAUGCUCAUAUUGCUAACUAUAUAGUUACUGGUGAAGUUCCAAGAGAGUGGAAAGCACAAGACAGGAAGCAUUUUUUUGCAAAGAUUCAUGCCUAUUAUUGGGAAGAGCCUUUUCUUUUCAAGUAUUGUGCAGAUCAAAUAAUAAGAAAGUGUGUCCCUGAAGAAGAGCAAUAAGGAAUCCUCAGCCAUUGCCAUGAGAGUGCAUGUAGAGGCCACUUUUCCUCCUAGAAAACAACCAUGAAGGUGUUGUAAUCAGAGUUUAGUUGGACAUCACUCUUCAAAGAUGCCCACACCAUGUGUAGGAGCUGUGAUAGAUGCCAAAGGCUUAGGAAGCUAACAAGAAGAAAUCAAAUGCCUAUGAACCCCAUUCUAAUAGUUGAUCUCUUUGAUGUUUGGGGCAUAGACUUCAUGAGACCUUUCCCAAUGUCUUUUAGUAACUCUUAUAUCUUGGUGAGGGUGGACUAUGUUUCUAAAUGGGUUGAGACAAUCCCUUGUAAACACAAUGAUCACAGGGUGGUUCUCAAGUUUCUUAAAGAGAACAUUUUCUCAAGAUUUGGGGUGCCCAAGGCUAUAACCAGUGAUGGAGGUACUCAUUUUUGCAACAAACCUUUUGAAACCCUAUUAGCCAAGUAUGGGGUGAAGCAUAAGGUAGCUACACCUUAUCACCCUCAGACUUCCGGGCAAAUUGAGCUAGCAAACAGGGAAAUCAAGAACAUAUUGAUGAAGGUGAUGAACAUGAGCAGAAGAGAUUGAUCUAUUAAGCUCCAUGAUUCACUAUGGGCAUAUAGAACAACUUACAAGACUAUUCUUGACAUGUCUCCUUAUCGCCUAGUUUAUGGCAAAGCAUGCCAUCUUCCUGUGGAAGUUGAAUAUAAGGCUUGAUGGGCAAUCAAGAAGGUAAACAUGGACUUGAUCAAAACUGGGGCAAAGAGGUGUUUAGACCUUAAUGAGAUGGAGGAAUUAAGAAAUGAUGCCUACAUCAAUUCCAAAGUUUCAAAAUAGAGGAUGAAGAGGUGGCAUGAUCAGUUAAUCUCCAACAAGGAAUUCCAGGAAGGACAAAGAGUCUUACUCUAUGACUCAAGGCUCCAUAUCUUUCCUGGGAAGUUGAAGUCAAGGUGGAUAGGCCCUUUCAUUAUUCACCAAGUGCAUCUCAAUGGAGUGGUGGAAUUACUGAAUUCCAACAGCACUGACACCUUUAAAGUCAAUGGCCAUCGUCUCAAACCAUUCAUCGAGCCAUUCAAGAGAGAUAAGGAGGAAAUCAACCUCCUUGAGCCACAGAAAUCCUAAUCAAAUAGGGGUUAGAUGGACUUGGUCUCACCAAAGUCCAUAUUUUUUGUUUAAUUUUGUUAAUUUAAUAGCUUUAUUAAUUGUUUUGAUUUUGAUCUUAGUCUUAAUUUAUGUUAUUUGUAUAUAACUUAGACUUUUUGAAUGAUCUAAUUGAGGAGGACUUGCAAAAGAGGUGAAGGAAGGUCUCAAAGAGCUAAAAGGAGCUUAGAAGUAAGAAAUUUCAGUUGUUUGCGAAAUUUCGCAGCCCAAAAUAGAUUCCUGCGAAAACGGCCAUCCUUUGCAAAAUAAUUUCGCAGCCACAAGGUGCCCGCUUCGAAAUUAAGGGUUUGCUGCGAAAUAGGCCCUCCUCUGUGAAACCAUUUCGCAGCCCCAUAGCCACACCUUGCGAAAAUUUUCGCAACUGCGAAACCCACCUUUGGCACACAAGUUCCAUUUCGCAGCUACGAAAACCUCUUCGAAACCACCAAGGCCCUCAAAAGCUCAUUUUCGCAGCCCAAGCCUCAUUUCGCAGUUGCGAAAACCCCUGCGAAACCCCUUUGGCACAUGAGUGCCAUUUCGCAGCCCCUCUCUUUUCGCAGCUACGAAAUGGGCUGCGAAAAUGGCCAUUGGCUGCGAAAAGGGGACUUCGCUGCGAAAUAACCCCUCAUCUGCGAAAAAUUCCAACCAUCACUUGGCUUCUAAUUUAACUUUUUAAAUUCCAAAUUUUCACUUUACACCGGUCAUUUGCCUUGUGAAAACCUCCAUUUGGUGCAAAAUAGAGGCCAAGCCAGAGUACCAUUUCUAGAGGACCUCCGUCUGAGCCCAAGCCGCGCGCAUCUCUGGCCACCCUCUCUCAAACCUCUCUAAAUCAGCCAUGGAAAAAACCCGAUGAGCCAAGACCUCAUCUCCUUCAGGCCGCCCCAGAGCACUGAGAGUGGCCCCUGUGUAAGGCUCCAUGACUAAGCCUUCACAGCCACUUGUCGUCCCACCUUCAGUAGAGGACGCACCAUUGAGUUCUCCUUCGAGGCGAUAUGAGACGAGAAAACCACCCACCACACCAGGGGCAAGCUCCUCUCUUGCCAAAAAGUCAAGUAGCCGUCCUCCUAAGAAGAAAGCAAGGAUAUCAGCUCUACUUGAGCCAUCAGAGCCUUCAUCCGAGCCUCAGCCACCUUAGCCACCUGCCAUAAAGUCUCAGAUUCCCUCUAGGAUGACUCCUGAGGUGGUUAUCAGGUGGCCCAUGGUCACUCAGUCACCCAUUGAGGGUAAUUUGGAUUGUCGGGCUAGGCCAUUCCACUCCGAGCUUUGCUUUGACAAAACUACCUUCAGGCUUCAGCCAGAGCUCAGAGAUUCCUUCCAUCUACUACAGAGAUACCAUAUGGAGUACCUGAUGACUCCUAGGGAUUUCUUCUAUCCCCGUGUAGCAUUAGACUUUUAUCAGUCUAUGACUACAUAUCGCGUUCGGGAUCCUACUGUCAUCCACUUCACCAUUUACGGACGCCAUGGUAUCCUGGGAACCAGACAUAUAGCAGAGGCCCUACGCAUUCCCUACGAGCCAGCACGUCCAGAGUGACAUGGUCCAUAUACUGUCCAGAGGAGCAUCCACACGUCCAUAUCUGUUGAGAAAGGAGCUCCCUCCCAGCAUGUUCUUUAUAGAUGCACUUCUGCGCUAUAACAUCUAUCCACUUCAGCAUAUGGUGCAGAGGAGAGGAACUUUGCUAAAGGUCUUAUUCAGGAUAUCAAAGGGAUUUUUCUUUGGCCCUCAUCAUCUCAUUAUGACCGCUUUUAUGUACUUUGAAAAGAAGGUCCAUAGGAAGAAGCUACUGAGAGAGGAUGUCAUUCCACUUCUAUUCCUGAGAUUGCUCUAUCAGAUUUUGGAGCACUUGGGAUAUCCAUCUGAGCCUCAGCUUGAGCGCAGACACAUUUGUUGAGAGAUAUUCACUCUCGACAAAUGGACUAGUAUGACAACUUAUGAUGUAGAGCCAGGAGCCCCAGCUGGACCAGAGCAUCCAGAGAUUCCACAUCCAUAGCAUUUAGAGGAGCCACAACUAGUUGAAAUACUUGCUGACAUGAGAGCACCUGCCUUUGAAGUGCCCUCUACAAGACUUAUGCUUGAGGUUGCACCCUCUGCUCCUCCUGCCACACCAGGGACUCUACCAGUUGUACCAACUACAUCAGAGCCUCCUUCUCCAUCUGAGUCUAGGAUAGCCAUAUCCAUUUCCGAGUUCAGAGGCCUAUGUCACACUUUGCAGACAUUGAUCACUUCUCAAAGCAUCCUGACUCAACAAAUGACAGCCAUACGUGCCCAUCAGGAUCAGCUUAUCGCCACCUAUACCCAGCAUACUGCCAUCCUUAGGCAGAUACAGCAGCAUCUGGGAGGUACCACUUUCUCUCUGUAAUUUCAAUCGCUCUUGCCACAUUGAGGACAAUGUUUAGCUUGGUUGGGGGGAAGAGAGUUGAGGAAGGAAGUUUUUAUUUUAAAUGCUAAGUUAUUUUGGUAAUUUAGUUGUUAAUGCUUAAUUUAAAAAAAAAAAUUAUAGUUUUUAUUCUACUCUCCAUGGUUAUUAAGGAAAAAUUCUCAAAAUAAAAUGAGAGAAAUUGAAUUUUUGUUUUUCACUUGACUUAGAGUUUGUAUUAUGCUUACUAAAGUUGAUAAAUUGUUGAAACUUCUAUUGAAUUCAACCUUAGUUCUUCCACUUUAAGCUAUUCACACAUUGUGCACAAUAGGUUCCGAGUAUAAGAUGAAAAACUAUUUCCCUCUUGACUUAGGAAAAUUUUAGACUUGGUACCUUUGACCUCAAUUAAUAGUGUUGGGACACCUUAUAAAAGGCCAAUGAGCCUUUGGAAAAAAAAGAAAAAAGAAAAAUGUUUGCUUACCUUGAAACUUGAGCAAGGUCUGAAGGAUAUAUGGUGAAAAUCUUUAAAACCUGGUGCCCUAAGCCUUAAUUGGUUGGAAGUCACCGACCUCAAUGCUCGUUACAAGGGUGAAUAGGUGGAGUUUAACAUACUGUAGGUGCUUGGGUAUUAAAAAUUCAUUCUCAAAAGUCUGGGAUAAAAUCCGAGGAGUUAGUGGUUGAAAGAUCCUUAAAGCUUGAUGCCCUAAGCCUUAAUUGGUUGGGAGUCAUCGAUGGACCCCCAUUACAUGGAAAAUUUAGAAAAGGAUACCUUUAAGCCUUGUACUCCUACAAUGAAAAAAAUUGUGAAACAAAAGGGUGCGUUCUUAGCCUAUUGAAUUUUGUCAGUUUGCUAAGUGUUGAAAAAAAACUAGGUUGGGGGGAGAGAUUAGUUUAGCAUACUAUAUUCAGAAACUAUCAAGUAACACUUAGAUUUUUGUGGAAGAGUAAGGAUUGGACCUUUGAAAGUGGAAACAAUUUUAAAGCUUCAAUUUGCAUAAUGUCUUCUCUUUAUGAAUUGUGAUUAGGCAAGGUAUUUGAUAACUCUUGUUGAAAUUUGAGUUUUAUAUCUUUAAUGUUCCAUGUGAGAGUUAGAUCAUCAUGCCACUUAAAAUUUUUUUGAAGUGAUCAGUAUGAUUUUGUAAAUUAUAUUACUGUUUAUUUUACUUUUUCUCCCCUUCAUUGCUAAGGGACUAGCAAUAUGUCGGUUGUGGGGAGUGAUUACUACUCAAAAAGUGUUAUUUUGUAGCUUGUAAUUAACUCUUUUAAACAUUUUUGAGUAGUAGUUAUUACCUUUUAACUCAAUUGGCAUGUUAAGGACCCUUGUAAUCGUUUUUAAUCAAAUUGUGUUAAGUUUUGGUGUUUUUGAUAGUAUUUUGAUCACCAAAGCAAUCCAAGAUUGAGGAGAUUUAUAUAGAAUCCAUGUCAAAUCAAUUGGAAGCUCAUUUACAUGAAGAAUCCAAGCUUUGAAGCUUCAUAGUCAUUUGCCAAAAGCAAAUCAUGAAUACAAGGAGGGAAAGAAAAGAGAAAAAUCUAACAUGAAGAAUUCAAGAGGAUAGCAAUUGUUGGACAUAUUUAGAGCACUUUCUGGAGUCCAUUUCAUGCAUACUAUAUGUCGUUUGGAAGCUCAGGAAGUCAGGAAUCCAGGCUUUAAACAAUACACAAAUCGGAGUUGAAAUGAAAAAGUUAUAGCCAUUGGAAGCCAAUCAUACCAAGUUGAAGGCCAAUUUCGCAGCUGCGAAAUCACAAGGUGCUCGCUGCGAAAUCAACAUUUGGCUGCAAAAUGAAGACCUUCAGCUUGCGAAAUUUCACAGCCCAUCUUGCAUGCCUACGAAAUCCACCUGAGUGCUUCCAGAUAUUUGCGACCGACUCUUUUAGAUUUUUUCUUCAGAUAUUUGUUGUUUAAAUCCCCAUUUUCUCCUUGUAAUCUACCAAUCAUAGGAUUCCUUAGUUAAUAAGUAAGAACAAAGGGUGAAUAACCUCAUAUAUAUAGUUUGUAAUUUUCUUUACAAAAUCAUCUUGGGAGCUUGUUCUCAGAGACAACCGUUUGUAUAGUUUUGAAGGAAGUAAUAAACAGAGCUUUGCUCUGCCUUACAUACUCACUUUGAUUGUAUUUUUCUUAUUAGUCAAACAAGCUAUAAGGAUGUUUUCUCAGAGAAUGAGUGGCUAGACUUUUUGUCUCUUGGAGUUAAGGGAGCUGGGUAAGGUGCCGAAUGCAAGAAUUGGAAGUUUUGUUGUUUCAGCUUUUAAUGAAGAGAAAGUGUGACCCGUUAAUGGUUUUUAUCUUUUUAGUUAACUUAAAACGCCGUUAAAUCACCUGGGCCAACACUUGGUAAGGCAAGUGAUCUCCGUCCAUUGAGAUGCACUAGUUUAUCUCUUGCGAGCCUUUGAGAGGUGGUUUAAAGGUAGGAUUUUCUAGAAUAGCCAACACUUGGUAAACUUUUGGACUCUAAGGAGACAUUCAUUAGUUAUUUCUUGCGAGCUUAAGAAGGGAAAUCCAAGGUUAAGGAUCACCUUGAAUGGCUAAUACUAGGUGAGAGGUAUGAACCAUUGCAAGAUGAAUCAGUGAGAGGGAUUUAGUGUUGGAAUCCAUAAAAGGAAAGCAUCUGUACCACACCGGUUAGAGAAAUAACUAUAUGUUAAUUCUCCAAUGCGAGAAAAAGAUUCAAGUGACCGAAACUCUGUUUUUGUAUUAGGAACCUGACCCUAGUGAUCCUAAAACUCCAAGAAACGCUUUUCUUUAUUAGUAAUUUCAGUUACUAUUAUUUUUGGUUAGCUUAAAACCAAUCCUUUUUCAACCAAAGAUUAUGUUUUCUUUUAAAGCUAACCUUGAAAUGAAAAAACAUCAAUUCAACUUUGAAUUUAUGUCAAUAGUAAGUUGAAAACCCUUCCCAGUGAACGAUCUUAGAGCCACUAUGCUAUACUAGCUGAGGCUAUCCUAGUACAUGGUGAUAUAGGUUAUAAAUUUUGUUGAUUACUCCUGUCUGAGGACCAAAAUCAAGGUACACCAGCUAGGCACGAAAAUCAUAUGGUAUAUUGAUGCACACAGUUUGUGGCACGACAGUUUGAUGAAAUUAUAGAAGUGUAGCACUCAUGGGCAUAUCAUGUGAACCUUAUUCAAUGUGGCAUUGACAGUUGGUUUAUAUUUACAUGGGUGUAAUGUCGCACCAGUAUCCUCUAAUGAACCUUGGAUUCUUUUUUCUUUGUUUCUUCCUCUCUUGGUCAAGCCAAACAAUUUAUCUUCAUGACUUUCUCCUAUUACCAAAAAGCAGCAUCUUGUGUUCUCCAUCUCUUCAUCCCUUUGUCAAGACACAACAAUUUGAUGCAUCUUUGCAUUAGGUUGCUUUCUCUCCUUCCCCUCUUCUUUCUCCUCGUCUCAUUGCUUAGUUUUGGCUACUUUGUUUCUUUUGAUCAUUAUGGUAGAGCAUCCUUGCAAGAUGUACAAGAAAUAUGUUGUGGUGCAUUAUCCCCUUCUCUACCACUUGAAAUCUGUUUUCCAUGAUCAUUAAUACCAAGAUGUUUAAGCAUCAAGUAAGGCAUCUCUUGACAAUUAUGCGAGAAAUAAGAGACAAGCAACAUACCGGUAUUCAAGAGAAGUGAUGUUCUACAUUUGCAUUUGACAACAUGCAUUUAGUUUGAACUCCAAAUUUGGGCAACUCAGAAUCUCCACCUUCAUUAGGAUUGUAGAAAGUUAGCUUCUUGGAAAAAUGUGGAAAUGAGGCAUUUAGAAAUCUGAAAGAAUCACAAUGGCUUGUUGCUACUUUUGAAUAAUUCCAAUCAGUAACAACUCCAAAGAUAUAUAUAUAUAAAUCUGUCCCUGGGAAAGAGAUCGAUGUUUCUUAGGCAUGCAACCAUCUCUCUUAACAAACUCAGGGUUCUACUAUUGUGUCACGUUUGAAAGCAAUUUAAUCUAUGUUAGAAGUUUUUUUUUAAUUUAUUCCAUUUUUCUUUUAGUUUUGAAACUUACAAUUAUACAUUGUAAGGUUUCAAGUUUAUCUAGAGAUAUAAAAAGUUGGAGUCGAUGUCUUAGUGGUAGGUUUCAUAAGAAAUGUAGUUAUUCUAUGAAUAUAACUUUGGAUUCUAAUUUUUUAACUUUCUAAUAUUGUAGCUCUUUAGUAGGUCUCAUAGAAAAUGAAAGUUGUGGAAAAGUAUAAUAUGGACUCAAUUUUUUAUUUAUGAGGUGUUGUUACAACACCAUUAAGUAAUUACCUUGAAAAUGAUAUGUUGUUGCAUUGAAAGUAAUAUUAAAUUUAAUGGAGAGAUAUCUAAAUAAAAAUAUCACCUAAUUUUUAAAACAAUAUUAUGAUCUUACUAUUAUGUCAUGCUAGAAAACAAUUUAGUUAUUUUGUGUUAGCAUUUUUUUUAUACAUUAUAUUUUUCUUUUUGUUUUGAAGCUUGCAAUUGCAAAUUGUAAGGUUUCAAGUUCAUUCGAAAAUAUGAAUAGUCGAAGUCAAUGUCUCAGUGAUAGCCAGUAGGUUUCAUAAGAAAAGGAAUUAUUCUAUGAAUAUACCUUUGUGUGGACCCCGCAUUUCGGCUCAAUGCGUUUCCCACUUGAAUGACGAACUCGAUUUUUAUUUGAAAAAUGAUUUUUAUUGAUUAUUUAAAAAUGACUUGGAGUCACCACUUAUUUUUGUUUUAUUUUUAACAGGGUAAACAAAAUAAGAAAGAAAACCCUAAGUGCGACUCCUUAUUUUGGAAAAGGUGAUCUACGAAAAACUGGAUCAGGUUCGGGGGUCAGGUUACUUAUCGGGAAGGUACGGUAAAGACCGUAGUACCCCUCUAAGUCCCUAAGUCAGGUCUCUACUAAUGAGAUGAAGUUGACAUGACAAUCAAUGGGAAAAUCAAUAAAUACUCGAAUCAAUCAGGCACAUAUGAGAGUCAGAGAAUGCAUAUAAACUAACCAGAGUGGGAAUGAGUGUGUACCUGAGCAGCGAGCCACUAUGCGCUAUCAAGAGAGAGGGUUAGUGCAAAACAAAGAGCAUAAACAUAGCUCACAUGUCACUAAAUCGAGUACAAAAUCAUCAAAGGCAUGCAUGGCACUUCACUCAAAAUUCAUUUUUAUUUUAAAGAAAAUUUAUUUGAUGUUGGGCCCCCACCAAAGCCCAUUUAUUUUGCAUGAACCAAAUAUGUAAAUUCCAUAACUAGGAAUUACAAAAUUUGAUUUUUGCGUAUUUUAAAAUAUUUUUAAAAACAAAGAAAAUUCAAAAGUGGCUUGCAGGAAAGAAAAUGACAACCAAUUUUAUAUAAAUAAAAAAAAACGGAAUUUUUCGGAACCUAAAAAAAAUGCUAAGGGUAAAAAUGAGAGAAUUGAAAUCCGGAAAUUUAUUUGAAGAAUAUUAUUUGGGAAGAGAAACACUUUAAAAAUUAAAGAUGGUGAACCUGAGGGUGACACACGGCCUAGAGUGACCAUUCAGACCAUGCAAGGGUGGAUAUAGGCUGUCAUUAAGGAGAAAGAUCCUCAGCUGGGUGCAAUUGUGUUGAGAUUCCUCUAUUGACGCUGGGAAUGCCCUCAUUUAAUGAGGAGAAAUCUCAAUGUGAAGUCAGCUCAUCUUCAGUGGAAACACAUCAUGAAGACCUCUGGUAGCUUAGGGUCCUUUUAACUGUGCGCUUUCUGAAGUUCCAAUCAUCAUCGAAUGACCAAUAAAGCUCUCCUCCAUGGAUGCAUAAAGUGGUCAUUCAACAUCCACCUUCACCUUAGCCCCACAGCAACCCUUCAUCUCCUAUGCCUCCAUCUUUACUUUUCUUGAACAGCAUGUACCUCCCUACUGCAACCCAGCACUACCAAGCUUUGAUCCUCUCUCCAAAAACUCAGAGUUCUCCUUCCAAACCUCUCCAUUUGCAUACACCUCCUUCUCCCAUAUCGGAACUGGUGCCUUAAUUUCAUCAAUCACAAACUUACAAGCGUCCAAUGCAUCUGCGCGGUGGACAGAAGAGAUUGCAAUGAAGACGCUGGUUUCCCCCACUGGAACUGGGCCCAAGCGGUGCGCAACUGCAAUGGAGAGGAGGCUCCAGGAUGCGCGGGCGGAUGAACAAAUGUCGUUGAUGCAGAGGAUGGCCAUCGGAACAUAAGCUUCACAUCUCAACUCCAGAACUGUUUUACCAUCAAACGUGUCCCGAGUCGUGCCUGGAAAGUUGCUACAGCGCCUGCCUUGCUCCUCAAAGAAGCAGAUCCAGCAAGUAUUGCUCCUUUCCUUGGAUACAUGUUGAAGACUCUAGCACAUUCAGUGCUUGUUAUCCGGACAUAAUCAAUGACUGAGACUUGGCCAAACCCCACCAUUGUGUCUCAAACUAGAUGCAUCCUCUCCUCAAUACCAUUAACACCAUUAGGAAUUGUUCGGAAAUCAUUAAUUCCAAAAGCUUUCUGUGUGGAAUUGAAGGCACAAUGAUCAGUCCCUACAAGCUGUAGAUUUCCAGUUGAAAGAGCAGCUUGAAGGGCCUUGUCAUGUCCCGAUGCUCUAAUAGGGGGACUCAUUACAUACUUUGCUGCGUUGAUGAAGUCAAGAUCCUAGAGCCCAGAAUCAUCAGGGACUAACCCAGGAACUACUGGCUCUCCCAUAACCCUCUGUCCUGAUUUUCGAGCUUCAGCUAUUUCUUUCAUCGCAUCAAUGCCCAUCACAUGAACUACAUAGAGAGGCGUGUUAGCAAAACUGGCCCACCGAAUAGCUCUAGCAGUUGCCUAGCAGUGGUUGCUUUGGAUGCAUCCCGGAGGGAUUAUCACGACAAAAAAGAGAACACGUGGCAGUUAUAUUGGGUGAGUCAGAAGUUCCAUGGCUUGAAGCUGCAACUGGGUGGAAGAUUUGAUCUGACACAAGUGCAUUUCAUACAGAAGCAGGAGGUGGCGUGGCUUGUAUGCUAGAAGACACCAUGUGCCCCUACAUAUUCUGACGCAACCUGGAGAUCCUCACUGGACAAAACUGCUUCAAUCCCAGUGAGAGGCAAGUCCGUCGCCCCUUCUUGAAAUUUAGUCAUGUCCUUGUAUCGACUAGCAAGGUGCUGCCUAACUGUAUCUGUUGAAAGCUAAACUGCCUCAGCCAUCAAAUAACUAGAAGGAAGCUCUAGAUAUAGAGCAAUGCAGAUUCAAGUGCUGUGGAUGAGUUCCUCGAGAGUCUACCACAACGCCACAUACAUGAAGCAACCUCAAGUUUAUCAACAGUCAUCAGCAUAUUUCAGCAAACCAAGAGCUGUACUUGUAGAUAGGGUAUUGACACACACGAAAUUCAAGAAUUCCACGAGAGCAGCUUCCUUAGAGGCGUCAAUUCAUAAAGUCACAUGCUUCUGCUCUGACUCCCAUAAAUUCUCGCUUUUUUUAUUCAUCAGAUAUAUGUGAAUAACGUACCUAGGGCCACCCGAUGAGCUGCUAUAGUUGCUGUUAUAGAUGAUAUGACAUUUGACGUUUAUGGGCCUCGGAGACUUGAGUACUUAGCUUUCACCAUACUUCGCGAAUCCUCAUCACUUGAGAACCUCUCAUCAUCAACCUUGCCUUUGGGAAGAUGACCUCCAGUGCAUGCAAGGCGGGGGGAUAAAUAAGAGAGGUGGUACGAUAGGAUGAGUUUAGUGGGAUGAAGAGAGAGAGAAGGUGGCGGGAUGAAAUGGGCAGUGAGUAUGGAUGUCGCAGCUGAGUUUGGUACCCAGAUGGACUAAGUUGGCAGUGAGGUGGUGACGGCGGAGGCGUUUCGCCGCCGGCGGCUUCGUUCGAGGACAACUUCUCAAUUCCUCAAUCAACCCACUUUAAAGCAUCAAGAGUAAUGGAGCACUUGUCUUCUUGAUCCCAACACACAAUAUCCCAGUGACAAUGAAAACCAGAAUUGUUGUGCAUGGAUUAACCACAAUACCAAGCCAAGAACAGGUAGCUUAUCCUCGCCUCCAAAAAUAAAGCCAGAUUCAGAAAUAUGUCACGAGCAACAACUGAGCUAUCAAUUAUGUAUUCCAAUAUUAAUGCCCAACCAAUCAACCAAGCGAUGCCUUCUCCCACACCUAUGUACAAAUAAUGAUAGGCUCUACCAACAGAUGAACAAUGUCAUGCAAGCCCUGCACAACAAAAAUGUGGAGAGCACAGCAGCCGAGAAUACUUCCUUUGUACCCUUCAGCUCAUUUUCUGCUUGAACAAUUCCUCCUCCUCUCAUCCUCAGAUGAUCUCUCUUCUUUCAAAGGUAUCUCUUCUCUCAAAAUCCAUAUAAUUAACAAGAUCCAGGAACAGGGGUGGCCUCAACCAUUAAAAAAAUGCAUGAAAACAGGGCACAAAGGGAAACAAAUAAAAAGGUCCUCAAAGAAGGCUUCACAUCAUGAGUUUUCCGGGAACCUUCUCGGGUUAGGGUGAGGAAUACAGUAUCGAAUGCAAAUAAAUGACAGGACUCUUGGAUAUUUCACAAUCAGAGACAAAGCAUACCAAGGCUAACAAUAUGAAUCCAAGACUAUAUCUCAACAAGGAAUAGGUGGCCUUCAUUAUCCACCUCAAGCAAGACAACUAACACUCAAAUAUCAAUAAAAAAACGGGUAGGAAUAAUAAGAAUGUGAAUCAAACCAUAUAUCAGUUGCAUCCAUACCUGAAAAUGCCCUUCUGCAGUAGGGUCUUGUUAGCCUCCCCAGCUCCAGGAAAGGCUCCUCCUCCCUCCCAAGCUCUCUGUUCUCUCUGGAAAACUCUCACUCUCUGGUUCUUUCUCUCUCAAGUUCCCCUUUUCUCAAGUUCACCGUCCCCCCAGAAACUCUCCUCUCUCUAAAAAAAAAACUCCCUCUCUCAUAAUCUCCUCCUGCUGAAAAGGCACCCCCCCUGUUCCUCUAGCUGGCCUGCUGCUCCUCAACAGAAACGUACCUCCUCUCUAACGGCCAGAAUAUCUCCAUGCCACGUGUCAAACUCUCACUCGCUCCUCAAUUCCACCAUCUGUUUCUAUGACCACCAACCACGAGGCGACACGUGGCUCCUUGAGAGCCCUCCACCUGCAAAGAAUUAUAACCUGUAGAGAUGCAAAGGAAUGAGCCCCAAAUGGGGUCUACACUUUGAAUUCCAAUUUUUGAACUUUCUAAUAUCUUAGUUCAUUAGUGGGUCCCAUAGAAAAUAAAAGUUGUGGAAAAGUAUAAUGUGGACUCAAUUUUGACUUAUGAAGUGAUGCUACAACACCUUCAAGUAAUUACAUUGAAAAUAAUAUUAAAUUUAAUGGAGAUAUAUCAAACAAAAUUAUCACCCAUUUUUAAAACAAUAUUAUGAUCUUGCUAUUGUUUUACGUUCAAAAGCAAUUUAAUUAUGUUGUGUCAGAAUUUUUUUUAUUUAUUAUUUUUUAUUCCAUUUUUCUUUUAGUUUUGAAGCCUGCAAUUGUAUAAUUUUUUAACUUUCUAAUACUAUAGCUCAUUGGUAGGUCUCAUAGAAAAUGAAAGUUAUGAAUAAGUAUAAUGUUGACUCAAGUUUUGAUUUAUGAGGUGAUGUUACAACAUUGUCAAGUAAUUACCUUGAAAAUAAUAGGUCAUUGCAUUGAAAGUAAUAUUAAAUUUAAUGGAGAGAUAUCUAAUAAAAAUAUCACCUAAUUUUUAAAAUAAUGUUAUGAUCUUAUUAUUGUGUCACGUCGGAAAGCAAUUUAAUUUAGCAUUUUUUAAUAUAUCCCAUUUUUCUUUUAGUGUUGAAGCUGGCAAUAUCUCAGUGGUAGCUAGUAGGUUUCAUAAGAAAAGAAAUUAUACUAUUAAUAUACCUUUGGAUUUCAAUUUUUGAACAUUUCUAAUGUCUUACUUCAUUAGUGCAUCUCAUAGAAAAUGAAAGUUACAAAGUAUAAUGUGGACUGAAUUUUUUACUUCCUUCAAGUAGUUACUUGAAAGUGAUAUAUUAUUGUAUUUUAAAAUAACAUUAAAUUUGAUGGAGAGAUAAUUAACAAAAUAUCACUCAUCUUUUAAAACAAUAUCAUUAUCAAGUUGGAAAGAAAUUUAUGUUGGUGUUAGAAUGUUUUUAUAAUUUAUUUAUUUAUUGUUUGCAGACGGUAAGGUUUCAAGUUCCUUUAAAAAUGUGAACAAUAAUUAAGAAUUAGAAAUUUUGAAACAUUAAAUGUAUGGUUAAAGCUAUGCUUAGAUGGUUGAAAUUGCUUUAAAAAAAAAAGUUCAAAUUUUAUUUGAUUAUCUUAAAAAAAUAUGAAAAAUAAAUAAAUAUAAUGAAAAUUGUUUAGAGUUUUAUAUUCUUUUUAAUAUUCGUCCUUUACAGAAAAGAUUAAAAUUAAACAAAUAAAUUUUUAUGAGUUUGUGAAAUAUAUUAAAACUAGAGUUUAUUUUUUGUUUUUUCUUUCCUUUCGUAAUUUUUCUUCCCAAUCUUUCCCACUUCGUCCAAACUUUCCAAGAUCUAAACUUUGUACAUGUUCUCUUCUUUUCAAUUAAAAAUUUUUAAAUUUUCAAAUUCAAAUUCCAAGACAAGCUAAUAAAACCCUAAAAUUAAUAUUAAAUACUAAGUGAAUUAAGUCAAGUUGGUAGCUAAAUUGAAUCUAAUCCGAAUUACUUAACCUAAACUCAAGUCAAACUCAUUUUUAUAAGCUGAAGUUAGGUUUAAAUUAACUAGGUUAUACUUUUGGUUCAAUUGAAUUGAUUAGACUCUAUGGAUCAGAAUUAGGGUUUGCAAGGUUGAGUUAGAUUGAACCUAUUCAUAAUUUUUUUUGUUUAACUUCUUUUAUAUCAUAAUUUAAAUAAUAAAUAUGAUAAAAUUAAUUAAAAAUAAUAACAAAAGAAAAGAAUCACCUUAGAAUCACUCUAAUUUCAAAUUGAGGUUUCCUAGCUACCUCAAAAUUUUAAAUUUAAAAAAAAAAAUAUUUUUAAGUGCAUAAACUAAAUCUAUAGUUUUUUUUGUAGGAGUUUUUAUAUUCCAUAUAAAAGUUUUUACAUAGAGACAAGUAAUAAAUAUAUCUUGUUUUUUCAAUAAGUUUAUGACCCUGAUCGGAUACAAACAUUAUAGUGGGAUGAAUGCAUCUUCACUAGAGUUAUGUCUUGACUCCUAACAUAAUUUUAGAAUUUUUAAGGAAAACGACAAGGAAACCUUAUGAUAAGUGCCUUUUAUUUAGGUAUGGUGGAUAAAGUGAUACCAUUUGUUAGUUGUUUUAUUUAUGUAUUUAUUUAUGGAUUUAAUUGAAUAUAAUUUGUGUUUGAUUCAAAUUUGUGAUGAUCUAUAUAAUUCAUUUAAUAAAUGAAUUGUUUUUUUGGUUAAUUUGCAUAAUACGACUCAAAUUGACUUAUUUAAUAAUUAUAUUAAUUGAUCAAAUUAUAUUUUUAACUUAUUUAACUCAUCUAAAAUUUGAUGUUUGAUAAGUCAUAAUUGAGUUAUAAACAUGUUAGGUUAAGACGUUAAUCAUAUAAUAUCAUACAAUAUUUAAUUUGAUUUUAUUAUUAAAUAUAAUGAAAAUUAUGAAAAUUUUCAUGGAUGAACUUCUCGUAGGAGAAAACUAUGAAAAAGAUAAAAAGUACUAGAGGUGGAAAAUAAGACUUUAGAAAAAAUUAUUAGUGUGAGAUAACAUACACCAACUUUAAAGUGUAGCAAUUAUUGUAUUUUGGACAACCAUGCUAAUGGGGUCAUGUUAUCUUCAUGCCGACUACAACUUUAAAAUUUAGCAAUUAUUGUACUUUCGAUAGCUAUGUUAAUGGGACCAUGUCAACCCCAUCCAACCCAUCUUGAUUACUUAAGUUAUACCCAUCCUAUACUAUUUAAAAUUUUCUAUAUCCUUUUUAUUAUUCUAAACCUUAAUUUUAUUAAAAUAAAUAUAAUUUAUGACUAAAUAAAUUGGUUUUCAUAAAUUUUACAUUUUUAUGUGAUAAAAAGUAAAUUUGUAAUUUUAUUUUAAACAUGUUCAAAAAGUGGAAAUGAAAAAAAAGAAAGAAAAAGAAAACUAAAGACUCGUUUUACUAUGAUUUUUGAAAAUUAUUUUUAAAAAUUGUUUUUUAUUCUUUAAUUGAAAAAUAAAUUUUAAAAACAAGUUUCAGAAAAUAUGAUCAAAGAGCUCAUAUUUUCCUUUUGUUUUUAAAAAUUGAUGAAAACAACACCUACUUGUUUUUCUAAAAAUUGUUAUUUAUUUAAUUUAAUUUUUAAAAAUUGUUUCAAGAGAACAACCAAAUGAGGUGUUAGAAAAUUUUUUAAACAGAUAUUUGUUUUUAAGAAACAGCUUUAUAUAAUUAUGUAUCAUCAUUAUACAUAAAUGAGGUGGAGCAGGACAAUACUCAACCUCCUACCAAAACCAAGCCGAGUUUAAAAAAGAAUACUCCAAUCCUUCCCUCAUAUUUUUUAAACCUCUCAUAAGCCCAUCCCUAGUUGUCAACUCUAACUUUUACUAUAAAAAUAAUAAAUAAAUAAAAAAUCUAUCGUAUACCAUAAAAAAAAAAAGGAAACUGUAGUAUUAAAUAAACAUUUUUCUUUCAAGAAUCAUCUUCUUUUUUUAAUUAUAUAUCUUAUAACUACAAAUAUUUUCAAAUUACAUUUUUGGUUUGUAUCUAAACAUUAACCACUAUCAAUGGAAGCAUUACACGCUAAAAAUACAUUUAUGAGAAUUAAUUCCAUAAGUUCUAUUUAUCAAGUUUUUAUUUGCUUUUUUAUACUAUAAUCUUCAUAAUUGUGUGAUUCAUAUUUCUAAAGCAAACUAACAAACCUAUUACGUGUAAUCUAAUAAGUUACAUUUCUACAUUUUUUCAUCAUUACACACUUAUGUUCUCGUGAUAUAAUCUCUCAUUGCUAGGUUUCAUAAGAAAAUGAAUUAUUCUAUGAAAAUGACUUUGGAUUCCAAAAUUUGAACUUUGUAAUGCCUUAUCUCAGUGGUGGGUCUCAUAGAAAAUGAAAGUUGUGGAAAAAUAAAAUGUGCACAUAAUUUCUAAUAAACUUGGACUUUUGGCUUCAAGCACCCUUUAUAAUCUUCAAGAGAUACCCCACUCUUGAACAACCUCUCAAGUGAUACCCCACACUUGAGAAUCUUCCUCUCAAAGAUAUACAAAUAAUUGAUCUCGCAAAAUCCUAGUACAAAAACUUUAAGCUCAAAUGAUACAAGAAAACUAAGAUUGAAAGGUGCACUAAUGAUAUGCAAGUUUUAGAACAAUGGUGCACUCAAAACACUCUUCCAAGACUCAAAUAUAUUCAAGAAAGGUUUGGGAAGGUUUAGUUCCUGAACAAUGAAGAUUUGAAGCCUUUUUAUAGAGGAGAAAAGCCAAACUAGUCGUUGGGGGUUCGACCGGUUGAACUGGGGGUCGACCGGUUGACUAGCCGUUAGCAUUUAAUGUUUGGCACGUGACCGUUAGACCUCGACCAAACCUCGACUGGUUGAGGUGUGGGUCGAAUGGUUCCUCAUUCGGUUGAAUAACCAUUCUAGAAGAGAGAGAAGGUUUUUUACACCCGUCAAUUGGUUGAGCUAGCGAUCGACCAAUUAUUGUUCACACCCUUGACCAGUUGAACUGGGGGUCAACCUGCUCCUAGACCAGUUGAGCUGGCGGUCGACCGGUUCCUCAUUUGGUUCAACCGAUUGAGCCGUUUUUGGCUCAACAACUAACUUUUUCAACUUAAAACAUUUUAAACAAGUUUGAAAAACAUUUGACACAAGGUUUUAGUUGAAAACAUGAAAUCAUCCAAUUUUAAAAUAUUUAAAGCAAAAUAACUCUUAGAUGAUUUUGGUGCAUAAGUAAAUAAUGUAAUACAUGAAAAUCCUAGUGCACCAAUAACCUUUCAAAGAGAUAUUAUGAAGCUUGGGUCUUGAAAAACACUUCUCUUUGAGGUGGUCUUCUUCUUCAUGAUUUCUUUUUGGCUUGAUUUGUCUUUGUGAUUGUCACUUUGGAAAUCGUUUUACCUAAUCACACUUGAAAUAUAAUCAUUAGUUCUAAACUUUCUUUUGUUAUCAUCAAAAUCGAGAUUAACCAGAUAUUGGUUUCACAAAUAUGACAAACUAUAUAUAUAUAUAUAUAUAUAUCAAUUUUAAAAAAUAAAAAUAAAAAAAAAAUCUAUUUUUUACUUCUUAUAUAAUUUUUUAGAAUUUGUCUUAAUAUUUUAUUAUUUUUUACUUAAUCGAUAUUUUGUGUCAAAAUAUCCAUCAAUAUAUCUCCUAUAUAUUUGAUAUAUCCGUAAAAUCAAAGUACCAAUAUAUUUGUAAUUAUCGAUAUUUUCAUCAUUGAGUUCAUUGCAUGGUCUCUGUGUUCUAUUAUCUAUUGGAAAUGCUUCUCAUUAUAUGUUUUCAAAUGUAUUGGUUUCUACUAACUAUGAUAUAUGCAAAGACGUUAGCUGAGGAGGCUUCUUGGAAGUUUGCAAAAGUGAAUGGGAUUGACAUGGUUACAAUACAUCCAGAGUGGGUGAUUGGUCCUCUCAUAGAGCCUACUCUUAAUCUAAGUGUGGAGGAAGUCUGAAGCUACUAAAAGGUACCCUUCAGCAAUGGAUGAGAAUCUCUAUUUUAUGCUGAUCUUUCUACUUCAAUAUCAAUUUAUACUCAUAAUAAGUAGAUAAAAUGUAAUUAAAAAAUCAACAUUAUUUUCUAUUUUUAAAUUAUAAAUAAAAAAAUUAUAUUAAUAAUUCAAAAACUAUUUUGGAAAAUACUUUCUAAAAAAAUGUUCAUAAAUAAAAAUUAUCUUUUACAUUUUAGAAGUAAAUAAUUUAAUGAUUAAAACACUAUUUAAAAUAAAUAUAUUCACUAUUUUCUUUUCUUUUAUACAAAAAAGUAUUUUAAUAUUUUUUUACUAUUAUAAAAUAAAAGGUUUAAUUUUUUUUUGUUAAAUUUUUUUCCGUCCUUAUUUUAAUAACUUUUUGAACAUGACUUUUAGUAAUAAGUUAUAUAAAAUGUUGCUAAGGAUUUUCUUUUAAUGAUUUGAAUUAAUUGAAAAUUUAUCAAAAUAAGAAAAAUAAAAAGAAAGAAAGAUGAUGGAUGGAGAGUUUUAUUUUAAAUAUCCAAUUAAAUUUUUUUCCUAUGACCAAAUUUUAGAAAUGAAUUAUAUCAAUAUAGAGUAGAAAUUGAAAUUUUCUUAUAUAAAAUGGUUGAAAGAUAUAUUUACUCAUUUUAUAUGAAAAUAAGUAGUUAAAAAUUAUAUAGUUAUGUUUGACUUUGGUUUAAAAAUAUUUUUCUAGUUUUUAUUUUUUAAACUAAUUUUUGUUUUCUAUAUUGUCUCUUUUUGAAAAUACGUUUGAUUACAAAAUGAAAGCUAUUUUUAAAAAUAAAAAUUAAAAGCCUUAUUUAGUACUAUUGUUUUAUAUGAAAAUAAUAAAAAGAAUUAAAUUUCAUUUAUUGAUUCUUUUUUUUCUUUCUAUUAGUUGUUUUAAUAAUAAAAUAAAAUAUAUAUAAUAUGUUCAAAAUUAAACAAAGGAAUUGGUCAAUUGUGUAAUUUUUUCUCAAAAAUAUAAUAUAUUCACAAAAAAAAAAAUUAGAUUUAAGUUUUUCACAAUUUUCUCAACCAAACUACUGGAAUCAUGUUUAAUACACCUAUAGGCACACAUUCACUACAUGAUAUGGAAUUUGUGUAAUUAUACAAGGGUAUUCACUAACUGUACAAGGGGUAUACAAGACUACCUUUUGUGAAAGAUUUCAAUCAAUUUUGAACCACCUUUUUAUUUUCCUUGUCACCCAGAGAUUGCAUACUCAUGUCAUGCACUUUAUUUAAUUUCUACAUGAAAAUUUCAAUACUUUCCCCAAUAAUGAUGUUUGGGGAAAAAAAAUUUGAUCCUGAAUCAUAUGCCAUUUUCUCAAGUAAAUUAUUAGAAAAAUGGUUGAUACACUUAUGUGGACACAUGACUUAGGAAGGAUAUGGAAUUUGUACCACUGUAUAAUGGUAUUACACUAACUGUACAAAGAAAAUGUACUAAGUGUACAAGGGUGCACAAGGCUACUUUUUGUGAAAGAUUUCAAUUGAUUAUGAACUAUUCCUUUAUUUUCCUUAUCAUCAAUGAAUUGUACACCUAUGUCAUGCAUUUUAUUUAAUUCCCACAUGGAAAUUCCACUUACUUUCCCUAGUAACGAUGUUUGGGGAAAAAAAUUUGACUUAUGUCAUCUACUAUUUUCUUAACCAAACCAUUGGAAACAUGGUUAACAUACCUAUGUAGACACAUAAUUUAGGAGGGAUAUGAAAUUUGUGCCACUAUACAAGGGUAUUACAUUAAUUGCACAAGUGAAAUGCACUAAGUGUACAAGAGUGUACAAAGCUACCAUUUGUGAAAGAUUUCAAUCGAUUCUAAACCACUCCUUUAUUUUCCUUGUCACCCACGGAUUGUACACCUUAUGUCAUGCACUUUAUUUAAUUCCCACAUGAAAAUUCCAAUACUUUCCCCAGUAAUGAUGUUUGGGGAAUUUUUUUUGACCCUAAGUCAUCCAUUAUUUUCUCAACUAAACCAUUGGAAACAUGGUUAAACACAUCUACGUGGACAUAUAACUUAGUAGAGAUAUGAAAUUUGUGUCAUUGUAUAAGGGUAUUAUACUAACUGUACAAAAGAAAUAUACUAAGUGAACAAGGGUGUACAAGAUUACCCUUUGUGAAAUAUUUCAAUUAAUUCUGAACAACUUUUUUAUUUUCCUUGUUACAUAAGGAUUGAACACAUAUGUCAAACACUUUAUUUAACUCCCAUAUGAAAAUUCAAAUACUUUCGCAAUAAUGAUGUUUAGGAAAAAAAAUUUGACCCUAAGUUAUCCACCAUUUUCUCAAUCAAACCAUUGAAAACAUGAUUAACAUACCUACAUAGACACAUAACUUAAGAGAGAUAUGUACUUUAUUUGCGUCAUUGUACAAGGAUAUUAUACUAAUUGUACAAGGGAAAUGUGUCAAAUGUACAAGACUCUUAAUAGGUUUGUACGAUUUUUAAACAAUUUGGGCUAGACAUUAAGACGAUUAUCAAUAGUUUUUUUUUUUAUUUUACCAAACUAUGUCAUUAAUACUUUCCCUACAAAAAUUAACACAUAGGAAAUAAAAUUAAAAUCAAUCAUGUUUGAAUUGUUCAUUAUAAGUAAACUAAAUGAAAUAUAUAUUUUUACUAUUUUGCCCUAAUAAACAUAAUUUUAUUGUUAUUAGUACAGAUUAAAAAAUCCUAUUUAAAUGGAAUUAAAAAUAAACAAAAAUGAUUUUUGUAACAUUUUUAUUUUUUUAAACCAUUAAUUUAAAUUAUGAAAUUAGUUUUAAAAUUAAAUAAAGUUUAAGUGGUUAAGUCAUAUCAAAUCAUUAACUUGAUUUAUCAAAAUAAUUUUAUAUUUUAUAUUAUAACAUUAAGUUAUUUUAUCAAAUAUACUUAAUAUACUUAACAACUUAAAUUUAUGUGGCGUUUGGUUUUUGGUUGAAUAAAAAAAACCAAAAUAUGUGAUUUCUUUUAUUUAAUUAAAAAUAAUCUAUUGAUGUCAACUGAUAUAACUAAAUUGAACAUAUUAAUUACAAGUUUACUUUAGUUAUGUUGAUUGACAUCAAUGUUACUUUUAGCUUAAUAAAACAAAGUCAAUUUGAUUUUUUCUAUUCAACUAAAAAACAAAUACUGCCUUAAUCUUAUCAACAUCCUCUAAGUUCUUCUCAAUUUUUAAUAUUUAUUUGAUACAUAUUUAAUAAGAAACAAGUCAAAAUGUGUUAUCUCAAAAUUUCUAAUUCAAACUCCUACUAGAUUUAAAAUUCAUUAAUUAAUUUGAAACAAAUUUGUUUUGGAUAAUACAAUUGAUGGAGAUAGUACAUAUCUUAAAUUUCUAACUAAAAAAAGCCUCAUAACAAAAUAAUUUGAUGAAUAUUUUAAGUUUAAAAUAUUAGAACCAUUUCACAAUGAUUUUGGAAAGUUAGAAAUGUUUCCAAAUGCUUGAAAAUGUUUUUAUAACACAAACUAGACAUUUUAUAAAAACUAAAGUUCACAUUCUAUGUAAUUGAUAGUGCCUCACAUAAUUUUUUUUUUCUUUUGGUUAUACAUAUAUAUAGGGUGAACGAUACUUUUUAAGUAGGUAUAAAAAAGGUUCUACCAAUUAGGUGGUGUCAUGUAUAUAUUUUUAAGUUUCAUAAUUUGUGCCUUUGUACCUUCACUCUAUUUGUUUAUACCUUUGUUCAACAAUGUAAAUCUCACCAUAUAUAUUCAAUGGUCAAAAUCUUAACUUCGGUUAGUAUCACUACACUAUCUUAGUAUUUUUUUUUCUCUCUCUAUAUAUAUAUAACACUAACUACUUUUCUAUGAAAAUAUUUACAAUAGAAAUGCUACAUAUUAGAAGUGUUUUUAUCAAAAUAAUUUCUAAACCAACCUUAAUAUUUGUAUUAGCUUUAGUUGAUAUAGCUACUUGAUAAAACCAACCAUUCAUAUGAUAAUUAUUCUAGAUCUUACUUUAAUUUGAUAAAAAUAUCCACCCAAGCAUCACACAAAUCAUAAAUAUACUCCAUGUCUAUUUGGAUAAACUUGUUGUUUUUUGUUGUUAUGUUUUUAAAAUAAGGAGGGAUAUAAGAAUUCUUAAAGAAUUAUAUUAAAAAUAAAAUAAUAGUUUUAAAAAUCAUUUAAAAAUUUAAGGUAUUAUACUAUUUUUUUUAUUAUUUUUAAACUUAAAUUUUAUUCAAAUAAAUAUCAUUUAUGAGUCAAUAAAUUAGAUUUCGUAAAUUUAAUAUUUAGCAUUUAUAAAUAUAAAAUUUUCAAUUUUAUUUUAAACAUGUUCCAAAAGGGGGAAAACCAAAAAGGAAACUAAAUUAUUUUUAUUUAAUUUUAUAAAAAAAAUUCUCAAAUAUAUCCUUAAUUUGUUUAAACUUGUCCUAAAUCCAUCCAUAAUUGUCAUUUUUAAUUUUGACCAUAUAAAAAUUAAACCCAAAUAUAAAAAGGUUGAGGAACAUCAAAUAUAAGGAGAGGUUGAAAACUUUUAUAAUGCUUGGAGGUAUUUUUCUUACAAACAGAGUCUGUUUGGUCGUAUGAUUUAAAAACAGUUUUCUGCUUUUAAAAAUAGAAAACUAUUUUUAAAAAUUUACAACACUGUUUGGCCAUUGUUAUCUGGAAGCAAUUUAUAAAAACAAAGUGAAAUAGAGAACAAUUUUUAGAGAACAAGUAUAAGUUGUUUUCAUAUGUUUUUUUUUUAAAAAAAAAAGGAAAAUAUGGAUCAAUUUGACCAUAUUUUCUUGAACUUGCUGUUUUUUUAAAAUAUUUUUUAGAUUAAAAAUGUUUUUUAAAAUCACUACCAAAAGAAUUUUAAGUAUUAUCUCACUCCACCUCAUUUAUAUAUAAAAUUAAGUAAAAAUAAUUUACUUUCCUUUUCCAUUUCCCCUCUUUAAUCAUAUUUAAAAUAAAGUUACAAAUUUACUUUUUAUCAAGAUAGAAUAUAAAAUCUAUAAAAAUAAUUUAUUUAAUCAUAAAUUAUAUUUAUUUAAUAAAAAUUAAAUUUAAAAAUGAUAAAAAUAACAUAAAAUAUAUUUAAAUAAGAUAGGAUGACUAUAACUUCUAAAAAAAUUCCUUGACCCCAUCCUAUUCUGGUACAUGUUUGGGUUGGAAUAAAAAUUUGUUGAAGUAAUCAAGAUGGGUUGGGAACUUGGGAUGAGGAUAUGACCCCUUUCACAUAAUUCGUCAAAAUUCAAUAAUUGCUAAACUUUAAAGUUGUUGCAUGCCAUCUCACAGCAAUAAUUUUGUAGGAGGUCUUUCCACCUCCACUUCUAUCUGCUUCAUUAAUUUGUUUACACACUGCUUUGCUUUCUACCUCUCUCUCUCUCUCUCUCUCUCUCUCUCUCUCUCUCUCAUUCACUCUCAACAAACCCCUCCUUACUUGUUUAAUCUCUUCCAAAAACAAAUAAAAACAAUUAAUUCUAACUAUUCAAAAGUUAAAAGUUAAUAUUAUAAAUGUAAACUUAAAUGCAAGCAUAUAAAAUAUAUAUCAUAUCAAACUCUAAAUAUAAAUCAUUAAUAUAUUUAAUCAAGUCCAAAUUAUUAAAUAAAAAUAAAAAUAUAUAAAAUGGGGUAUAAAAAAAUAAAACUAAAGCAUACAACAAAAAAAUGAUAUUUAGGUACAAAUAAAUAAAAAUUGGAUAUAAAUAAAUAAAAUCUAAAUCAAAGUGUUAGAAAAUCAUGUACAUAGGAUUUCAUAAUUCUAGUUUAAUGAACCAAAAAUAGAUGUACAAAACUCAUCUUGUGAUAUUAUGAUAGAAAUCACCUUACAUAUAUUGUUUGCAACGCUGCAUCACUUUAGUAGCACCUUGUCACCUUGUAUCGGUAUUAACACCUUGUAUCUUCCCUCUCUUUACUCUCUCAUUCUUAAUCUUUGUAUAAAUGAUAGGAAAGGAGAGCGGGACCAAGAGCUAAGGCCAUUUUCUUUAUUUGUACCUCUAUUUCCUCAGUUUCUUCCUCUUUUGGUCAAGCCAAACUGUUCGGUUUCUCCAUUUCUUCUUCACCCCACUGCAUUUUGGGUUCUCCCUAUAACGGAAGCAUUCUCAAAUCAAGAAAAUCCCUCAAAUCAAGCAACAAAAAUGACUGCAGAUUUUUAGCCUUCAUUCAAGGAUGUAACAGUCCUUAUUUUUCUUGUAAUCGAUAGCCUUAAUUCUAGGAAACUUACUUAGAAUAGCUCUUGUUAACGUGUAUUUAUUUUUUCUCAUACAAUCUCUUGUUACGGUGUAAUAUUUUUCAAACAGAGCAGUAAUACAUUAUUGAGAAAUUCUCAAACUCCAUCAUGGUAUCAGAGCAGCCUUCCUCUCACGAGAACUCAAUCCAUAAUUCUGAAAACACCCACCACCCGAUUUCCACUCCACCAUCCUGAUUCAUCCCCGGCAACGGCGCCAUUUGAUGCGACUCAUGGUAGCUUAGCUUUAAAGGCGUAUCAACAAAAUUUAUACCUUAAAUACUAUUACUAAAGUAGCCAAGCUACUAUAGCAUAGUGGUUCUAGGAUCGUUCACUAGGAAGGGUUUUCGCAAACACAAGUGAUAUUCAAAUUAGGAAAAUAGGUGAUUUUCUUAUGGAUGUUAGCUUUAAAAGAAGAUGUAAAUGUUUUAGAAAGAUUUAAACUAAUCUAAGCUAACAUUAAAGACUAAAAUGAAAGGGUGUAAAAACAAGUUUCUCAAAGAUAGGAUAGCUAUGCUCUGGCUCUUAUGCAAAUUGGAAAUCUCAGGAUAGGCUCCUCGCGUUGGGGUUGCAACUAUGGUGAUGCUUGCUUCCCGAACCGGUAUGGAUUUAGCAAAUCAAGUUUUAAUCCUUUAAAAUGACAAAACAGAUGGUAGUGAAUUUCAUCAAUGGUUAUUCACCUUAGACUUCCUUUGAAUGACUCGUAAGAGAUAACUAAUGGUCUAAAGCCAAAAGCUUACCAAAUAUUGGCAACUCAAAGUCAUUCCAGGUGAUAAACUCACCUUUCAAUGGCCAUUGAAAUUGGUUCUAACGGAUUAAUGCAAAACUUGGAAUUGAAAACCUCACCUUCCAAUAGCUCGUAGGAGAUAACUAAUGGAUAGAAAUCCAAAAGCUUAUCAAGUAUUGGCCGUUGGAAGUUGUCCAAAGGAAAUAAAAACCAAACUUUGCAUUAAUGAACCUUUAAUGAAAAACGACUACCUUACCUUCCGGGUACGAGAAAUUUCCAUGGGAGCAAUCCAAGCCAUCACAUAACAUCCAUACUUUGAGAAACUAAAAGUUUUAGCCAAUCAUCCUCUGAGGAAAAGCCCUCAGAGGCUGUUUGGCUUCCAAGAAAAUAAAAUAGUAAAGAGAAAAGAGAAACGAGAGAGCUCUGUAUAUUUUCUCUAAGUGUAAAAAGUAAUAUCUAUAUUAUAUUCUAUAUUCCAAGAGGUGAUUUCCACCCCUUAUAUAGUCUUUACAAAAGCAAAAGCUUGUGAUUGGUUAGUUACAAGGAUAAGAAAGGAAAUUACAUCACAAAAUACAAAGGAAAAUAUCUAAAGUGGAGUCGGCAAAAACAGAGGAAAAUUCGCACCACGCAUGGGUUAUGCGAAUUUUGAAGGUGUUAUGCGAAUUUCGCAUAACACCUUGUGUCGUGCGAAAUUUUCGCACAACCUGGAGCAGUUGGCUUCCGAAGGCCAUAUCUUCCUCAUUUCAGCUCUAAAUCGUACACGGUUUGAAGCGUUGGAUUCUUGACUUCCAGAGCUUUGAAAUGGUAUAUAGCAUGUAAAAAAUGGACUUCGGAAAGUGCUCCAAAAGUGUGAAAGAAGACUGCAGCUGCUGUCCUAUGAUUUUUUCACUUUGCUUUCCUCUUCUCCAUUGUUCUUUCCUUGCAUACUUUGAACGACUUUGGCAAAGGGCUAUGGAGCUCCAAAGCUUGGUUCUUCAUGAAUUUGAGCUUCCAAAAGCUUUGCCAUAACUUGUCCAAGUAGCUCCUCCAUCAUUUGGCAUGCUUGAAUUGAUUCAUAAGCUGAUAAAAACAUGUAAACUUGCCACAAAAUGGUUAAAACCAAUUACUAAGGACCUUAAUGAAUUAAUUGGGUUAAAUGAAUAUGAUUACUACUCAAAGGUGCUUAAAACCAUUAUAAUUAGGUCUACAAAAUAACACUUUUUGGUAGUAAUCACAUCCCCAACCAAUAUUCCUCUCAUUGCUUUCAACAUCUCUGCUCAAAUAAAUGAAAAACUCACACCAUCAACCUUCCCUCCAAGGAGGAAAAUAUCGGUAAUCACGGAUAUAUCGGUAUUUCGAUUUUACGGAUAUAUCGGAUAUAUCGGAGAUAUAUCGGCGGAUAUUUUGGAAAAAAAUAUCGGUAGACUCAAAAUUGUUAAAAACUCAUUGAAAUGUAAGGAAAACCUCAUAAUAAUAUAAUUAGAAGUAUAAUAGACAUUUUAAAGUUGUUUUAUUGAAAAAAUUGAUAUACAUAUGAUAUAAUUUACGAUAUUAGAUGUAAUUAUAUUAUGUCGAUCUAUAAGAAAUGUUAAUUUUGUAAUUGUUCUUAUUAUAAAGUUACAUAAAAUACUUCAUUUUAUUAAAUAUCAAUAAUUUGUACACAUUACAUUGCAAUGUCCCUUUAGUACCAAAAUGAGGAUCGAUGUGGUUCAAUGGGAUUGAUAGAUGAAGGAACCCCGUUUUGCUGUUAGAGACAAUAUUGGUCCCAACUCAAUAAGCCUCGAUUAUAUUGGUUAAAAAUUCUAACAUGUCAUGCAUAUAUAUAUAUAUAUACAUUGAUUAUUAAAUUACAUCAAAUAUUAUUCAAUAAUAAUAUUGUGAUAUUUGAUUAUAAUAUGUCUAAUUUUAAAAUAUAUUUAAUAUUAAAAUUAUGAUAUAUUUAAUUUAAUUGUAUUAAAUGAUAAUAAAUGUAUAAUUUUUUAAUAUUUAAUUAAUAAUAUAUUAAUGAUAUUAAAAACUUAUUUCUACUUAAUUAAAUGAAAAUUUUUUAUUUACUUAUAAAAUAAUUAUAAUUAAUUCGUAAUUUAAAGGAUUGUUUUAAUAUUUUGUGUAUAUGAACACUUUUAAUAUAUAUAUGUAUGGUGUUGUAUUAUAAACAAGCAGUAAUGUUGCCUGGAUGGUUGCUAGGUGUCCUUUCCAACUUUUGGUCGGGGGUUCAAGUCCUGUGAGAAGCGAAAUGGAGGGCUUUUGGGCAUCAACAGAACAUUUUUAGCUGGUUUGACUCGGUCAACGCUCCGCGUUGACCCGCGUUGACCUUCGAUAUUUCUGUGGCAAAUGUCGUGUCGACAUGUACCGAUACACCGAAAUAUCGGCGAUAUUUCGGCGAAAUAUCCCGAUAUUUUAUUCCCUGCUUCCCUCAAUGGCGUGCCCAGUUUGAAGCUCUCUUAAUUGGCUACAAUCUACUUGAUUAUGUCAUAAGUGACAAUCCUCCUCCUCCUCCGAGUGAUUCCUCUGCUACCAAUCCACAGAAAACCCACUGGAUAAGAUAAGAUAAACUUAUCCCCAGUGCCAUUUUGGCAUCCACCACCUCCACAAUCACCCCAUUCAUUUCCGCUACACAAACAUCACAACAGGCAUGGCAAAAAUUGCAUACCAUGUAUGUGAGCAAAUCUCGUACUCGGGCCAUGCAAUUGAAGGAGGAACUCACAAUGAUUAAGAAAGGGAAUUAGACAGACAGUUCAAGAAUACCUGCACAUUGUCAAGGCUCUUGUUGACAAAAUCUCCCUCAUCGAUCAUCUCAUUGCAGAUGAUGAUCUCACAUUGUACAUUCUCAAUGGAUUGGGCAGUGAUUUUCGAGAAAUCGCGACACCUAUACGAGAAAGGGAAAAACCACUCGCGUUUGAAGAAUUGCAUGAUCUACUCGUAGGCCAUGAUGCCUACCUCCGACGCCUUGAAACCACCACACGGAAACUAGUUGCAUCGACCAACUACUCCAAUCGGCAUCUUGCUUCUUCAUCCGGCGGCCAACAUUCUAAAGGUAACUUCAAUGGGCAACACAAAUACACUCCAAAGUGCCAAAUCUAUGAUGAACUGGGCCACAUUGCAAAACAUUGUCCACGUCUGCGCUUUGUUGAGCCCACUGCCAAUUAUGUUGCCACUUCACCUGCAACAAACCCAAAAUGGCUUAUUGAUUCUGGAGCUUCACACAACAUUACUGGUGAUUUAGCCAAUUUAUCUAUUCACUCUGAGUAUGACGGCACUGAUGAAGUUGUCAUAGGUGACGGUUCAGGUUGCAUGUCUCACACGUUGGCUCAUUGGUUCUCAAAUCACCCACACACACUUUUCAUUUAAAUAAUACUCUUUGUGUUCCUAAUAUUCGCAAAAAUCUCAUUUCUAUCCAUCACUUCACCUCACAAAACAAUGUUUUUGUUGAAUUUCAUCCCUUGUUUUUCCUUGUUAAGGACAAGAUCAUGGGGGCGGUUCUAAUCAAAGGUGCAUGUGAAAAUGGUGUUUACACUCUCUUGGAUUUACUAGUGCAAGAUUCUCUAAAAAUGGUUACCAAUGUGCAUGAACGGACCUCAAUCAAUGGGUGGCACAAGCGUCUUGGACAUCCCUCUCAAAAAAUAGUUCAUCACCUUGUUAAGAAUUUUUAUCUUCCAAUAAUACAAAAAGAACAUAGUUCUCAUUUUUUUACCUCUUGUUCUAUUACUAAAGCGCACAAACAACCAUUUCGGACCAAUAGCCUUCAAAGCCAUGCACCUCUUGAUUUAAUUUAUACUGAUGUUUGGGGUCCCUCAAAUACAAUUAGUCUUGAUGGAUCACGAUAUUAUUUGAUUUUGGUUGAUCAUUUUACAAAGUAUAUUUGGUUUUAUCCAAUAGAAACCAAAUCUCAACUAAGCAUGAUAUUUCCUCAAUUUAAAUAUCUCAUUGAAAAUCAAUUUCAAUCAAAAAUCAAAAGUAUCUACUCAGAUAAUGGUGGUGAAUUUAUUGCCUUAAAAAAAUAUUUUUCUAUACAUGGCAUAAGUCAUUACACCACAGCUCCUCACACACCACAACAAAAUGGUGUAUCUGAGCGUCAUCAUCGUCAUUUGGUAGAAACGGGUCUUACCCUUUUACAUGAUGCUUAUUUAUCUCUCUCAUAUUGGCCUUAUGCCUUUUCAACGUUUACUUACCUCAUCAACAAACAGCCAACCCCUUUCCUACAUAACAAACCCCCUUUUGAAGCAUUAUUUCAUCAGCCCCCCAACUAUCUUAAACUAAAAAAAUUUGGGCAUCUAUGUUUUCCUCUCACCAAGCCCUAUAACACACAUAAGUUGCAGCCCAAGGCAACACCAUGUUUGUUUGUGGGCUAUUCCCCAACCUAGAAUGCGUAUAAAUGUCUUGAUCCACAAGCCCAUAAACUAUAUUUAUCUUGGCACAUUUUGUUUGACUAAAGUGAAACCCAUCAUCUCCUCCGUUCAGUUGAAACACAGUCCUCCAUUCAGUUGAAACACAGGUACCAGCCAUGUCCAUUUCGCCUGCCUCACCUGUGCUGCUCACACUUUUGCCGCAACCACCGCCAGUGCCAACGAGAGGUAACGCCAUUUUCGCCUCAUCUCCAAGUAACUGCCUCGACUCAUCUUCUUCUCCUUUUCAAGAUAUGCAAUCCCUAAACUCAUGCCCUAAUUCCUCUCAAUCACAUGAACACUUGGAUUCUAACUCAAAUUCACACACCAAUCCACUCUCAGAACCCAUGGUUGUCCAUAAUGACCAUCACAGUGACCCUCCACUGCCUCAUUCUCACCGCAUCCACACCAUGACCACUCGGUCAAUGAAUAACAUUCAUAAGCUCAAACAGUUCAACUCCAUGACCAAACACCCACUCCCACCAACCAUUGAACCAACAUGUGUGGGCCAAGCACUUCGUGAACCUCACUAGAGACAUGCUAUGUCAGAUGAACUUACUGCUCUCAUGCGUCAUGGCACUUGGGAUCUUGUUUCCUAGCCCAAAAAUUGUAAUCCUAUUGGGUGCAAAUGGGUAUUCCGUGUGAAAUGAAACUCAGAUGGUUCAGUUGACCGCUUCAAAGCAAGGCUUGUCGCUAAAGGAUUUAAUCAACGAGAAGGGUUAGAUUACAAAGAAACCUUUAGCCUAGUUGUAAAACAUGCAACAUUAGGACUGUCUUGACAGCGACUGUAAUGCAGGGGUGGUCAUUAAGACAAUUAGAUGUUAACAACGUUUUUUUGCAUGGUGACUUGAUUGAGACUGUGUAUAUGACACAACCACCAGGAUUCAAAGAUGUCAAUAAGCCAAAUCAUGUGUGCAGGUAAUGUAAGGCUAUCUAUGGCCUUAAACAUGCCCCAAGAGCUUGGUAUUCAACUCUUAAACUGGCAAUUAUGGGUCUUGGUUUUCAAAAUUCCAAAGCUGACUCAUAUCUUUUUAUCUAUAGUUAGAACUCUGUCAUAUGCUAUAUUAUUAGUAUAUGUGGAUGAUUUGGUUAUCACUGGCAAUAAUUUGUGCUUUGUGUCUGAGAUUGUUGCACAACUUGGUAAUUGGUUUUCCUUAAAGGACAUGGGACAACUUAACUUUUUCUUGGGAAAGGAGGCUAUUUCUACAAAAUCUGGGCUUUUUUUUUCUCAACAUAAAUAUAUUCGAAACCUAUUGUCCAAAACCAAUAUGAUUGGUGCUAAAGAUGUCUCAACCCCAUUGUCCACCACCACGUCCCUCAAAUUGGUUGAUGGUACUUCAUCUACCAACAGUACAGAGUUUCGAAGUGUCAUUGGUGCUCUUCAAUACCUGUCCCUCACUAGACCGGAUAUCUCAUUCUCUAUAAAUAAACUUUCUUAGUUUAUGCAUAAGCCUAUAGUGACACAUUGGACAACUGCAAAGCAACUUCUUCGCUAUUUAAAGCACAUUAUAUUUCAUGGACUUCAAAUAAAAAAUAAAAAUAAAAAUCCAGCUUUGAACUCAUUACAUAUUCUGAUGCGGAUUGGGCGGGCAACUAUGAUGAUUUGAUUCAUGCCCAGUUGGUGUCUCAGCUGAUUUGUGUUCAGCUGGUGCUCCUUGAUUGAGGGAGUAAUCAACAAAAUUUAUAACCUAUUACACCAUAUACUAGGGUAGCAAAGACAAAGCUACUAUAGCAUAGCGACUCUAGAAUCGUUCACUGGGAAGGUUUAACAAAUUAUCAAUGAUACCAAUUCAAAGUGAAUUGGUAUUGUUUCAUUUCAAGGUUAGCUUAAGAAAUAAAACACAAACUUUGAUUGGUAAAGAUUUAGAUUUAAACUAACUACAAAGCAAGUGAUGGAAAUUACUUAGGAAGAAAAACAUUCCUUGGAGGGUCAGGUUCACUGGGGAGGUUCCUCAUGCAAAAGACAUAGCUCCGGUCAGUUGGUUCAUUUCCUCGCAUUAGAGAAGCAACAUAUAGUCAAUUCUCUAACCGAUGUUGUACAGAUACAUCCUUUAAUUAGAUUUCAGCUUUAAUUCUCUCACUGAUGCAACUUGCAACGGUUCGAGCCUCUCACUAAGCCUUAACCAUUCAAGGUGAUCUUUAACCUUGGACUUCCCUUCACAAGCUCGCAAGAGAUAACUAAUGGAUGUCUCCUUAGAGUCCAAAAGCUUACUAAGUGUUGGCAAUUCCAAAAAAUCCUACCUUCAAGUCACCUCCCAGAGGCUCGCAAGGGGUAAACUAGUGCAUCUCCAUGGUUGGAGAUCACUUGCCUUACCAAGUGUUGGCCCAGGUGACUCUAAGGUGUUUUAAGUUAACUAAAAACAUAGAAAUCACUAAAGGAUUUCACUUCCUCUUCAUUCAUGGCUGAAACCACAAAGCUUUGCAUUCUUGCACUUGGAACCUUUGCCGACAACCUUAGCUCCAAGGAACUAAAGGUUUAGUUACUCAUUCUCUGGGGAAACUUCCUCAGAGAGUGCAUAACUUAGAAAAAAUGAAAAAUACAAAGUGAGAAGUAAGACAAAACAAAGUCCUGAAUUUUACUUACUUUCAAACUUUUCAAAAGGUCCUCCCUGAGACAGCUCUUGAAAGCUAUUUAUACACAAACAAUACUAUAUNNNNNNNNNNNNNNNNNNNNNNNNNNNNNNNNNNNNNNNNNNNNNNNNNNNNNNNNNNNNNNNNNNNNNNNNNNNNNNNNNNNNNNNNNNNNNNNNNNNNUUUACUUACUUUCAACUUUUUCAAAAGGGUUCCUCCCUGAGAACAGGCUCUUGAGAGCUAUUUAUAACAACAAAAACAAAUACUAAUUAUUACACGGAUAUUUUCUCUUUUUACUAACUUAAAAGCUAAGGAAUCUUAUAAUUGGUGGCUUUCAAGGAGAAUUUUGGGAUUUAGACAACAAAAAUUUGAUGAAAAAUAUCUCCCAAUGUCGGUAGCAAAUAUCGGGACACACUAAGGAUCAUUUCGCAAGUGUAAACGAGGUCUGCGAGAUUUCGCAGAUGCACAAAAAGGACUGCGAAAUCACUUCGCAGCAAACGGCUGAUUUCGCAAUGCUGCGAAAUGGUCUUUCAACUUGUGGUAUUUGGCUUCCAUCAUGACGGGAAACUUCAGGGGGGAAACACAGCACUGUACAUAAAGGCUGCGAAAUCAUCUCGCAACAAAAGGGUGAUUUCGCAGCGCUGUGCAAAAUUCUUCCUUCAGCUUGGAGUGAUCGGCUUGAAAUGGCUGUAACUCCUUCAUUUCAACUCCAAAUUGCGUACCAUUUGAAGCAUUUGAUUGUUGGCUUCCUGAGCUUUGAAACGACAUAUAGCAUGCAUAAAUUGGACUUCAGAAAGUGCUCCAAAAGUGGCUGACAUGACUGUCAUCAAGAAUAUGCUUCAUGACAGAUUUCUCUUUGCUUCUUCUCCUUACAUUCCGGAUUUACUCAUGGCAGCAAAGGACUUCAAAGCUUUAGUUCUUCACGUUUCUGAGCUUCAAAUUGCUUUGCCAAAGAUUCCACAUAACUCUCCUCAAUCUCGGAUUGCUUUGGUGAUCAAAAAGCUAUCAAAACACCAAAACUUAACACAUUGAUUAGAAGUGCUUGCAAAGGUCUUUAAUAUGUUAAUUGGGUUAAAAGACAAUAACUACUACUCAAAAGUGUUUAAAAGAGUUAAUUACAAGCUAUGAAAUAGCACAUUUUGAGUAGUAAUCACUCCCCCCAACCGACAUAUUGCUAGUCCCUUAGCAAUGAAGGAGAGAAAAAAAAAAAAACUAUAAUUUACAACAUCAUGCUGAUUACUUCAAAAAAUUUUAAGUGGCAUGAUGAUCUAAUUCUCACAUGAGGCAUUAAAGAAAUAUAAACCCAAAUUUCAACAAGAGUUAUCACAUACUAUGCUAAACACUAUUAAUCAAGGGAAUGCAUUAUGCAAAUUGAAGUUUUAAAAUCAUUUUCACUUCCAAAGAACCAAACUUUAUUCUUCCACAAAAAUCUAAGUGUAUGAUUCCUUAGCUUCCGAAUAUAGUAUGCUAAACUAAUCUCUCCCCCCAACCUAUCUCUUUUCAACACUUAGCAAACUGACCAAAAUCAAUAAGAAAAGAACACUCUUUUUUUUUUUUUUUUUUUUUUUUAAAGAGGCUUAAAGGGGUAUUCUUUCUGAAUUGUCCAUGUAACGGGGGUCCAUCGAUGACUCCCAACCAAUUAAGGUUUAGGGCAUCAAGCUUUAAGGAUCUUUCAACCACUAACUCCUUGGAUUUUACCCCGGACUUUUGAGAAUGAUUGAUUUUUUAAUACCCAAGCACCUACCAUAUGCUAACUCCACCUAUCCACCCUUGUAACGAGCAUUGAGGUCGGUGACUCCCAACCAAUUAAGGCUUAGGGCACCAGGUUUUAAAGAUUUUCACCAUAUACCCCUCAGACCUUGCUUGGGUUUCAAGGCAAGCAAACAUUUUUCUUUCUUUAUUUCAAAGGCUCAUUGGCCUUUCAUAAGGUGUCUCAACUUUAUCAAAUGAGGUCAAAGGUACCAAGUCCCAAAAUUUUCCUAAGUCAAGAGGGAAAUAGUUUUUCAUCUUAUACUCGGAACCUAUUGUGCACAGUGUGUGAAUAGCUUAAAGUGGAAGAACUAAACUCGAUUUCAAUAGAAGCUUCAACAAUUGAACCACUUUAGUAAGCAUAAUCCAUACUCUAAGUCAAGUGAAAAACAACAGUUCAGUUUCUCCUGUUUUAAUUUGAAAAUUUUUCCUCAAAAUCCAUGGAGAUUAGAGUGGACAAUAAAAGAUUACAACUAAUUUAUCAACAUAAUUGCAUUGUCAAAAUAACUUAGCAUACUUCCUUUAACUUAGCAUACUUCCUUCCUCAUUUCUCCCCCCCCCCCAACCGAACUGAGCAUUGUCCUCAAUGUGAUAUGGGUGAUUGCAAUUAAAGGGAGGAAGUGGUACCUCCUGAGUGAUAUCAAUUUCGAAUACUGAUUGGAGAAACCACAUGUUUCAAAAAGAAUAAAAGAUGUGAGAAAAGGAAAUAAGAAUAAAUUAAUGCUAAAGGUUAACAAAAAAAUAUGCUAAACUUGUAUUACUUUGAAUUCAUUUGAGUACAAUGAAAAAGAAGGCAAUACAAGCAAUCCCAUAUAUGAUACCAAAAUAAUGGGAUUUCAUAAAAAACUAAGAAAAAAAAUGAAAUACAUAAAGAAAAUAUGUAGUGGAUAUAUAUAAUGAUCAGAUGGGUGGAUGGUGCUGGAAUUAAUGGCUUAGGCAGAUGGCUCUGCCUCUUCAGUAGCUGCUUCAGAAGGGGCCUGAGACUCUGUGGCCUGCGAGUGUGGCACUACAGUGGUGGGGGUGGAGUGCUUAGUAGCUGAUGGAAGAUCAAAAUGAUGCUGGAGCUGCCUCAAGAUGGCAGUGUGCUGAGCCUGGGUGGUCAACAUCUGCUCCUGGCAUGCUCUAAUAGCUGCCAUCUCCUGAGCAAGGCUGCUCUGAGAUGCGGUGAGGGUCUACAGUGAGCCACAUAACUCCCUAUACUCAUAAAUGGGAAUGGCCAUCCUUGGCUCAGCUGAAUUCGAUGGCUGAGAUGAGGCUGGAGUGACUGGAGGGGCUCUGGAUAUGGUAGGAGAGGCAAUGGGUAUACCCUCAGGUAUAUGACGUGGAGAUGCUCUCCUGGCUGCUGGUAUCGCAGCUGGCUGUGGCUGUCCUGGCUGCUCAACUCUAUAUGCUGUCAUAUUGUUCCAUUUGUCGAGAGUAAAGACCUCUCGUCAAAUACGUUUGCGCUCCAACUGAGGAUCUGAUGGAUACCCCAGAUGCUCUAGAAUCUGACACAGCAGCCGUGGAAAAAGAAGUGGAAUGGCAUCAGCUCGCUGCAGCUUCUUCUUAUGCACCUUCUCUUCAAAAUAGAGAAGGGCAGCCAUAAUUAGGUGGUGAGGGCCAAAGAAAUAUCCCUCAGAAAUCUUGAACAGGGCCUCUAAAAGCACUCCUCUCCUCUGAGUCCAGUGUUGGAGUGGGUAGAUGUUAUGACGCAGAAAUGCAUCAAUAAGAAACAUGCUUGGAGGAAGUUCCCCCCUCAACAGAUGUGGACACGUGAAAGCUCCUCUGGACAAGAUAUGUACCAUCUCCAGCUCAGUGGGACUAGUCCACACUCUGAAAUCCUCAAAAUGAGUUGGCUCGUAUGGUAUAUGCAGGGCUUCUGCUAUAUGGCGAGCUCCCAAAAUGUCAUGCCGACCAUCUAUAGUAAAAUAGAUUAAAGUAGGAUCUCUGACCUGCUUGGUAGUCAUGGACUGAUAAAAAUCCAUGGCUACUCUGGGGUAGAAGAAGUCUCUUGGGCCAGCAACUGCUUCAUAUGAUAUCUACGCAAUAGGCAGAAUGAAUCUGCAAGCUCCGACCUCAAUUGGAAGGUGGUUGUGUCAAAGCACAGCUCAGAGUGGAAUGGCCGAGCUCUGCAGUCCAAAUUCCCUUCUAUUGGCGGCUGAGUAAGCAUCGGACGCCUAAUUAGCACUUCAGGAGUUACCCCAUAUGGAAUUUGGGAUUCAGAAAGUGGCGGCUGGAGCUCCUGAGGCUGUGCUGGCGGCGCCGGAGACGGCACCGGAGAUGGCAGUGGAGAGGGCUCUGGUGAGGGAACCAGGGACUGCUCUGUUAAGUCUAUGGGCUCUGAGCUUUCAACCCUGGCCCUCUUUUGCAGGGGACGACCCCCUGACCUAGUGAGAUAACGCCUCGCCGGAGGAUUUUUAGACACGGGCUUCGCCGGAGGGGGAACAGCUUUUGGCCGCGGAGGUUCAGAGAUGGGGCUUUGAACAGGUACCUCUCGCGGAACUCGUUUGCGGCUAGAAGGAGAUGAAGAUUUGGCUCCUCUAGUUCGCGCCAUAUCGGACUGUCGAGAUUUGGCCAGAAGUGAUGACCGGAGAAGAUGACCGGAGGUUCGCGCGUCGUCGGGCUCGGGCAAGGAGAUGAACAGACGGCUGUUAUGGCAUUCCCUCAUUUUGAAAUCCUUUUGAAACUCAAAUGACAGGUAUAUAUAAAAAUAACGGAAUAUUAAAGGUCAUUUUGAGGUUCGUAGAAGAACGUUGAUUUCACAGCAAAAAGCUGUUCUCGCAGCCCACUUCGCAGCCCACUUCGCAGCUUCGAAAUGGAUGUCACUGUGCUGCGAAAUGGCACUCGUGUGCCAAAGUUGGUUUCGCAGCUGCGAAAUACCCUGCGAAAGGAAGCUUUGACUGCGAAAACGGGUAUUUUCACGCUUUGUAGCUUCGCAGCCGAUUCGCAGCUUCGAAAUGGGGGCUCCUGUUCUGCAAAGUGGCACUCGUGUGCCAAAAGUUGGUUCGCAGUUGCGAAAAUUUUCGCAGAGGAGUCAAAUGAGUUGCGAAAUGAUUUCGCAAAGGAUGGCCGCUUCCGUAGAGACAUGUUGAUUUCGUAGCAACUUCGUUUAAGUUGCGAAACGGUUUCGCAGCGAAGUGCUAAUUUCGCAGAAACUGCGAAAUCUCGCAGACUCCUGUUUUUGCUUUGUUUUCACUCUGUUUUGCUCUAUUUUUGGUCCGAUUUCGCUCCGAUUUCUUCCUUUCAAUUUCUUUGCAUUUUAUCUCACCUGAGAUCAUCCAAAAAGAUUAAAUUACAUAUAAAAACAUACUUUAAGAUCAAAAAUUAAAAUGAAAAGUAUGGAAAAAACUUUGAAAUUUAAAAAAUUUACAAAAAUUUUGGACUGUGGUAAAACCAAGUCCAUCAAACCCUUAUUUGCUUAGGCUUUUUGUGGCUCAAGGAGGUUGAUUUCCUCCUUUUCUGGUUUGAAUGGCUCCAUGAACGGCUUGAGACGAUAUCCAUUGACUCUAAAGGUAUCUUUGCCAUUGGAAUUCAAUAAUUCCACCACUCCAUUGACGUAUACCCGAUGAAUAAUGAACGGGCCUAUCCACCUUGACUUGAGCUUUCCAGGAAAGAUAUGGAGUCUUGUGUCAUAGAGUAGAACUCUUUGUCCUUUCUGAAAUUCUUUGUUGGAAAUUAGUUAAUCAUGCCACUUCUUCAUCCUCUGUUUUGCAACUUUGGAAUUGAUAUAAGCAUCAUUUCUUAAUUCCUCCAUCUCAUUAAGGUCUAGGCACCUCUUUGCUCCGGCUCUGAUCAAGUUCAUGUUCAGCUUCUUUAUUGCCCACCAAGCUUUGUAUUCAACUUCCAUAGGGAGAUGACAUGUUUUGUCAUAGACAAGACGAUAGGGAGACAUGCCGAGAAUAGUCUUAUAAGCUGUUCUAUACGCCCAUAAUGAAUCAUGAAGCCUAAUAGACCAAUCUUUUCUUCUUGAAUUCACCACUUUCAUCAAUAUGUUCUUUAUUUCCCUGUUAGCUAGCUCAACUUGCCCGGAAGUCUGAGGAUGAUAAGGCGUAGCUACCUUAUGCUUCACUCCAUACUUGGAUAAUAGAGCUUCAAAAGGUUUGUUGCAAAAAUGAACACCUCUAUCACUGAUUAUGGCUUUGGGCACCCCAAAUCUCGAGAAAAUAUUCUCUUUAAGAAACUUGAGAACCAUUCUGUGAUCAUUUUGUCUACAAGGGAUUGCCUCAACCCAAUUAGAAACAUAAUCCACACCCACCAAGAUGUAAGAAUUACCAAAAGACAUUGGGAAAGGCCCCAUGAAGUCAAUGCCCCAUACAUCAAAUAGCUCAACUAUUAGAAUGGGGUUCAUAGGCAUUUGAUUUCUUUUUGUUAGCUUUCCAAGCCUUUGGCAUCUAUCACAACUCCUACACAUGAUGUGGGCAUCUUUGAAAAGAGAUGGCCAAGUAAACCCUGAUUGCAACACCUUCAUGGCUGUUUUCUGAGAGGCAAAGUGACCUCCACAUGCAUUCUCAUGACAAUGGUUUAGAAUCCCUUGCUGCUCUUCUUCAGGGACACACUUCCUUAUGAUCUGAUCUGCACAAUACUUAAAAAAGAAGGGUUCUUCCCAAUAAUAAGCAUGAAUUUUUUAAAAUAAGUGCUUCCUGUCCUGUGCAUUCCACUCACUUGGAAUUUCACCAGUAACUAGAUAAUUAGCAAUAUGAGCAUACCAAGGAGUUUUUACUAGGAACAUAAGUGAUUCCUCAGGAAAGUAAUCAUUAAUAGGCAAGGGAUGGGAAUUAUGUGCUAUAACUAACCUUGAAAGGUGGUCAGCUACCACAUUCUCCACUCAUUUCUUAUCUUUGAUUUGGAGAUCGAAUUCUUGUAGCAAAAGAAUCCAUCUAAUCAACCUUGCUUUUGCAUCUUGCUUUGUCAAUAAAUACUUCAAGGUUGAAUGGUCAGUGAAAACAAUGAUGAAAGACCCUACUAAAUAAGCACGAAAUUUGUCCAAGGCAAAUACCACAGCUAACAAUUCUUUCUCUAUAGUUGUGUAGUUCCUUUGAGCUUCAUUCAGUGUUUUGCUUGCAUAGUAGAUCACAUAGGGCUUCCCAUCUUCUCUUUGGCCAAGCACAACUCCUAUAGCAAAGUCACUAGCAUCACACAUCAGUUCAAAGGGUAGUUGCCAGUUAGGGGCUCUCACUAUUGGAGUUGUUGUUAAAAAUUUCUUCAGUUGAUCAAAGCUAUUUUGACAUCUUUCAUCCCAUAUAAACUUAGCAUCCUUAGCUAACAGCUCACAAAGAGGUUUUGAAAGACUUGAAAAACCUUUUAUAAACCUCCUAUAGGGUUUGCAUGGCCAAGGAACUGCCUUACUCCUUUUAUAGUUGUUGGGGAUGGUAAUUUGACAAUAAGCUCCACCUUUGUUUUAUCUACUUCAAUGCCUUUUUUGGAGAUAAUAUGGCCAAGGACAAUUCCUUGACGUACCAUAAAAUGGCAUUUCUCCCAGUUAAGCACCAGGUCUUUUUCAAUGCAUCUGUGAAGAACCGCUUCCAAAUUGAUUAAGCAUUCCUCAAAUGUACCUCCAUAUACGGUGAUUUCAUCCAUGAAAACCUCCAUAAUUCGCUCCACCAUAUCACUGAAAAUACUCAACAUACAUCUUUGAAAUGUUGCAGGUGCAUUGCAUAAACCAAAAGGCAUUCUUCUGUAGGCAUAUGUUCCAAAUGGACAUGUAAAAGUGGUUUUUUCCUGAUCUUCCACAUCAAUUUCAAUCUGAAAAUACCCUGAAUACUCGUCCAAGAAACAAUAGAACGGAUGGCCAGAGACUCUCUCCAGUACUUGGUCAAUAAAUGGCAAUGGAAAAUGAUCUUUCCUGGUUAUAGCAUUCAACUUUCUAUAAUCAAUACACACCCUCCAACCUGAAGUGAGGCGUGUAGUAAUUUCUUCCCCUUUUUCAUUCUGAACCACUGUAAUCCCUGACUUCUUUGGUACCACUUGAGUAGGACUCACCCAAGGGCUGUCAGAUAUAGGGUAAAUAAUGCCUGCUUGAAGUAGCUUCAGCACCUCAGCUCGCACCACCUCUUGUAAAUGAGGAUUCAAUCUUCUUUGAAGUUGACGAAUUGGCUUUGCUUCCUCCUCCAUAUAUAUAUGAUGUGUGCAAACUAAAGGACUAAUGCCUUUCAAGUCGGAUAUUUGCCAUCCUAUUGCCUUCUUACACCUCUUGAGAACUUCCAUUAGCAACUUCUCUUGAUGACUGGUCAAAGAUGAAGAUAUUACGACAAGACAUUGAUUAUUUUCUUCAAGGUAUGUAUAUUUCAGUUCCAUGGGUAGAGGCUUCAGAUUGAGUUUUGGAGUCUCUUUUUCAGCAACUGCCUCUUCUUCUUUAUUGAACAAAGGUAGAAUCUCUUCUAUCCUUCUCCAACUUUGUAGAGUAGCAAGCACAUUAGGGGGUUCAGACAAACCUUCCUCAAAAUCCACAAGACUUUCAUUCAACUUGUCUUGCAUAUUCUGAUUACAGUGCUCCUCCACUAGAGUGUCAAUAAUGCACAACUCUUCUGGACCCUCUUCUUCUUCCAGAGUGGUUUGCUUUUUAGACAUAUAGAAGAUAUUGAGAUCAAGUGUCAUGUUGCCAAAAGUAAGUUGCAUAAGCCCAUUCCUACAGUUGAUGAUUGCAUUUGAGGUAGCAAGGAAUGACCUUCCAAGGAUGAUAAGAACUAAAUUAGCUUCCUUUACAGUAGGGUCUGUAUCAAGAACAAUAAAAUCUACCGGAUAGUAGAAAUUAUCAACUUGAACCAAGACAUCCUCAAUUACCCCCUUUGGAAUUUUUACUGAUCUAUCUGCUAGAGAUAGAGUGAUUUUCGUUGGCUUCAACUCACCAAGUCCCAAUUGCUUGUAGACGGAAUAUGGAAGCAAAUUCACACUUGCUCCCAAGUCUAACAAAGCUUUCUCCACUACCUUUCCUCCAAUCAUGACUGAAAUGGUAGGACUUCCCGGAUCUUUGUACUUCAACGGAGACUUACAUUGUAAGAUUGCACUUACUUGCUCAGUCAAGAAGGCUUUCUUAUUUGCAGUCAACCCUCUUUUAAUAGUACAUAAGUCCUUUAGGAACUUUGCAUAUGUUGGAACUUGUUUAAUCAUAUCCAGCAGUGGGAUAUUGACUUUCACUUGUCUCAAUACUUCAAGAAUUUCAGAUGCAUUUCUAAUCCCCUUUUUCCCAUGUAAUGCUUGAGGAAAAGGAGGAGAAUUUGAUUUCUUCAGCAUUUCUUCUUUUUGAAGCUCCUUCUCUGGAAUUGCAUUCAUUGUUGAAUCAUAGUCCUUCUUCUUUUCACUGAUCUCACUCUCUUUGUCUUCCAUUUCCUCCCAUUUCUUUAUCUCUUCUUCUUCUUUCUCAACAUGUGGCUUGGGUGUUGGCUUCUCAAUUUUUUUACCACUCUUUAGAGUGAUCAAGGCUUUGACAUCUUUCAUCUAUGAUGAUUUCCCCCUCAAGGCUUUCCACUUCAUGGACACCCUUGGGGUUUUGGUGGGGUUGAGAAGGAAAUCUUCCCUUUUCUUGCACUGUGUUCAAAUUUGUGAGCCUUGAAAUUGAGUAUUGGAAAUUAUCAAACUUUUGGGAUAUAUCAUUUUGCAUUCCAUCCAUCCUUUUAUUCAAAGUACUCUCCACUCUGUCAAUUCUUUGAUUGAGUUGAGCAUUGAUGGCUUCUUGGUUUCCAACAAAAUCUCCCACUACCUUGCUGAGAUUUGCUAUUGCUUGUUCAAGACUUGAAGAUUGUUGAGAUGGUUGAUCCGGCUGUUGGUACUGAGUUGCUCUGGCCUUCCAUGAGAAAUUUGGAUGAUUCCUCCAACUUGAGUUGUAAGUAUUUCCAUAAGGCCCAUUGUUAUUGGACUUGAAUUGUCCAACAACAUUUGCUUGAUCUCUAAACAUUUCCCUUUCAGCUGAAAUUACAGGGCAUUCCUCCACCAAAUGUUCAUAUGAUUGACAAUUAGGACACAGCUUCACUUGCACUGGCGCUUCAGCAACAGCUUGCACUUCAUGUAUCCUUUUCAGCUCCAGCUCCUCCAAUCUUCUUGUCAUAGCUGCCAACUUUGCUUUCAUAUCAUCAUCUUCUUUCAAGGUAUACAUCCCAGCCUUAGCAUUAAAAGCACUCAGUUGAGACUUCAUCUUCCCCACUUCUCCUUUGGUUGGUUCAUCCCAUCCCCUUGAAACUUCGGCUACAUAGCUCAAGAAAUCCAUAGCUUCCUCCGGAUUUUUGCUCAUGAAAUCUCCUUCACACAUUGUCUCGAGGAGUUGCUUCAUUGAGGAAGACAUCCCAUCAUAAAAAUAGCUCACCAAUAGCCAAGUAUCAAAGCCAUGGUGAGGGCAAGCAUUUAUAGCUUCCAUGUAUCUUUCCCAACACUCAUAGAAUUUCUCAUUCUCUUUAGCUGAGAAGUUUGAAAUUUGCCUUUUCAAGCCAUUUGUUCUAUGAGUGGGAAAAAAUUUCUUGAGGAAUUCAGCUUGUAAGUCAAUCCAAGUGCGGAUACUCCUUGGCCUUAAAGAAUUAAGCCAAAUUUUGGCCUUAUCCUUUAAAGUAAAAGGAAAUAACUUAAGCCUCAUCAAAUCAAUUGAAGCUCCUCCCUCUUGGAAUGUAUUACAAACAUCUUCAAAUUCCUUGAUGUAUGCAUAGGGAUUCUCACUUUCCAUCCCGUGGAAAGUUGGUAGAAGUGGAACAAGAUACGGUCUGAUCACUAGCUGCUCUGUAGGGGGCACUAUACAUGAUGGUGCACUCAUACGAGGUGGAUGCAUGCGGUCCCUCAUUGAUCUAAAUUCAUUGAGAUUGUCUUGACGACCUUGGUGGCUAUGCUGAUCUUCAGGUGUAGCUUCCAUGAUAUUCAAGCUCAAUUCCAAUUCCUUGUUAUGAGGUGUAUCACGUUUAACAAGCCUUCCUCCACUGUCUCGUAUCCAAUUUGGCAUACACAACUAGUAUCUAUUUGUAACUAAAAUGAAAAUAAAGGACAACAAAAGGAAACAGGGCUACAACAACAAAAUUAAACUAAGCUGAAUUUAAAAGAUAAAUUUGGAUUAUGAAUUAGUAAAGAAAGAAUGAGAAUUAGUAAAAUGAAAGAAACGUUACCAAUCUUGUGAUGAAAAUCACCAGUGCUCUUUGACACCUUCCCCGGCAACGGUGCCAUUUGAUUCAUGCCCAGUUGGUGUCUCAGCUGAUUUGUGUUCAGCUGGUGCUCCUUGAUUGAGGGAGUAAUCAACAAAAUUUAUAACCUAUUACACCAUAUACUAGGGUAGCAAAGACAAAGCUACUAUAGCAUAGCGGCUCUAGGAUCGUUCACUGGGAAGGUUUAACAAAUUAUCAAUGAUACCAAUUCAAAGUGAAUUGGUAUUGUUUCAUUUCAAGGUUAGCUUAAGAAAUAAAACACAAACUUUGAUUGGUAAAGAUUUAGAUUUAAACUAACUACAAAGCAAGUGAUGGAAAUUACUUAGGAAGAAAAACAUUCCUUGGAGGGUCAGGUUCACUGGGGAGGUUCCUCAUGCAAAACACAUAGCUCCGGUCAGUUGGUUUAUUUCCUCGCAUUAGAGAAGCAACAUAUAGUCAAUUCUCUAAUUGGUGUUGUACAGAUACAUCCUUUAAUUAGAUUUUAGCUUUAAUUCUCUCACUGAUGCAACUUGCAACGGUUCGAGCCUCUCACUAAGCCUUAACCAUUCAAGGUGAUCUUUAACCUUGGACUUUCCUUCACAAGCUCGCAAGAGAUAACUAAUGGAUGUCUCCUUGGAGUCCAAAAGCUUACCAAGUGUUGGCAAUUCCAGAAAAUCCUACCUUCAAGUCACCUCCCAGAGGCUCGCAAGGGGUAAACUAGUGCAUCUCCAUGGUUGGAGAUCACUUGCCUUACCAAGUGUUGGCCCAGGUGACUCUAAGGUGUUUUAAGUUAACUAAAAACAUAGAAAUCACUAAAGGAUUUCACUUCCUCUUCAUUCAUGGCUGAAACCACAAAGCUUUGCAUUCUUGCACUUGGAACCUUUCCCGGCAACCUUAGCUCCAAGGAACUAAAGGUUUAGUUACUCAUUCUCUGGGGAAACUUCCUCAGAGAGUGCAUAACUUAGAAAAAAUGAAAAAUACAAAGUGAGAAGGUAAGGCAAAACAAAGGUCUUGAAUUUUACUUGCUUUCAAACUUUUUCAAAAGGGUUCCUCCCUGAGAACAGGCUCUCGAGAGCUAUUUAUAUAAACAAAAACAAAUACUAAUUAUUACACGAAUAUUUUCUCUUUUUACUAACUUAAAAGCUAAGGAAUCUUAUAAUUGGUGGCUUUCAAGGAGAAUUUUGGGAUUUAGACAACAAAAAUCUGAUGAAAAACAUCUCCCAAUGUCGGUAGCAAAUAUCGGGACGCACUAAGGAUCAUUUCGCAAGUGUAAAUGAGGUCUGCGAGAUUUCGCAGAUGCACAAAAAGGACUGCGAAAUCACUUCGCAGCAAACGGCCGAUUUCGCAACGCUGCGAAAUGGUCUUUCAACUUGUGGUAUUCGGCUUCCAUCAUGACAGGAAACUUCAGGGGGGAAACACGGCACUGUACAUAAAGGCUGCGAAAUCGUCUCGCAACAAAAAGGUGAUUUCGUAGCGCUGUGCAAAAUUCUUCCUUCAGCUUGGAGUGAUUGGCUUGCAAUGGCUGUAACUCCUUCAUUUCAACUCCAAAUUGCACACCGUUUAAAGCAUUUGAUUGUUGACUUCCUGAGCUUCGAAACGACAUAUAGCAUGCAUAAAUUGGACUUCAAGAAGUGCUCCAAAGGUGGCUGACAUGAAUGUCAUCAAGAAUAUGCUUCAUGACAGAUUUCUCUUUGCUUCUUCUCCUUACAUUCCGGAUUUACUCAUGGCAGCAAAGGACUUCAAAGCUUUAGUUCUUCACAUUUCUGAGCUUCAAAUUGCUUUUCCAAAGAUUCCACAUAACUCUCCUCAAUCUCGGAUUGCUUUGGUGAUCAAAAAGCUAUCAAAACACCAAAACUUAACACAUAUUGAUUAGAAGUGCUUGCAAAGGUCUUUAAUAUGUUAAUUGGGUUAAAAUGCAAUAACUACUACUCAAAAGUGUUUAAAAGAGUUAAUUACAAGCUAUGAAAUAGCACAUUUUGAGUAGUAAUCAAUCGAACCUCCACAUUUGCAUAUAUCUCAUUUCUUGGUGUCAAUCCUAUCUCCUGGAGUUUAAAGAAGCAAAAGGCAGUGGCACGUUUAUCCACUAAAUCAGAAUAUAGAGCCCUUGCCAAUGCAGCCUCCGAGACAUCAUGGCUUCUCUCAUUAUUCAAGGAACUAGGUCUACCUUUAUCUGGACAACCCAAAUUGCUCUAUGAUAAUUUGGGUGCAACUCACCUCAAUUUUAAUCCAGUCCAACACUCUCAAAUGAAACACAUUCAGAUUGACCUUCAUUUUGUCCGAGAUAUGGUUCAAAGUGGCGUUCUAAAUGUUCAUCAUGUUAACACCUAGGACCAGCUGGUUGAUCUUCUCACAAAAGGACUCUCACGCUAAAGGACAGAAAUUUCAAGGAACAAGAUUGGCUUAGCCGAUGACAGCUCCAUCUUGCGGAGGCAUAUAAAGGAAGCAUCCUCAAAUCAAGAAAAUCCCUCAAAUCAAGCAACAAAAAUGACUGCAAAUUUUUAGCCUUCAUUCAAGGAUGUAACAAUCCUUAUUUUCCUUGUAACCGAUAACCUUAAUUCUAAGAAACUUACUUAGAAUAGCCCUUGUUAACGUGUAUUUAUUUUUUCUCAUACAAUCUCUUGUUAUGGUGUAAUAUUUUUCAAACAGAGCAGUAAUACAUUAUUGAGAAAUUCUCAAACUCCAUCACUCCCAUCUCUUUAUCCUCAAACAAUCAAGACACAAACUUUGAUGCAUCUCUGUCUUGGAUUCUUCCUGUCAAAAGGAAUAGUUGAAGUAUCUCCAUUGCUUCUCUGUUUCUUUGAGUCAAAGGACAGAGUCUGCCUUUCUCUGUUUCUUCUAAUCAUUUUCAAAAUGCAACAUUGUGAGAUCUACUAAUCCUAAACCUAUUUCUCAAAGAAUCAAAAUCAUAAAUACCAAGAUGUAUACACAUGCAGGUAACACAUCCUCUUGACAAUGAUGUGACAGGUGUAGUAGACAAGGAACAUACAUACCUGUAUUCCAAGGAAGUACUAGUGCAUUUGAUGACAUUGUUCUAGCCUAAAUUCCAAAUUUUAGCAAUCCAAAAUCGGUAACUUCUGCAAAAUUUACCUAGUUGUUGAGGGAACAACACAUCUUCUCUUACCAUUUUUAUCUUAUGCACUACAUAUCCCAUGUCAACUGCCACUUCCACUACACCUGAAUGAAGUAGGAACACAAAUGAACAUUUCAAGGCAUCAGAUUGUUUGAAAAUUAAAUUAGGAGAGGUAGAACUACCGAUGCUUACAUGGAACUAAGGAAAAGACAAACAAGAUCAACAAAAAUGGAAGAGAAAAUGCAAAUCCAUAAGCCUGUAGUUGUUGUCCAAAGCAGCUUCCUUGUCAAUUGUCAACAAAAAGUCUACUAUGAAAUUCACUGGUAGAGCCACAUAUAGAAAAUUGCAAUAAAUGGAAAAGUAAGAAAUCUGCGCUAGGAAUGGGUGAAGCUUAUUGAAUGUAAGAUUCUAAACAGUCUCUGACUAAACAGAGUUGAAGAAUAGGGUUUCACAGGAAUAAUUUUCUUUCAUUGAGAUUAUUCUUUUAUAGAGUUUACAACAUAUACAAAUCCUUCAAAUUAUGAAACUAAAUCACUAAUUAAAAAGAAAGAAUAACUCCUAACAAUUACUUUCCUAAAAAUAAAAAGAUUAACAACUAAUAAAUAAUUUACAUCUUUACAAAGUUAUUUCUUUCCAUAUCAAUUUCGGUUUUCCAACAAACACAAUUGGAGUAUAGAUAGUAUCUCUUAAAGGGAAGUGAGGUCUUGGUGACCCUAGAAGGUUAAGGCUUCUAGAUACUGGAAUAUUUGUGUGUAGACAUACAUAAGAGAGAUGUAGGAAGGAACAGGCAAGCCUGUGUCAUCUGAGUAGAGGCAUCUGGAAUCUUUGUGUGCCAUUAUUCAAUCCAAAAAGAUGUUGGGAGAGAUUUGUUUAGGAUUUAUGUGAUGUACAGUCUUUUCACAAUCAUAAAUAUGAAGGUAUUUAAGUAUGGCAUUUUGGAAUAAGGUGAUAUACCAGUAACAUGGAAAAUAAUGUGAUCACAAAGGACUACAUAGUUAGCAUGUUUGGAAUAGUUGUGGUUGGUUAAUUUCAAGCCCAAGUUUUAGCACCUAAAAACAUGCCCAUUUUUUCCAGACCCUUUAGCAAGCCUGCACAGAAGCAUUCUCUGGUUGUUACAUACAUGGUGUCUGAUUACUACUCAAAAAGUGCUAUUUUGCAGCUUGUAAUUAACUCUUUUAAACACUCUUGAGUAGUAAUUAUUACUUUUUAACUCAAUUGACAUGUUAAGGACCCUUGCAAUCGUUUCUAAUCAAAUUGUGUUAAGUUUUGGUGUUUUUGAUAGCUUUUAGCUACACCAAAGCAAUCCAAGAAUGAGGGAGAGUUGUAUAUAGUUCAUGGCAAAGCUUUUGGAAGAUCAAAUUCAUGAAGAAACCAAGCUUUGGAGCCUCAUAGUCCUUUGCCUUAGUCAUUCAAAGUAUGCAAGGAAAGAGCAAAGGAGAGAGGAAACAGAGUGAAGAAAACAGAGGACAGCAGCUGCAGUCUUCCUUCACACUUUUGGAGCACUUCCCGAAGUCCAUUUUUUACAUGCUAUAUACCAUUUCAAAUCUUAGGAAGUCAAGAAUCCAACGCUUCAAACCGUGUAAGAUUUGGAGCUGAAAUGAGGAAGAUAUGGUCUUCGGAAGACAACUGCAUCAAGUUGAGGGACAAUUUUGCACCUUGCGAAAUUGGAACUUCAAUGUGCGAAAUUUAAAGUGUAUGGCAACUGUGCAGUCGCAGUGAAGCCCAACAUGCGAAAGUGGAUUCUAAGUUGCGAAAUCAACUUGUGAAAUUUUUGCAAGUCACCAUGCAACGUGCGAAACUGGGAUUUUUGUGCAUCGACUUUUUUUCUUCUGAUAUUUUGUGUCUAAAUCUCCAUUUUCUCCUUGUAUUCAGCCACUCAUGUAAUUCCUUAGCUAGGAAGUAUUCAAGGAAGGGUAAAUUACCUUCCUAUAUAAACUCUCUUGUAAACACUAAAAAAAACUCUCUCUCUCUCUCUGAGGAGCUUGUUCCAGGAGACGAACUAUUGUAUAUUUUACACUUAGUGAAAUAUAGAGAUCUUUUUGCUUUCCUUUUCUCUUUUCUAUUUUCUUUUUCUUGGAAGCCAAACAACCUCUGAGGAUGUUUUCCCAGAGGAUGAGAGGCUAAACCUUUGGUUUCUUAGAGUGAAGGAAGCUAGGUGAAAAGUCCAGAUGCAAAAAUGGAAAACUCUCGUGCAUUAAAUACAGGUAGUUGGAGUUCAUAAAUGGCUUUUAAAUCUAAAGUUUUGCUUUAAAUCCCUUAGAAUCACUUUGAAUGGCCAAUACAUGAUAAGCUUUUAGGUCUCUGUGGAUACUUAUUGCUAGAUCCACAUAAGACCAUUAGUUAUCAUGUACGAGCCAUUGGAAAGUGGCUCAAGGUGAAGACCCAUAGUGUCUAAAGCCAUUAAUGGAACUUGACUACCAUUUCUAUUGACUUUUUAUGGAUUAAAUCUUCAUUGUUAAACCUAUACCGGUUCGGGAAACAACCAUCCUUUAUGUUGUUGUCCCCAAUGCGAGGAGAAAGAUCCGAAAUUUCCCACUUUGCAUUCUGAACUUGAUCCUAGCAACCUUUAGCUCUGGGAGACUUUCUUUCUUCCAUUUUUACCUAGUUCUAUGUUAGUUUAGUUCCAAACACCACUUUCAAAACAAAUUUUCUUUUCUUUUAAACUUUAAGUUUUAGACAAAGGAAAUCAUCAGACUCAAUUUCUAAUCUUGAGUCUAUCACUGGUAGAGUGAAAACCCAUCCCAGAGUUCCACCCUAGAGCUGCUAUACUAUAGUAGCUUUGCUACGCCAGUAUAAGGUCAUAGGAUUUAUAAAUAUUUUUUUGAUUAAAUUACCCAACUGGGCACGAAUCAGUGUCUGCAUAUCAAUCAACACAUUUUGAUGUUUUUUUUUUCUCAAAUUCCAUAUUAAAGUUAUACUGGACACUUGAAUGUGAACAUGUCUGAUUAUAUCUUUUCUUUCCAGACAUGUUUCAUCUCUCCAGUGCACUAGGUUUGGAUGAACCUUAAAGCUCAGCUACAGAAUGAAACUGGAAUAUUAGUCAUGUUUUCUGUUCAUAGAUUGAUAAAAAUGUUGAGUAAGAUCAAGAAAGUUGUUAAAUGGGAAGAUGAUGAUUUUCUUACUGUCAGUUUGCAUUGAAAAAAUGGUAAUCAGAAAAGAUAUUUUAGAUAGGAUUCAGAAAGAAAAUAUGUUGAUUCAAAAGUUAAAGAUAUAGUACCCAAGGGGCUAUGAUCCUGUAUAUGGAUGUUUCAUGUUUUAAGAUUGUGCACGAAGUGCUGAUGUUAUAAGGGAUCAAGGGUGGUUUGUGGAGUAGUCCCCUCUUCAGAGUAUUGCAAGUAUCUAGAUAAUCCUGCAAUUCUGGAGUAGGCUUCUUCUAAUUUGCUCUGCUCCCAAUCGUCCAGAAUAGUGGAAAGCUUCAUUCAGUUGUAAUAAUUUUAUUAUUUAGAUUGAAUCAUAUUCAUUAGGUUUAUAGAUAAGGAGAAAGUGUCAUGGCUUUGAAUGUUUGUCUCUUUGAUAAUAUCACAGUGCAUUGGUUCACAGAGAUGGAAGCAUGACAGUUGAAUGAAAUGACUGAAAUGUAGCAGUCAAGGGUAUAUUAUAUGAAAAAUUUUAAAUAAAGCAACCUGUUUGACUUUACAUAGUGUGCUUGCAUCAGUUGUGGACGUCUAAUGGUUGGAAUAUCCUUGCACAUAUGUCAUCAUUUUCUUUUUUUUCAACUCUGUUUUCUUUGUUUCUCCCUUCCUCGAUCAAGCCAAACCACUUGGUGAUUCUUCAUUUCUUCUUCAUCCCAUCAAGAGAACAGCAUCUCAUGCAUCUUUGUAUUAGGUUCCUCCCUCUUCUUCAACCCUAAGGAAAAACCGUAUCUUGCUUAGUUUGGACUUCUCUAUUUCUUUUGAUCAUUGUGAAAAGAAUCAUGAGAAGAGGUACAAUAAAUGUGUUGUGCUGAAUUAUUCAAAACAUUAUUUUCAUAAUCAUAAAUACCAAGGUGUUUAAGUAGCAGGUAAGACAUCUCUUGACAAUGAGGUGAGAGGUAGAAAUAAGCAACAUACUUGUAUUCAAGAGAAGUUCUGUUCUUCUUUUGAAAUUUGACAACAUCCAUUUAGUCUGAACUCAAUAUCUGGGCAACUCAAUAUCUCCACCUUCAUUAGGAUUGCAGGAAGCUGGCUUAUUGGAAAGACAUGAAACGGGGGCAUUUCAAAAUCCAAAAAAAUUUCAGAGACCUGUUGCAACUUUUGAAUUGCUCAAAUCAGUAACAACUCCAAAGAUAUAUACAUAUCUGCCCCUGGGAAAUAGAGGUGUCCUAGGCAUGCAACCAUGGAAUGUUAGCUCCCUAAUAGGCUCAAGGUUGUGAUCAUAAAAAAUGCACUGAGUGAGUGACUUGCAAUCAGUUCUGUGAGUCCCUCUUGGUAGCUUCUCAUUUAUUUCACCAUAUGAAUUGCAGAUUCCAACUGCCAAUUUCACCACCCCUAAAUGAACUAGGAGACAUGUUGAAAGCAAAGUUAGACAACUCAUCAUAGAGUUAAUCCUGUAGGAAUACACCAAAAAGGAAAUCUUAUUAAUAUAAAUGAAUUCAUCCAAUUAAAGGAUAAGGUUGCCUGAAAAAUUAAAUUGAGAGAGAUGGAUAUAGUGAUGCUUACAUGGGACUGUGGGAAGGAUCAACAAGAGAAACAAAUAUUGAAUAGAAAAUGCAAAGCCAUAGAGUUUGCAACUGCUGUCAAAAGCUGCUCCCUAGUGAAGUCUUUUAACAAUAAAUUUUAGUGCAAAAUUCGCCUAAUUGCUCCACUUGUAGGACAUUUCAAUAGUAUGAAAACAGGAUAUGGUGAACUCUCCCUGCUUCUUCCAUUAGUGAACUAAUAUGGAUCAAAGAUGAAUCUCGUCAUCUACAUCUAUUUUUACAUAGGAGAUGUGGGCAAUCUUGGGCCAAUCUUUCAUCAUUGGAUUUAGGAGUUGUCUUUGAUUUAUGGUUCUAAAAGCAUGGCAGGAAACCCUUCACUUGUCAAAUACUACUGGAGCUUAGGUGAUGUCUCAAUGUGGGGAUGCCAAGGAUACCAGAUUCUGGAAUCUUUACAUGAAAAUAUACAUGAGAUCCAUAGGGAGAAAAUACAGGCCUUGGUCAUCUGAGAAAGAAGCCACAUAUUGAAAUAUACCACCAACGAUGAAUUGUUUGAGAGUGGUGAGUCUGUGAGGGCCCCACUAGGACCUGGGGUGUUUCUCACAUUCUUUCAAUCUUCAAUCUGAAAUAUCCACUUAAGCAAUUGUACCUCUAGGAAUGAGUCAUUUUGGGGCAGAUUGUUUUCAUUUUCCUUCACACCAUUGUUUCACCAUAGGGCACUAAAUGAUAUGUAGUUGCAAGACAAAUAAAGGUAGCCUUUAAUGAAAGCUUAUAGAAAUUCAAGACAAACAGAUCUUCAUGGAGAUAUGAGGUUUUGAAAUCCAAUAAAGAUUUGAAAAUCCAGACACGAGUUAUCCAAUGUACCCAUUGGUAAUAGAGUUGGGUAGUAUUGUUCCUUCUACCCUUGGAAAAUGACAUCACAUGAGAAAUUCCACUAGUAAUGGGGAGCUUAAGUGAUGUGUUGGGGCUUGGGCAAUGUUGUAUCUUAAGAUAUUCAAGAGAUGUGUGAUCAUGCAUCAACCCUAAUUCUGCUAGCAUAAUCUGGUUUUCAGUCUUAAAUAUGUAGUUAAAAUGUAUGGCAGGUCAUGCAUGCAUCUCUGAUAUUGUCAUGAGAAGUGGAGAUUGAGCAACAUACAUGAUUCAAGGGAUGUGCAAUUGUUCUUAUCCAUCGAACAAUCUUCAUUUGAUACAGAGCCCAGAUUUUUAGCAACUUGUGAUCUCCACAUUUUAACACAUUGGAGGAAGUUGGCCUAUUCAACAAACAAGACAGGACAUUUAGAAAAAUGCAAGAAUUCCAGACAUGUGUUGCUGUCAUGAAUUAUUCUAAUCAGUAAGGAAUCAAAGUGCUAUAAUUUUGAUUUGUGUAGCUAUUUAACAUGGAUAACAGACCUAUCUUGGGGAAGUAACUUAAGUCCCACACACCAUCUCAAUCCUGAGCUCUCUGGGAUACUUAAGACACCAACUUAAUCAAAGUUGCUACUUGUUUCUAUGGUAGCUCGUCUUUUUCCACUGAUACUGGGGAAAAAGCAAAACAAAGGGAAAUGAAGUCAUGUUAUGAUCCUGUCUCCAAUCUCCUUGACACAGAUAGAUGAUUUCCUUGCAACCGAUAAUGUCUAAUGCUUUCACUUCAGUUCUAGCAUGUGUUUUGGGAAGAGAAUUAAGCUUUCAAAUAUUGCCAAUAUGCAAGGAAUUGAGAAAGGCCAGGUGGGCAGCUGCCACAGUUAGUUCACAAACCAAUGGCAACAUUGGAGUGGAACAUGACACAAAAACUUCAAAAGACAAAACCUGUUUUUCACAAUCAUAAAUACCGAGGUGUUUAAGCAUAAAGUAAUGCAUCUAUUGACAAUGAUAUGUGACGUGGAGACAAGCAACAUACCUGUAUUCAAGAUAAAUGGUAUUCUUCUUUUGCAUUGACAACAUUCAUCUAGUCUAGGCCCCAAAUUUUUAGCAACUCUAGAUCUCCACCUUUAUUAGGAUUACAGGAAGCUAACCACUUGGAAAGACAUGAGAGUAACAUUUAGAAAUCUGAAAGGAUUCUAGAGAGCUGCUACAAAUGGUGAAUCAUUCCAAUCAGUAACAACAAGGAGCCCUAUAUACAAUUUUGAACUAUCAGCCUUCAUAGCAUGAAUGAUAAACUUGUCCCUAGGAAUGAGAUGUGCCUUGGGCAUGCAACCUUCAAUUAUUAGUCAGAGUUACCCCUACCUAAUCCAUUUCGAUGUGUCUGGGAAAACGAGGUCCACCAGAUGUUAUGGCCAUUAUCUCAUGGUAGUGGAUGUUUUGAAGCAGAGUAUCACUGGAGGUUAUGGCCAUUAUCCCAUUGCAGCAGAUGUUUUGCACCAGAGUUUAAAACCAAGUCAUUGACAAAGGCCAUAGUGAUGUCAUUGAUUUUAUUCUAAACCUAUCAAAAACAAUAUGAGAUUCACUUUGAUUUCAAGUUAUGCAAGAUCUAUAUGAGCUCAAUUGUUUUGAAACUUGAUUGAUGUUUCGUUGGUCAGGUUUUUUUUAGACAUGAACUUAUUUUUUGUGCUUAACUUGAAGAAGCUGCUAAUAAGACUGAAUAGUCACAUAUCACUUAGAGAGUUGAGAAUCACACAACUUUUUCGUUUUUUUUAGGACUGGUUUGUCAUCAAGUCUUUUGCUCAGUUGUUGUGAUGGUUUGAAAUUUCUAUCUGAUGACUAUAACCUAUAUAAACAACAACUUGUAUUCUCUUAUCUUGAGCAUUUUAGUAUUCAAUAAAAAAGACCUUUACUAAACCUGCAGAUUUUUUCAAGUGAUAUUUUUUUUUUCAACAAGGAAGGGAGGCAUUUUUAUUGGUAGCAUAUCCUGAUUCAUAGAGUCUAAACCCUUGCAAAUUGAAAGAAAGACAAUUUACAUAUCAUUAAAGGGUGAUCUGUAAGCACUCUUAUAAGCCAACAUCUUCCUCAUUUGGAUUUGGAAUUUAACCUUUGAUAAGCGUUUACUUGUUUUUAAUCUAUUUUUUAGGAAGACAAUUAAUGAGAUUUUGCCAACCAAAAACAGAGGUUUGUUAGCCCUCCUACCCUCAAGCUGGUUCUCUUGCAUAUGCUUGAAGAACUAAAACAAAGUAAUGCACUAUAUCCUAGUUCUAACGAUUUCCAAUCCCCGGCAACGGCUCCAAUUUCUUGACCAAACUUCUCUACUUAAUCAAAAUACUUAGCCUUUUUGCGUAGCAACUCCGGUCAAGAAAAAACUAGAGAAAUAGUCACUACGUCUUUUGUAGUAUUCCGGGUAUCGUCCUCAAGGACUGGCUUAUGGAAAUUGUCAAUACAAGAAUAAAUGAAUUGCUUUUAUUUAAAUUCUAAAGUGAAAACCAAUAUGUGAAUAAUGUGAAACUAAGUAAAAGAAAUGAAAUUAAUAAAAAAAUGAAUAUUCAUUUUAAAUUCAAUUGAUUCAAGUUUGGGGUUUUCCACAAUCCAACAUAGGGUAUAGAAAUUAGAGAAAACAAGGGUCUUUUAAGUAAUAUGAUCUUAGGAUUUUGGGAUCCUUAGCCGCUCGCUAUCAAGUUGAGUUCUAUAACUCAAAAUUGCAUCUGAAACUUAAUUUUUGCUUUUUAAAAUAGAUUCCUAAAACCAUCAAAUGAAUGAGAUUGAUUACCAAUUUAAGAUUUGGCUUUUUAACCCUUCCAACUCCUUAUAGCUUUGUUUAGGGGCAAAUAGCGAUAGGGAAGACGAGGAUAACUAAUGGUCAAGAAUUACCAAGAAUCACUAGUAUCAGGUAAUAACCUACGGUAUCAUUCCCUAAACGAACUCACAAAGAUAGGAUAAAAAAAUGAUAAAUUGUCACCCAACCAAUAAUUAAUCUCAUUGUUAUAAUAAUUUACCCAUUGUCCCUAUAGGUUUCCUAGACCUUAGGUUUUCAUGCUUCAAGCCCCAAGUUGGCUCUUAACCUCUCAUGGGGGUGAUGUCACAUUCACAAUCCAUAAUAGGGUAAAAAUCCAUAAUUUGAAUCAAAAGAAACCAAUUAAUUAGUCAUUGCAUUUUCAUAGUCUUACAAGAAAUCUUGUUAUGGUGGCAGGAGAACAAACUACAACAUAGUCUCAUUUCCCUUCAUGAUUUAGACAUUAUAAAGAUCAAAAACCUGUUCCUGGUAAUAUAAGAAAAAGAGUAGCCAAAGAACAGGAACAAAAUGUAUUGGAACCUUGUGGAAUUGAAUAGUUGGUAUCCAGGUGGAAAAAAUACACAAAAAUGCACUUAACAAACUGCUAAUCAACAGGCCAAGAUUCUACUUCCAAGAGACAGGUUUGUCAUCCAUGUCAAGAAGGCUUGCACUUCAUUUUUCUGGGACUUUGGCAUCAACAAAUUUCUGGAAUUCUUUCAGGUUUCUAAAUGGAAUGGUUCAAGUCAUCAACACAUUCCUAGAAUUCUUUUGUAAAUGUCAUCAUCCUGGCCAACUUUCUUCAGUGUUGAAAGAGGGGGUGAUACCAUGUUGCUAAAAAUUAUAGUCCAUAUGUACUAGAUGGACAAGAACUACAACACUUGUAUUAGAAACAUCUCUGUUGCCUGGAUUUGCAUUACCUGCCAUAAUUAAGCACCUUUUUAUUAUUGUAGCAGAGUGUUUCAGAGUCACCCAUACCUAAUCCAUCUUCAUGUCUCUCAAACAACUAGGUCUAUUGGUAGUAGAAGAAGAGCAGCUUGAAUAGCUGGUCAUUUCCUUUUAUAAUUUAGGGAUAGAGGUUAAAAACUACCGCACUUAAAUAACUGGUAUUCAGGUGGACAAGAACUACAACACUUCUCUAAGAAACAUGUAUAUUAUUUCUUCAACUCUUACUCUAUUCCCUGGAGUUGCAUUACCUGCCAUGAUUAAUCGCCUCCUAUUUAUUCUUGUGGAGAAACAGGUUUUGGUGUAUGUAGAGAGACUAUACAAUUAUUGCACCUCUUGAUUUUCAAGACCGCCCAACCUCUCCUUGAGAAUCUAGAAUUGUCAAACUGAUUUAUGGCUAACCUUCCAAGGACCUUAGGGGCUUCAUACAAGGUAGAUCUUGUGUAAGAGAUUCAAAAUUAUCUCUACAUAAUCCAUCUCCAUUUCUUUAUAAUAACUAGAUGUUGAUUCAUGCCCAAUUGGUGUCUUAGCUGAUUCGUGUCCAGCUGGUGCUCCUUGAUAGAGGGAGUAAUCAACAAAAUUUCUAACCUAUAACACCAUAUACUAGGGUAGCAAAGAAAAAGCUACUAUAGUAUAGCGGCUCUAGGAUCGUUCAUUGGGAAGGAUUAGCAAGCUAUCAAUGAUACCAAUUCCAAGUGAAUUGGUCUUGUUUCAUUUCAAGGUUAGCUUAAGAAAUAAAACACAAACUUUGAUUGGUAAAGAUUUAAACUAACUAACAUAACAAGUACUCAGAAUAACUUAGGAAGAAAAGCAUUCCUUGGAGAGUUAGGUUCACUGGGGUGGUUCCUCAUGCAAAAGACAUAGCUCUGGUCAGAUGGUUCAUUUCCACGCGUUAAAGAUUCAACAUAUAGUCAAUUCUCUAACCGGUGUUGCACAGAUACCCCCUUCAAUUAGAUUUUACUUUAAUUCUCUCACUGAUGCAACUUGCAAUGGUUUCAGCCUCUCACUAAGCCGUAACCAUUCAAGGUGAUCUUUAACCUUGGAUUACCCGUCAAAAGCUCACAAGAGAUAACUAAUGAAUGUCUCCUUGGAGUCCAAAAGCUUACCAAGUGUUGGCUAUUCUAGAAAAUCCUACCCUAAAGUCACCUCCCAGAGGCUCGCAAGGGGUAAACUAGUGCAUUUCCAUGGUUCGAAAUCACUUGCCUUACCAAGUAUUGGCCCAGGUGACUAUAAGGUGUUUUAAGUUAACUAAAAACAUAGAAAUCACUAAAGGAUUUCACUUCCUCUUCAUUAAUAGCUAAAACCACAAAGAUUUGCAUUCUUGCACUUGGAACCUUCCCCGGCAACCUUAGCUCCAAGGAAUUAGAGGUUUAGUUACUCAUUCUCUGGGGAAAACUCCUCAGAGAGUUCAUAACUUAGUAAGAAAAUAAAAAUACAAAGUGAGAAGGUAAAGCAAUACAAAGAACUGAACUUUACUUGCUUACCCAAGACUUUUACAAAAGGAUCUCCUCUCUGAGAACAGGCUCCCGAGAGGUACUUAUAUGAACAUAAUAUAAAACUAAUUAUUACAUAGAUAUUUUCUCUUUUUACUAACUUAAAAGCUAAGGAAUCUUGUAAUUGGUGGCUUACAAGGAGUAUUUUGGGAUUUAGACAACAAAAAUCUGAUGUAAAAUAUCUCCCAAUGUCGGUAGCAAAUAUCGGGAUGCUCCAGGAACCAUUUCGCAAGAGAAAAUGGUGUCUGCGAGAUUUCGCAGGCACUCAAGAAGGGCUGCGAAAUCAUUUCGCAACAACAUGCUAUCUUCGCAAGGCUGCGAAGUUGGCUUCCACCUUGAGGUUCUCAGAUCCCAGCUUGCAGCAUAUAUCAGGCAACUUCAGAAGGAAAUACACCCUACUGUACAAAAAGGCUGCGGAAUCACUUCGCAACAAAAGGGUGAUUUCGUAACACUUUGGAAAUUGCUUCCUUCAGCUUGGAGUGAUUGGCUUGCAAUGGCUGCAACUUCUUCGUUUCAACUCCGAAUUGCGCACCAUUUAAAGCAUUGGAUUGUUGACUUCCUGAGCUUUGAAAUGGUAUAUAUCAUGCAUCAAUUGGACUUCAGAAAGUACUCCAAAAGUGGCUGCUACAACUGUCAUCAAGAAUAUGCUUCAUGGCAGAUUCUCUUUACUUUUUCUCCUUGCAAUCCGGAUUUACUCUUGGAAAAUGACUUCUAAACUUUACCCAAGAUUCCUCAAAACUCUCCUCAAACUUGAAUUGAUUUGGUGAUCAAAUUACUAACAAAAACACCAAAACUUACACAAAGUGAUUAAAAUUGCUUUCAAGGGUCCUUAACAUGCCAAUUGAGUUAAAAGGCCAAAACUACUAAUCAAAAGUGUUUAAAAGGAUUAAUUAUAAGCUAUCAAAUAGCACUUUUUGAGUAGUAAUCAGAUGUUAUGGCCAAAAUCUCACAUAAGGUGUCAGGUUCAUGUUGGGGCUCAUUCACAAGAUUAAGAUGAAUAUAAUAGGGGAUGUUCCAGAUUUACCACCAGCCAUGUUGUCAAGUUGUUCAAUUUUCUUGUGUUGACUAUGGCCACAAUCACAGUUGUGUGUCCUUUCCCAAAAGAAAUGUCAUUUUGAAACUUUUAAUGUCAACAACAAAACUUUCAUGUUUCUAUAUUCAGGUACCCACAAAAAAUUGAGUCCCUGUUUGCAUCCAAUGAUAGAAAGUAAUAAUCUGAACAAGGGAACAAGUGAGGAGAAAACUAAUUCUAAACACGGAAGCCAAGUACUUGAUUUCUGUUUGACUGGUGGAAUAAUUGAAAUGUAUUUACAGAUUUAGCAUUAGAUAAGUUUAACAAAAUCACUAGUUAACCCCCAAACCUCUUCCCUCCACCCACCACAAAGGAAAGAAACAACGUUUUGGGAUCCUAGUAGCUUUAUGUUACAAGAUUCUGAUCAACAUAUGCUGCAAAGUAUUAUGUUGGUUCAAUUCCUCUACUUUGCAUUGCAACAAAGUAUAAGUGGGUUUUCUCUUUUCUUCAUCUUCAAAUGAAACAACCCUUCUCAAUAAAAGAAUACAAGAAAUUGAGAGCUAAGACCAUUUCCUUUCAUUGUGCUUUGUUUACUCUACUCCUUCUUUUGGUCAAGCCAAACAAUCUUUGGCUUGUCCAUUUCUUUUUCACCCCACAUAAAAAGGCAGCUUGUUAAGUUAUCCCAUCUCUUUAUCCCCUUGUCAAGACACAGAAUUUAAUGCAUUGUUGUCUUGGAUUCCUCCUAGUUAAAAGGAAGCUUGAAAUAUCUCUAGUGCUUCUCUGUUUCUUUGAGUCAAAUGAUAGAAUAUUGAUUUUCUCUGUUUCUUUGAGAUGCAAGAGGUUUGUACAGAACUUAGGUGAUGUAACUAUUGGUCAGUGAGGUAUUUAAUUAGAGAACUUUGGAGGCUUGGGCAUUACUAUUUAUUUAGAUAUUCAAAAUGCAUUAUUGCACAUCUUCUUGACUUCCUGUAAAUGAACUUGUUUUUCACAAUCAUAAAUAUGGAGGUAUUUAAUUAUGGUAGGUAAUAUACCACCUAGAAAUUGAUGUGGAAGGUGGAGACUAACAACAACAUAGAUGUAUAUAAGGGAUUUACACUUAGUCUUGUGCAUCAAACAACCCUCAUUUAGUAUAAACCAUAAAUUUUGGCAACUCGUGAUCCACAAUUUAGAGCAUGAGAGGAAGCAGACCUGUUGGAAAGACAAGAGGAGACAGUUAAAAACAUGCAAGAAUUCCAUAGAUGAGUUGCUGUUAUGAAUUAUUCAAAAUCCAUGAGAAAAUUUAAAGCCCAUUAAUUUUGAAUGAAACACCUACUUAGCAUGGAUCAGAAACCUAUUUUACGAAAAGAAACCAAGUCUUGAGGACCAAUUCAAUUACCAAAUCUCUAGGAAAUACUAAGGCCUUUUUAGUAGCUUCCUAAUUAGUGCAUAAGGUGGCAAUGCUAAUUGCUUUUUUGGAAGUUCUUCUUCUUCUGGUAUCGAGGAAAAUGCUAUAAUCCUAAAUCUGCAUUCUCUAUGUACAAAUGUUUUUUUCGAUGCAUACUGUUAGAGAAGAUGAGGAAGCUUCAGAAUGUUAGUUGACAAAUCAAUUGGAGCAAUGGAAUUGGAACAGGACACUAACUUCACAACAUUAAAAAUAAGUAAUGCAGAUAAGGGCAUUUAUAUGUACACAUAUUGAUCAGAAAUAAACUUCAUUCUUUAGCAACCUAAAAACUCAAAAGAAAGAAGUAUAAUUUCAGAUAUGCAAGAUUUUGAUCAAUUAAAGUCCAAAGCAUUUUAUGUUCAUACAAAUGAGAAGACAGAAUGGCAGCUGACUUUGAGGAUUGAUAGAAAAAUGAAUUGAUGCUACUUCCCAAUGCUAAUGCCAUUAAUUUGUUGUUGCUUUUUGUGGCCAUGUCAAGCUUGUCCAUCAGAUAAGGUUUGAAUUGCUUCUAUUAUUCUUGUUUAAGACAAUCCCCCCCUCCCCCCCUCCUUUUUUUUCUUUGUUAUAGUCAAUCAUCUUGUUUCAUGUUUGCCCUAUAGUUGGUCUGCUGAUGGUAGGCUUCUUUUGAGUGGAAGCAAAGACUCUAUGUUGAAGGUAAAUCAUGGGAACUAUGUCUUUUUGUGGUAUCAAUGGGGCUAUCAUAUAGUUGAAUGAUUCUAUUGCUUCCUUAUAGCUUUUCAAGGCACUAAAAAAGAAAAGAACAAAUGUGACAUGGCAACAUUUUUUUCUUCCAAGUUUAAACGGUAAUUUGGGAGAGUGUAUUAUGAAAAUAUACUAAAAUAAAAAAUCCUAUGAAUGCAUUCUACUUUGGAUAUUUCUUAUGAAUCUUUCCUUCCACUCCUAACCACCACAGACACUCCCAUCACACCAAGCCUUGUAGUUGUUCUAAAUUGUUGCAAAUCUGUCAGAAACCAAUUACUAAUAUUAAGGACGGUCAUGUCUACUAAUUUGGGGCUAGAAUUUUUAGAGCAGGUGGGAAAUUCUGGUUGCAGUAGGGAAUGUGAGUGCUACUAUUUUGCCAAGGUGGCUUUCCUUAUUCAUGCUAACAUCAACAACAUAGCAAUGAACUCAAUUUAAUAUUGUUUAUCAUAUAGGCUUGAGAUAUCCGGACAUAAAAGUUAAAACAAGACCUUCUAGGCUAUGAAGAUGAGGUAUUUUCCUCCUCUUAAGUACUAGUUAAUAUUCUUCUUUUGACAUUGUACUUGGUUUAAUUAAUGUUUUCCUUCUUUUCGUAUUUUGGAAAGGUUUUUGCUAUUGAUUGGAGUCCAGGUGGUGAGAAGGUAUUCUCCGGUGGUAAGGAUAGAGUACUCAAUUUAUGGAUGGGUUGAUGGCUGAAGGAGGAAGAGAUGUAUGAAAUGAAGAUUGAUAUUAUUCUUCCACAACAUGAUGGACUUGACAGCACUCAGCUUUUGCCUACAGUUAAUAGUCUACCAUAUGUGUAACUUAAAGGUUGUGCACUAAGUUCUGAUGUUAUGAAGGAUCGAGGGUGGUUUGUGCACUAUGCUUUUCUAAAAUGUUUUUCUUUAUUGAGUUGUAAUGAUUGUAUUAUUUGGAUUUAAUUGUAUUAAUUAGGUUUGCAGAUCAUGAUAUGAUUAUUUUCCUCUUUGAUCAUGUAAAGUUGGGAAACAGUUAUGGGUUACUGUAAUAGUAUGGUAUAUUGAUGCACAUAGUUUGUGGCAUGACAAUUUGAUGAAAUAACAGAAGUGUAGCACUCAUGGGCAUAUCAUGUGAACCUUAUUCAAUGUGGCAUUGAUAAUUAGUUUAAAUUUACAUGGGUGUAAUGUCGCACCAGUAUCAUCUGAUGAACCUUGGAUUCUUUUUUCUCAGUUUCUUCCUCUCUUAGUCAAGCUAAACAAUUUAUCUUCAUGACUUCCUUAUGUUACCAAAAAAUAGCAUCUUGUGUUCUCCAUAUCUUCAUCCCCUUGUCAAGACACAACAAUUUGAUGCAUCUUUGCAUUGGGUUACUUCCUCUCAUUUCCCUCUCCUUCUUCCUCGUAUCAUUGCUUAGUUUUGGCUACUCUAUUUCUUUUGAUCAUUAUGGUAGAGCAUCAUUGCAAGAUGUAUAAGAAAUGUUGUGGUGCAUUAUCCCCUUCUCUACCACCUGAAAUCUGUUUUCCAUGAUCAUUAAUACCAAGAUGUGUAAGCAUCAAGUAAGGCAUCUCUUGACAAUUAUGUAAGAGAUAAGAGACAAGCAACAUACCGGUAUUCAAGAGAAGUGAUGUUCUACAUUUACAGUUGGCAACAUGCAUUUAGUCUGAACUCCAGAUUUGAGCAACUUAGAAUCUCCACCUUCAUUAGGAUUGCAAAAAGUUAACUUCUUGGAAAAAUGUGGAAAUGGGGCAUUUAGAAAUCAGAAAGAAUCCCAGUGACCUAUUGCUACUUUUGAAUCAUUCCAAUCACUAACAACUCUAAAGAUAUAUAUAUACAAAUCUAUCCUUGGGAAAGAACUCGAUGUUUCUUGGGCAUGCAACCAUCUCUCUUAAUAGACUUAGGGUUCUACACCCUCUUGGUGGUUUCUUAUAUAUUGCACCAUAUGAUUUGUAGAUAUCCAAUUGUCAAUUUCACUACACUUGAUGAACUAGAAGCUAUGUUGAAAGUGAAGUUAAACAACCCAUCAUAUCCGGUUAAAGGAUAAAGUUGCAUGAAAAAUUGAAUUGGGAGAGAUACAAAUACUGAUGCUUACGUGGGACUGUGGAAGGAAUCAACAUGAGGAACAAACAAUUAAUAGUAAAUGUAAAGUCAUAAAGCUUGUAACAACUGUCAAAAGCUACUCUAUAGUGAAGUUUUUUAACAAUAAAGGUAACUGAAAAAUUCACCAAGUAACUCCACUUGAAGGAAAUUUCAAUGGUAUGAAACUAGAAUAUGGUGAACUCUCCUUGCUUCUGCUAUUGUUAUGAGCCAUUAUAGAUCAAAGAUGAAUCUCGCCAUUUGUUUUCACAUAGGAGAUGUGGGCUAUCUUUGGGUCAUCUCUCAUCAUUGGAUUUAGGAGUUCUAUCUCUCAUAUAUAGUUUCACUUGCCAACUACAAAUGGAGCUUAGAAAAUGUCUCCAUGAUAUGGAGACUGAGAAACAUACAUGAUUCAAGGGAUGUGUAGUUGUUCUUGUGAAUCACCCAAUCUUCAUCUAAUAUAUAUAGAUCGACACACAAAUUUUAGCAACUUGUAAUCUCCACAUUUUAGAGCACUGGAUAAAGCUAGCCUAUUCAACAAACAUAACACAAUUAGAAAAAUGCUAGAAUUCCAGAGACAUGUUGUGAUAUCAUGCAUUCCAAUCAGUAAGGAAUCAAAGUGCUAUAAUUUUAAAUUGUGUAAUAAUAGACCUAUCUUGGGGAAGUAAACUAUCUUGAGCACCAACUCAAUUGUGAGUUAUUUAGGAGACCUGGAUACCAACUCAAUCAAAGCUGUUAGUUGUUUCUGUGGCAGCUUGUCUUCCUCCACUAAUACUGGAGAAAAUGCUUUUGAAACCCUUAAUCUUCAAAUCACAAAGGGAAAUUAGAUUAUGUUGUUAUUCGAUCUCCAAUCUCCUCGACACAAACGAAUGAUUUCCUUGCAACAAACAAUGUCUAAUUCUAUCACUUGUACUCUAGCAUGUGAUUUGGGAAGAGAAUUAAGCUUUGGAAUAUUGCCAAUAAACAAGGAAUUGAGAAAGACCAAGUAGGCAGCCACCACAACUAGUUCACAAACAAAUGGAAGCAUUGGGAGUGGAACAUGACACAAAAACAAAACAUGUUUUCCAUAUUCAUAAAUACCAAGGUGUUUAAGCAUCAGGUAAGGCAUCUCUUUACAAUAAUAUGAGAGAUAGAGACAAGCAGCAUACCAUUAUUCAAAAGAAGUGGUAUUCUUCUUUUGCAUUUGAUAACAUUCAUCCACUUUACACCCCAAUUUUGGAAACUUAGGAUAUCUCCACUUUGAUUAGGAAUAUUGUGGGAAGUUGGCCUCUUGGAAAUACAUGAGAGGCCACUUAGAAAUUUGAAAAAAUUCUAGAGACUUGUUAUUGCUUGAAUUGUGAAUCAUUCCAAUCAGUAACAACCGUAAAGCCUUUAUACACAAUUUUGAAUUAUUAGCCUUCUUACUUUGGAUGAAAAAUUUGUCCCUAGAAAAGAGACGUGUCUUGGGGCAUGCAACCAUCAAUUAUUAGCUCUUUAAAAGGCUUGAAGUUGUGCACGCUCUUGGUAGCUUCUCAUUCAUUACAACAUAUAAAUUCCAGAUAUCCAAUUGCAUGUCACUUUAAUUGAACAUAGUAGGAAACAUGGUGAAUAGGAAGUUAGACAACCUAUCACAAAAAGAAUCCAACAAUAAUACACCAAAUAGAACAUCUUGCUAAUUUAGUUAAACUAUUGUGUGAAAAUCUAAAUUGGGAGAGAGAAAACAUUGAUGCUUACAUGGGACUGUGGAAGGAACCAACAAGGAAAACAAACUUUGAAUAGAAAAUAUGAAGCCUUAAAUCUUGUAAUUGUUGUCAGAAGUUGCCCCCUAGUCAAGUUUUCAAUAAAAAAGUUCAGUGCAGGGAUUCUCUAGUAGCUCAACUUGUAGAAAAUUUUAACAGUAUGACAAUUUAUACUUAUAAAAAGAAAAUAAAAUGUAAGAAUUAUGUGUUGGGAAUAGAUGAAACUUACUGAAUAUAUGGAUAGAAUAGGGUGAACUCCACCUGCUUCCAUUUUUGGAAUCCAAACUAUUAUGGAUCAAAGAUGAAUCUCUCCAUCUAUUUACAAAUAUGACUUAUGGGCAAUCUUGAACUGAUGUCUCAUCAUUGGAUUUAGAAAUGAUGUAUAGCUUUGAAACCAUGGCAGGGUUCUCCUUUAGUUGCCAAAUACCACUAGAGCUUAGGUGAAGUCUUGGUGAUGUAGGAAAGUCAUGGAUUCUGGAAUCUUUACAUUAAAAUAUACGUGAGAUACAUUGGAAGAAAGGGCACCAUCUGAGAAGAAACACAUCUUAAAGUAUACCAUCAAUCAUGAGUUAUUUGAGAGUGAGAAGUCUUUGAAGGCCUCACUCAGAUAAGGGAUGUCUUUGACAUUUCUCACUCUUCAAUCUCAGGAAGAUACAUUAUCAACUAAAACCUUAGGAGUGUGAGUCAUUAUGGGACAACUUGUUUAUGUUCUUUAUUCUUUUCUCACCAGAGGGGAUUGAAAGAUAUGUAGUUGCAAAGGCAAAAGAUGUAGCUAGUAGCGAGAGCAUCGAACAAUCCUUCUCUAAUGCAGACCACAAAUUUUAGUAACUCGUGAUCUCAACAGUUUAGAGCACAAGGAAGUUGUCCUGUUGGAAAUAUGUGACAUGACAUUUAGCAAAUGGGCAAGAAUUCCAAAGAUCAUUCCAAUAAUUAAGGAAUCCAAAGCCUUAUAAUUUGAAUAGGGCAUCUACUUGGCAUGGAUAACGCACCUAUCUUGGGACAAAGACCACAUGUUAAGCACCAAUUCAAUUAUCAACUCUCUAUGAAACUGGAGAUACAAGGUACUAAUGUUAGUACAAAUUACCUGGCAGCUCUUUUUCUUUAAUGGUAUUAGAGGCAAAGCCUUGUGAAAACCCCCAAUCUACAAAUUACUAAGGACAUGAGAUCAUGUUGUAAUCUUAUCUUCAAUAUCCAACUACAAAUAAAUUAUUUCGUUCAAUUAACAAUCUUUAAUGCUUUCACUUCUAUCAUACAAUAUGCAAUAUGGGAAAACAAGUAAGCUUUAUAUUAUUAGGAAUAUGCAAGGAAUUGAUGAAGGCUAUGAAUCUACUUAAAAUUAAAAAUUAAAAAAUAAAAACAAAGAUUUUUUCACUCAUGAAUAUCGUAACUAGAAACAACUGCUUGCAGUUGUUUUACAUAGAUGAAUUGUUUGUCUUUUUGCAUUAUUUUGUAGAAAAUAUUUUUAUGAGCACUACUAAUUUUUUCAUAUCCGUUUAUAUUGAUGCAUUUCAUAUUACUCAUUUUAGGUGGAUGCACAAUGCUGAUCCAACUCUCCUCCUUUUGGAUGUCUUUCUAACCAUUGUUAGGAUUCAUUAAAAAUGACCUUUAUCAAACCUACGGAUUUUUUCAAGUCAGUUAUAACUUGUAUAAACCUUAUGUAACUCGAAAUGUUUUAUUUUUAAAACAGUCCAUAUCUAUUGGCAACUUACAUGUUUUUCACUACAUUUUUUUUCAAAGAGGAAAUGAGGCAUUUUUCUUUAGUAGUAUAUUGUGAUUCACAAAGUAUAAACUCUUGCAGAUUGAAAGAAAGACAAUUUACAUAUCAUUCAACAGUAAUUAGUAAGCACUUUUAUAUGUUUAUAGCUUCUUCUUAUACGGUUUGUCUUUUAUGGCAUUUACUCUUUUGUUAUUCACAUAAAAAAAACACCCGAUUUACCUUUCAAAUAUAAAAUUCAGUUAUGCAGGAAGGCCAUAAAUUGAACAUGAUAAGAUGGGAAAUGUGUUUCAGGACAACUUUGUGUUCUUGCAUUAUAAGGUUUAGUAUAAUUGUGUGUAGUUCUACAAUCAACAACAUUCUAUUGACUUUGGAUUUGGAAAAAUAACUCUAAUGAGCAUUUACUUAUUUUUCAUACAUUUUUCAGGAAUCCAGUUAAUGAGAUUUUGCUUACAAAAAACUAGAGGUUUGUUAACUCUCCUAUAAUCAGAGACUAGUUCUCUUGCAUAAAUUUCAAGCAAAUUUAUAACCCUCUUCUUUGAUAGUCUUUUAUAUUGGAAUUGAACUUCUUGGUGUCUUUGAAUUAUUUAAAUAUUGGAAGCCAAUUAAGGAGUCAUGCAAUGGCAUAUUGUGAAACUUGAUACACAUAAAAAUAAAAUCUAUUAUAUUAUUUUUCUCACUAAAGAAUCAAAACAUAUGCUUUUCAUUUUGAAUGUUUCAGACUUCAUGUCUUCUCUUUCAUUUACGAUAUUGUCGUUGGUGAACUGGGAAUGUUGUCAAGAAUUUUAGAGCUUGACUAUCUGGCCUUUUCCAAUUCCUUAGAGAUUGGUAAUAAUCCAAUGAUCAAUUGUUUUCCCAAAGUGGCUUACGCUAGCAUUAGCAGAUGUGAAAUUAUCAAUGACCAUUCAUUGUAAAGAAAUCUUGUUAUUAUGGUAGGAUAAUAGACUGUAAUACAGUUUCAAAAUUUUGGGACUUCAGCAUCAACACCUUUCUAGGACUCAGAUUUCUAAAUGGAAUGAUGCAAGGCAUCAACACAUUCAUAGAAUUCUUUAAGAAUUCUAAAUGUGAUCUUGGUAUCUUAAUGACAGGCCAACUUUCUUCAAUGUUGCUAAAAAUUGCAGUCCAUAUAUACUAGAUGGGAAUCCACCCAUGGAUAAGAAAUGUAUGUUGCUUUAUCUUCACCUCUCACUGUCUCACACCCUAUUGCCUCAAGUUGCAUUACUUGCCAUAAUUAAACACCUCUUUUAUCAUUGUGACAAAACAAGUUUUGCCAAAACGAUAUGAGAUUCCCUUUGAUUUCAAGUUAUGCAAGAUCUAUAAGAGCUCAAUUGUUUUGAAAACAUGAUUCAUAAAUACUACGCUAACAUUCAGUUCAUGAAUACCAUGUACCAGAAGAAGGCACUAAGAAAUUUGUGUCAUUUACUUUUAGGAUUCUAUCUUCAACUCUAGUUCAUGCUCAAUUGUUUUAUUAACUACAGUUGCUUUGAAUGAACAUGUCAAAGUACAAGUACUAAACUAGUUCAUUUCCAAUCAAAUUACUAUUCCCGAUUCAUAGAGUAUAAACCCUUGCAAAUUGAAAUAAAGAAAAUUUACAUAUCAUUCAAUGGUGAUCUGUAAACACUCUUAUGUGUCUACAUCUUCCUCAUUUGGAUUUGGAAUUUAACUUCUGAUAAGCGUUUACUUGUUUUUAAUUUGUUUCUUAGGAAUCCAGUUAAUGAGAUUUUGCCAACCAAAAACAGGGGUUUGUUAGCCCUCCUACCCUCAGGCUGGUUCUCUUGCAUAUGCUUGAAGAAUAUUGGAAGCUAAUUAAUGAGUCAUUGCAGUUUCAUAGUCUUAUAAGAAAUCUUGUUAUCGUGGCAGGAAAACAGACUGCAACAUAGUCUCAUUUCCCUUCAUGAUUUAGACAUUGUGAAGAUCAAAAACUUGUUCCCUGAUAAUAGAAGAAGAAAAGCAGCCAAAGAACAGCAACAAAAUGUAUUGGCACCUUGUGGACUUGAAUUGAUGGUAUUCAGGUGGCAUAAAUAUACAAAAAUACACCUAACAAACUACUAAUUAGCAGACCAAGAUUCUACUUCCAAGAGACAGGGUUGCCAUCCAUGUCAAGAAGGCCCGAACUUUAUUGUUGUGGGACUUUGGCAUCAACAAAUCUCUGGAAUUCUUUCAGGUUUCUAAAUGGAAUGGUUCAAGUCAUCAACACAUUCCCAUAAUUCUUUUGUAAAUGUCAUCAUUCUGGCCAGCUUUCUUUAGUCCAUAUGUACUAGAUGGACAAGAACCACAACACUUGUAUUAGAACAUGUCUGUUGCCUGGAUUUGCAUUACCUGCCAUAAUUAAGAACCUUUUUAUUAUUGUAGUAGAGUGUUUUAGAGUCACCCAUACCUAGUCUAUCUCCAUGUCUCUCAAAUAGCUAGGCCCAUUGGUAGCAGAAGAAGAACAACUUGAAUAGUUGGUCAUUUCCUUUUCAGGAAUUAAUUCUACUGCAUUCCUAUACAUAGUAUGCAUAUUGUGAAGAAGAUUAUUUGACUUUACCCUUUUUCUUCUUUGUUUUUUCAAUCUAAAUUGGAGUGGUAUGACUGUGUCACUAUUGCCAGAUUUAAAUGUUAAUGUCAUAGAAUGCAUUAAUAGUUUUCUAUUAGAAUAAUAGAAUCCAAUUCGACUAGAUACUAGACAUAAGUAAGCGUAGAAUAUAGAGCAAACAAUAAAUGAAAUGAGGGAAACAAAUGAUUCGAAGAAGGGUUAUUCGUCUUCCUAGUCUUCCACACAAGAAAGGAAUUUUCUACAUCCCUUUCUUGUGUCAAAAUAAUAAUGAUCCUCAACACCUUCGUCAAAAAUUCCUAUUCUUAGCUUAGAUUUUUUUUCUAGGUUUAUCAUAAUUUUAUAUUUAUUACAUAUAAGAAGUAGUGGACAAACAAAAAAAAAGAGGAAAAUUUAUUGAAAAAAUAGAACUUCUUCAAUGAAGCUAUAAAAAAAAUUUCAACUUUGAUUAGAUACUAAAAUAAAUAGAGUAAGAAUCUAUUAGUAUAGAAAGGAUUUGAAUGAUAUCUAAUAUAGGGAAAUAUAUAUACAUACAUAUAUAUAUAUAUAUAUAUAUAUAUAUAUAUAUAUAUAUAUAUAUAUAUAUAUAUAUAUAUAUAUAUAUAUAUAUUUAUACUCUGUCAUCCAGAAAAUCAAGUGAUUCCUUAUUUCUUCUAACUUUGAAAGGAUCGAUAGAUACUAUCGAGAAGCAAAUGUUCUGAAUUAAUCAAUCAAGUUCGUUUUUCAAAAACAUCAGAAAAAAAAAUGAAAUGGAGUUUUUUUAAACAUCGUAAAAGAAAAUUUGUUUUGUCUGGCAUUUAUACGAAUAAAAUCUUAUGAUUAUUAAGAACUCAACGGGACCUUCCCUCUCGAAUUAGAGCCAAAGAAGGGGUGGGUACCAUUGAGUUCUUAUGCUUUCAUGUCGACAACUUUAUUCAUCCAAUUACUACAAGGAACCAUAAAAGAAAAAACCUAUUAAACCAAUCACAAGAAUACCAGUUACAGUACCUAUUAGCCAAAGAGGAAUCCUUCCAGUAGUAUCGGCCAUUUAUCCCACUUUCCUCCACAUUUCAUCAAGUGGUCAUGCUAAAGUCAUAAAUAGUCAUGGAUAAUUAUGAGAUGAGAUCCUUUCGAAUAAGAUAAGAGAAUUCUUACUAUUAUUAUUUAUUUUAUUAGUCUCUUUCGUUCUCUUAAUUCUUAAUUGAAAAAAUAAUUGGAAAAUAAAACAAGUACAAAAAUGAGUAAUAACCCCCAAUAAAGAUCGAUACGAUUCAAUUCAAUAUUUUGUUCAUUCAGGUUUGAUUGUGUCGUAGCUCUAUAAUUUGGAUUAGGUUUAUUGUUCGAUGAACUGCAUUGUUGAUAUUGACCCUAAAAAAGAAACAAUAGGUACAGCUAGUCCGUGAACAGCCAAUCAUCGCACUGUAAAAAUUGGAUAGGUUCGAUCUAUGGUCAUUGGGGCCUCCUAAAAAGAUCUACUAAAUUCAUCGAAUUGUUCCAAAUGACCAAAACAACAGGUUAUUAAUGGAAUUCCUUGUUGGCUAUCUAUAAAAUACUUGUUUGGCUGAGGACUUCCAAACACAUCGUAAGCUAAACCCGUGUUGACGGAUAACCAACCCGCAAUGAAAAGGGAAGGUGUAGUAAUGUUAUGAAUGACUGAUUACUACUCAAAAAGUGUUAUUUGAUAGCUUGUAAUUAACUAUUUUAAAUACUUUUGAGUAGUAGUUAUCACCUUUUAACCCAAUUAACAUAUUAAGGACCCUUGCAAUCAAUUCUAAUCAAAUUGUGUUAAGUUUUGGUGUUUUGAUAGCUUUUUUAUCACCAAAGCAAUCCGAGAUUGAGGAGAGUUCUUUGGAAUCCAUGGCAAAGAUGUCCAGACAGGGUGUCCGGACACACCAUCGGAGAGCGGAGGAACAUGGGUUGUGGCAGGCUGGCGGAAUAACGUAGAAAGGCUUGCUCACUUUAGUCAACGAUCCGGACAACAUAUCCGGAUAGGAUAUGCAAUCGUCCGGGGUGUGAUGUUCACAAGUGUCGUGUGCUUCUCCCUAAGGGAGUCCGGAUAGGGGAGCGCGUCGCGUGUCCUCUUGGGGAAUCCGGAUGGAGUUGCUCCGGAUAGCGAUGCGCGCUCCAUGUCAUCAGGGGGAGGGGUCCCUACACCUUGCACACGCAGACGAUCCCCCUUGCGACGCACGACAUAGCUCAUUCCACCCGGGGAAGAAUUUUGUAUGGCCGAUGUUUCACCUUCUCCGGAUAUCUCACAUCCGGAAUUAUGCCUUGGUCAGACAUGUCCGGAUCCUCUGAUCGGAUAUCUCACAUCCGGCGCUUGACGCCGGAUGGGAGAGGAGGGCGUUUCAACUUCCUCAGUCAGACAUGUCCGGAUCCUCUGAUAGCGCUCACCCGGAAAGUUUUUCUCUCAAUAUACAGUGCCGCGAUGUUCUCCUGAAGCUUCCCGAUAUUUGCGACCGACAUUUUGAGCUAUUUUGCUUUAUAUAUUUGAUGUCUAAAUCCCCAAAUUCUCCUUGUAACCCACCUAUCAUAGGAUUCCUUAGUCUUUAAGCAAGAGAAAAAGGUGAAUAACCUCUUAUAUAUAGUUUGUAAUUUUCUUUAAAAGGAGGAGAUCAAUCUCUCGGGAGCUUGUUCUUGAAGAUGCAUCAUUUGUACAAUUUUGCAAGAAAUAUAUUUUACAAAGCACUUGCUCUGUUUUUUCCUAUAUAUUUUUGUUUUCUCAGUCUUUUUCUUACUAGCCAAACAAGCUCUGAGGAAGUUUCCUCAGAGAAUGAGUGGCUAGACUUUUAGUUCCUUGGAGCUAAGGUUGCCGGGAAAGGUUCCAAGUGCAAGAAUUUAUAGCUUUGUGGUUUCAACCAUUAAUGAAGAGAAAGUGUGUUCCUUUAAUGAUUUCUAUGUUUUUAGUUAACUUAAAACACCUUCAAUUCACUUGAGCCAACACGUGGUAAGGCAAGUGAUCUCCGUCCAUGGAGAUGCACUAGUUUACCUCUUGCGAGCUUUUGGGAAGUGACUUGAAGGUAGGAUUUUCUAGAAUUGCCAACACUUGGUAAGCUUUUGGACUCUAAGGAGACAUCCAUUAGUUAUCUCUUGCGAGCUUGAGAAGGGAAGUCCAAAGUUAAAGAUCACCUUGAAUGGCAAAUGCUAGGUGAGAGGCACGAGCCAUUGCAAGUUGCAUCAGUGAGAGGGAAUUAGAGCUGAAAUCCAUUUAAAGGAUACAUCUAUACAACACCGGUUAGAGAAUUGACUAUAUGUUAAUUCUCUAAUGCGAGGAAAUGAACCAAAUGACCGAAGCUCUAUUUUUGCAUAAGGAACCUCCCCUGUGAACCCAAACCUCCAAGGAAUGUUUUUCUUCAUAAGUAAUUUCCAUUACUUUCUUUUUAGUUAGCUUGAAACAAAAACUUCGUUUAACCAAAGUUUGUGUUUUAUUUCUUAAGCUAACCUUGAAAUGAAAAAGCACCAAUUUAACUUUGAAUUGGUAUCAGUUGUGAGUUGAAAACCCUUCCCAGAGAACGAUCCUAGAGCCACUAUGUUAUAUUAGCUACAGCUAUCCUAAUGCAUGGUGAUAUAGGUUAUAAAUUUUGUUGAUUACUCCCUCAAUCAAAGAGCACCAGCUGGACAUGAAUCAGCUGAGACACCAAUUGGGAACGAAUCAAAUGGCGCCGUUGCCGAGGAAGGUGCCAACUUCAUAGUGAUAUUAUUUCAGUAUACUUGUGGUUUUCAUCACAAGUUUGGUGAGUUUUCUGUCAUUUUACUAACUCUUUUAGUUGUUUCUUUUACUCAUUUAUAUUCUAGCAUAGCUUUUAAUUUAGAUUUAGUUAAGCGAACUCUUUUUGGUAGUUUUGUUUUUUUUUUUUUUCCUCUGUUUUUGUUCUUUUUUGUUACAGUUGAUACUAGUUGUGUAUGCCAAAGUGGAUACGAGAUAGUGGAGGAAGGCUUGCUAAACUUGAAACACCUCAUAACAAGGAGUUGGAAUUGAGCUUGAACAUCAUGGAAACUACACCUGAGGAUCAGCAUAGUCACCAUGAUCAUCAAGACAAUCCCAAUGAAUUCAGAUCAAUGAGGGACCGCAUGCAUCCACCUCGUAUGAGUGCACCAUCAUGUAUAGUGCCCUCUAUAGAGCAGCUAGUGAUCAGACCCCAUAUUGUGCCACUUCUGCCAACUUUCCAUGGAAUGGAAAGUGAGAAUCCCUAUGCCCAUAUCAAGGAAUUUGAAGAUGUUUGUAAUACAUUUCGAGAGGAACGAGCUUCUAUCGACCUGAUGAGGCUUAAAUUAUUUCCUUUUACUUUAAAGGAUAAGGCCAAGAUUUGGCUUAAUUCUUUAAGACCAAGGAGUAUCCGUACUUGGACUGAUUUACAAGUUGAAUUCCUCAAGAAAUUCUUUCCUACUCACAGAACAAAUAGCUUGAAAAGACAAAUUUCAAACUUCUCAGCUAAAGAGAAUGAGAAAUUCUAUGAGUGUUGGGAAAGAUACAUGGAAGCCAUAAAUUCUUGUCCUCACCAUGGCUUUGAUACAUGGCUGUUGGUGAGUUAUUUCUAUGAUGGGAUGUCUUCCUCAAUGAAGCAACUCCUCGAAACAAUGUGUGGAGGGGAUUUCAUGAGUAAGAAUCCUAAGGAAGCUAUGGAUUUCUUGAGUUAUGUAGCUGAAGUCUCAAAGGGAUGGGAUGAACUGCACAAAGGAGAAGUGGGAAAGAUGAAGUCUCAACCUAAUGCUCUUCAUGCUAAGGCUAGGAUGUACACCUUGAAUGAAGAUGUUGAUAUGAAAGAAAAAUUUGCAGCUAUGACAAGAAGAGUGGAGGAGCUAGAACUGAAAAAGAUGCAUGAAGUGCAAGCUGUUGCUGAAACACCAGUGCAAGUAAAGACAUGUUCUAUUUGUCAAUCUUAUGAACACUUGGUGGAGGAGUGCCCUACAAUUCUAGUUGCUAGAGAAAUGUUUGGAGAACAAGCAAAUGUCAUUGGACAAUUCAAGCCCAAUAGCAAUGCUUCGUAUGGCAAUACUUACAACUCAAGUUGGAGGAAUCAUUCAAAUUUUUCAUGGAAACCAAGAGCACCUCAGUACCAACAGCCAGCUCAACCAUCUCAACCAUCCCAACAAGCUUCAAGUCUUGAACAAGCAAUAGUGAAUCUCAACAAGGUUGUGGGAGAUUUUGUUGGAGACCAAAAAUCCAUCAGCUCUCAACUUAGUCAAAGAAUUGACAGUGUAGAGAAUACUUUGAAUAAAAGGAUGGAUGGGAUGCAAAAUGACUUAUCUCAGAAGAUAGAUAAUCUCCAAUACUCAAUCUCAAGGCUCACUAAUCUGAACACAGUGCAAAAGAAGGGUAGAUUUCCUUCUCAACCUCACCAAAACCCCAAGGGUAUCCACGAAGUGGAAACUCGUGAGGGAGAAUCUUCACAGGUGAGAGAUGUUAAAGCCUUGAUCACUCUAAGGAGUGGUAAAAAGGUUGAGUCACCAACACCCAAGCUAUAUGUUGAAGAGAAGGAAGAAGAAGAGACAAAGAAGAGGGAGGAAAUGAAAGGAAAGAAGAAAGAUAUCAAUGAAGGGAAGGAGGACCGUGAUUCAACAGUGAAUGCAAAUCCGGAGAAAGAACUUAUUAAGCCAGAAUUGAUGAAGAAACGCACAUCUCCACCUUUUCCUCAAGCUUUGCAUGGGAAAAAUGGGAUAAAAAAUGCACCAGAAAUCCUUGAAGUAUUGAGACAAGUGAAGGUCAACAUUCCAUUGCUGGACAUGAUUAAGCAAGUUCCAUCAUAUGCAAAGUUCCUAAAGGACUUGUGUACUAUCAAAAGAGGGUUGAAUGUGAAUAAGAAAGCCUUCUUGACUGAGCAAGUGAGUGCCAUCAUACAAUGCAAAUCUCCUUUGAAGUACAAAGAUCCGAGAUGUCCUACCAUUUCAGUCAUGAUUGGAAGAAAGGUAGUGGAAAAAGCUUUGUUAGAUUUGGGAGCAAGUGUGAAUUUGUUACCAUAAUUUGUUUAUAAGCAAUUGGGACUUGGUGAAUUAAAGCCAACAUCAAUCACUCUAUCUUUAGCUGAUAGGUUAGUGAAAAUUCCAAGGGGGAUAAUUGAGGAUGUUUUAGUUCAAGUUGAUAAUUUCUACUAUCCAGUAGAUUUUUUUGUUCUUGAUACUGAUCCUUUAGUUAAGGAAGCUAAUUAUGUUCCUAUCAUCCUUGGAAGGCCAUUUCUUGCUACUUCAAAUGCAAUCAUAAAUUGUAGGAAUGGACUUAUGCAAUUCACUUUUGGCAACAUGACACUUAAGCUUAAUAUCUUUCAUAUGUCAAAGAAGCUAAUUACUCCGGAAGAAGAAGAAGGUCCAGAAGAGGUAUGCAUUAUUGACACUCUAGUGGAGGAACAUUGUGAUCAGAAUAUGCAAGACGAUUUGAAUGAAAGUCUUGAGGAUCUUAAAGAAGGGUUGUCUGAACCCGCUGAUGUCCUUGCUACUCUACAAGGUUGGAGGAGGAAAGAAGAGAUCCUACCUUUAUUCAAUAAAGAGGAGGGACAAGAUGAUGUAACAGAAGAAUUCUCGAAGCUCAAUUUGAAACCUCUGCCCAUGGAGUUAAAAUAUACAUACUUGGAAGAAAAUAACCAAUGUCCUGUUGUUAUAUCUUCAUCUCUUACCGGUCAUCAGGAGAUUUCUCUACUUGAAGUUCUUAAGAGGUGCAAGAAAGCAAUAGGAUGGCAAAUAUCUGACUUGAAAGGAAUCAGUCCUUUGGUUUGUACACAUCACAUAUAUAUGGAGGAAGAAGCUAAACCAAUUCGUCAACCUCAAAGAAGAUUGAAUCCUCAUUUACAAGAAGUGGUGUGAACUAAGGUACUGAAGCUACUCCAAGCGGGUAUUAUUUAUCCCAUAUCUGACAGCCCUUGAGUGAGUCCUACUCAAGUGGUACCAAAGAAGUCAGGAAUUACUGUGGUUCAGAAUGAAAAAAGAGAAGAAAUUGCUACACGCCUCACUUCAGGUUGGAGGGUGUGUAUUGACUAUAGGAAAUUGAAUGUUGUUACAAGGAAAGAUCAUUUUCAACUCUUGUUUAUUGAUCAAGUGCUGGAGAGAGUCUCUGGCCAUCCUUUCUAUUGUUUCUUAGACGGGUACUCAAGGUAUUUCCAAUUUGAAAUUGAUGUUGAAGAUCAAGAGAAGACCACUUUCACAUGUCCGUUUGGAACAUACGCCUACAGAAGAAUGCCUUUUGGUUUAUGCAAUGCACCUGCAACAUUCCAAAGAUGUAUGCUUAGUAUCUUCAGUGAUAUGGUGGAGCGAAUUAUGGAGGUUUUCAUGGAUGAUAUCACCAUAUAUGGAGGUACAUUUGAAGAAUGCUUAGUAAAUUUGGAAGCGGUUCUUAAAAGAUGCAUUGAAAAAGACUUGGUGCUCAACUGGGAGAAAUGUCAUUUUAUGGUACAUCAAGGAAUUGUCUUUGGCCAUAUCAUCUCCGAGAAAGGCAUUGAAGUUGAUAAAGCAAAGGUGGAACUUAUUGCCAAAUUGUCAUCCCCAACCACUGUAAAAGGAGUAAGGCAAUUUCUUGGCCAUGCAGGGUUCUACAGGAGAUUUAUACAAGACUUCUCUAAGCUUUCAAGGCCUCUUUGUGAACUUUUAGCUAAGGAUGCUAAGUUUGUCUGGGAUGAGAGAUGUCAAAAGAGUUUUGAUCAAUUGAAGCAUUUUUUGACAACCGUUCCAAUAGUAAGGGCUCCUAACUGACAAUUACCCUUUGAAGUAAUGUGUGAUGCCAGUGACUUUGCUAUAGGAGUUGUACUUGGCCAAAGAGAAGAUGGGAAGCCCUAUGUGAUCUACUAUGCAAGCAAAACAUUGAACGAGGCUCAAAAAAACUACACAACUACAGAGAAAGAAUUGUUAGCUGUGGUGUUUGCUUUAGACAAGUUUCGUGCUUAUUUGGUAGGGUAUUUCAUCAUUUUUUUCACUGACCAUUCGGCCUUGAAGUAUUUAUUGACAAAGCAAGAUGCAAAAGCAAGGUUGAUUAGAUGGAUUCUUUUGUUACAAGAGUUUGAUAUCCAAAUCAGAGACAAGAAAGGGGUGGAGAAUGUGGUAGCUGACCACCUUUCAAGGUUGGCUAUAGCACAUAAUUCCCAUGUAUUACCUAUUAAUGAUGACUUUCCUGAGGAAUCACUUAUGUUGCUAGAGAAAGCUCCUUGGUAUGCUCAUAUUGCUAACUAUUUGGUUACUGGUGAAGUUCCAAGAGAGUGGAAAGUGCAAGACAGGAAGCACUUCUUUGCAAAGAUUCAUGCUUAUUAUUGGGAAGAGCUCUUCCUUUUCAAGUAUUGUGUAGAUUAGAUCAUAAGGAAGUGUGUCCCUGAAGAAGAGCAACAAGGGAUCCUCAGCCAUUGCCAUGAGAAUGCCUGUGGAGGCCACUUUGCCUCUCUGAAAACAACCAUGAAGGUCUUGCAAUCAGGGUUUACUUGGCCAUCGCUUUUCAAGGAUUCCCACAUCAUGUGUAGGAGUUGUGAUAGAUGCCAAAGACUCGGGAAUCUUACAAAAAGAAACCAAAUGCCCAUGAACCCCAUCCUUAUAGUUGAUCUUUUUUAUGUUUGGGGUAUUGACUUCAUGGGACCUUUCCCAAUGUCUUUUGGUAACUCUUAUAUAUUGGUGGGGGUGGACUAUGUUUCCAAAUGGGUGGAGGCAAUCCCCUGUAAACAUAAUGAUUAUAAGGUGGUUCUCAAAUUUCUUAAGGAGAACAUCUUCUCAAGAUUUGGGGUGCCCAAGGCCAUAAUCAGUGAUGGAGGUACUCAUUUUUGCAACAAACCUUUUGAAACCCUAUUAGCCAAGUAUGGAGUGAAGCAUAAGGUAGCUACACCUUAUCAUCCUCAAACUUCCGGGCAAGUGGAGCUAGCAAACAGGGAAAUAAAAAACAUACUGAUGAAAGUGGUGAUUACAAGCAGUAAAGAUUGGUCUAUUAAGCUGUAUGAUUCAUUAUGGAUAUAGAACAGCUUAUAAGACUAUUCUUGGCAUGUCCCCCUAUCGUCUCGUCUAUGGCAAAGCAUGCCACCUCCCUGUGAAAGUUGAAUAUAAGGCUUGGUGGGCAAUCAAGAGGUUGAACAUGGACUUGAUUAGAGUUGGGGCAAAGAGGUGCUUAGACCUUAAUGAGAUGGAGAAAUUAAGAAAUGAUACUUACAUCAAUUCCAAAGUUGCAAAACAGAGGAUGAAGAAGUGGCAUGAUCAACUAAUCUCCAACAAAGAAUUGCGUAAAUGACAAAGAGUCCUACUCUAUGACUCAAGGCUCCAUAUCUUUCCAGGGAAGCUCAAGUCAAGGUGGAUAGGUCCUUUCAUUAUUCACCAAGUAUAUCUCAAUGGAGUGGUGGAAUUACUAAAUUCCAAUGGCAUAGACACCUUUAGAGUCAAUGGUCAUCGCCUCAAGCCAUUCAUUGAGCCGUUCAAGCCAGAAAAGGAGGAAAUCAACCUCCUUGAGCCACAAAAAGCCUGAUCAGAGAAGGGUUAGAUGGACUUGGUUUCACCAAAGUCCAUAAUUUUGUUACAUAUGUUAAUUUUUAAGUUUUGUAAACUAUUUGAUUGUAAUUCUGGUCUUGAAAUUAUGUAAAUUAUAACUAACUUAAUCUUUUUGAAUGAUUAAAAUCAGGAGGAAUUGCAAGAAAAUCGAAAGAAGCUGUUCCGAGCUUAUGCCAUUCCCAGCUCAUCAGAGCCAUCGCAGGCCCCUCCUUUUGUUGAUCAGCCUGUGCCUCAUCAGGAGCCUCCUACAGGAGAGGCAGCUGAGCCAUCAUUUCUACAGCAUCACUCCACGUCACUCAGGAGGUACCACUUCCUCCCUAUUUUUCAAUCGCUUUUAUCACAUUGAGGAUAAUGUUCAGCUUGGUUGGGGGGAGAGUUGAGGAAGGAAGUUUUUGUUAUUAAUGCUAAGUUAUUUUGGUAAUUUAGUUGUUUUUUGCUUAAUUUUAGAAUUUUUUUCUACUCUCCAUGGUUAUUAAGGAAAAAAUUUCAAAAUAAAAAGUGAGAAAUUGAAGUUUUGUCUUUUCACUUGACUUAGAGUUUGCAUUAUGCUUACUAAAGUUGAUGAAUUAUUGAAGCUUCUAUUGAAUUCAACCUUAGUUCUUCCACUUUAAGCUAUUCACACACUGGGCAUAAUAGGUUCCGAUUAUAAGAUGAAAAACUAUUUCCCUCUUGACUUAGGAAAAUUUUAGACUUAGUACCUUUGACCUCAUUUAAUAGUGUUGGGACACCUUAUAAAAGGCCAAUGAGCCUUUGAAAAAAAAAGAAUAAAGAAAAAAAAAUGUUUGCUUACCUUGAAACCCAAGCAAGGUCCGAGGGGUAUAUGGUGAAAAUCUUUAAAACCUGGUGCCCUAAGCCUUCAUUGGUUGGGAGUCACCGACCUCAAUGCUCGUUACAAGGGUGGAUAGGUGGAAUUUAACAUACUGUAGGUGCUUGGGUAUUAAAAUUCCUUCUCAAAAGUCCGAGGUAAAAUCCGAGGAGUUAGUGGUUGAAAGAUCCUUAAAGCUUAAUGCCCUAAACCUUAAUUGGUUGGGAAUCAUCGAUGGACCCCCGUUACAUGGACAAUUUAGAAAAGAAUACCUUUAAGCCUUGUACUCCUACAAUGAAAAAAUUUGUGAGAAAAGAGGUGCGUUCUUAGCCUAUUGGAGGUUAAUUAGUUUGCUAAGCUUUGAAAAAGAACUAGGUUUGGGGAAGAGAUUAGUUCAACAUACUAUAUUCGGAAACUAAUAAAUAACACUUAGAUUUUUGUGGAAGAGUAAGGUUUGACCCUUUGGGAAUGGAAACUCUUUUAAAGCUUAAAUUUGCAUAAUGCCUUCUCUUUAAGAAUUGUGAUUAGACAAGUUAUUUGAUAACUCUUGUUGAAGUUUGAGUUUUAUUUCUUUAAUGUUCCACGUGAGAGUUAGAUCAUCAUGCCACUUGAAAAUUGUUUUUUCAUCAGCAUGAUGUUGUAAAUUAUAGUACUGUUUAUUUUUAUUUUUCUCUCCUUCAUUGCUAAGGGACUAGCUAUAUGUCGGUUGGGGGUAGUGAUUACUACUCAAAAAGUGUUAUUUGAUAGCUUGUAAUUAACUCUUUUAAAUACUUUUGAGUAGUAGUUAUCACCUUUUAACCCAAUUAACAUAUUAAGGACCCUUGCAAUCAAUUCUAAUCAAAUUGUGUUAAGUUUUGGUGUUUUGAUAGCUUUUUGAUCACCAAAGCAAUCCGAGAUUGAGGAGAGUUCUUUGGAAUCCAUGGCAAAGAUGUUCGGACAGGGCGUCCGGACACACCAUCGGAGGGCGGCGGAACAUGGGUUGUGGCAGGUUGGUGGAAUGACGUAGCAAGGCUUGCUCACUUUAGUCAAUGAUCUGGACAACAUAUCCGAAUAGGAUAUGCUAUCGUCUGGGGUGUGAUGUUCACAAGUGUCGUGUGCUUCUCCCUGAGGGAGUCCGAAUAGGGGAGCGCACCCCGUGUCCUCUUGGGGAAUCCGGAUGGAGUUGCUCCAGAUAGCGAUGCGCGCUUCGUGUCAUCAGGGGGAGGGGUCCCUACACCUUGCACACGCAAACGGUCCCCUUUGCGACGCGCGGCAUAGCUCAUUCCACCAGGGGAAGAAUUCUGUAUGGUUGACGUUUCACCUUCUCCGGAUAUCUCACAUCCGGAAUUAUGCCCCGGUCAGACAUGUCCGGAUCCUUUGAUAGCGCUCACCCGGAGAGUUUUUCUCUCAGUAUACAGUGGCGGGGUGUUCUCCUGAAGCUUCCCGAUAUUUGCAACCGACAUUUUGAGAUAUUUUGCUUUAGAUAUUUGAUGUCUAAAUCCCCAAAUUCUCCUUGUAACCCACCUAUCAUAGGAUUCCUUAGUCUUUAAGCAAGAGAAAAUGGUGAAUAACCUCUUAUAUAUAGUUUGUAAUUUUCUUUAGAAGGAGGAGAUCAAUCUCUCGGGAGCUUGUUCUUGGAGACGCAUCAUUUGUACAAUUUUGCAAGAAAUAUAUUUUACAGAGCACUUGCUCUGUUUUUUCCUAUAUAUUUUUGUUUUCUCAUUCUUUUUCUUACUAGCCAAACAAGCUUUGAGGAAGUUUCCUCAGAGAAUGAGUGGCUAGACUUUUAGUUCCUUGGAGUUAAGGUUGUCGGGAAAUGUUCCAAGUGCAAGAAUUUAUAGCUUUGUGAUUUCAACCAUUAAUGAAAAGAAAGUGUGUUCCUUUAAUGAUUUCUAUGUUUUUAGUUAACUUAAAACACCUUCAAUUCACUUGAGCCAACACGUGGUAAGGCAAGUGUUCUCCGUCCAUGGAGAUGCACUAGUUUACCUCUUGCGAGCUUUUAGGAAGUGACUUGAAGGUAGGAUUUUCUAGAAUUGCCAACACUUGGUAAGCUUUUGGACUCCAAGGAUACAUCCAUUAGUUAUCUCUUGCGAGCUUGAGAAGGAAAGUCCAAAGUUAAAGAUCACCUUGAAUGGCAAAUGCUAGGUGAGAGGCAUGAGUCAUUGCAAGUUGCAUCAGUGAGAGGGAAUUAGAGCUGAAAUCCAUUUAAAGGAUACAUUUGUACAACACCGGUUAGAGAAUUGACUAUAUGUUAAUUCUCUAAUGCGAGGAAAUGAACCAAAUGACCGAAGCUCUGUUUUUGCAUAAGGAACCUCCCCUAUGAACCCAAACCUCCAAGGAAUGUUUUUCUUCAUAAGUAAUUUCCAUUACUUUCUUUUUAGUUAGCUUGAAACAAAAACUUCGUUUAACCAAAGUUUGUGUUUUAUUUCUUAAGCUAACUUUGAAAUGAAAAGACACCAAUUUAACUUUGAAUUGGUAUCAGUUGUGAGUUGAAAACCUUUCCCAGAGAACGAUCCUAGAGCCACUAUGCUAUAUUAGCUACAGCUAUCCUAAUGCAUGGUGAUAUAGGUUAUAAAUUUUGUUGAUUAAUCCCUCAAUCAAAGAGCACCAGCUGGACAUGAAUCAGCUGAGACACCAAUUGGGAAUGAAUCACUUCGCAGAGGCACAAAAAAGGCUGCGAAAUCACUUCGCAGCAAACGACUGAUUUCGCAACGCUGCGAAGUGGUCUUUCAAGUUGUGGUAUUCGGCUUCCAUCGUGACGGGAAAAUUCAGGGGGUAAACACAGCACUGUACAAAAAGGCUACGAAAUCAUCUCGCAACAAAAGAGUGAUUUCGCAGCGCUGUGCAAAAUUCUUCCUUCAGCUUGGAGUGAUCGGAUUGCAAUGGCUGUAACUCCUUCAUUUCAACUCCAAAUUGUGCACCGUUUGAAGUAUUGGAUUUUUGACUUCUUGAGCUUCGAAACGACAUAUAGAAUGCAUAAAUUGGACUUCAGGAAGUGCUCUAAAAGUGGCUGACAUGACUGUCAUCAAGAAUAUGCUUCAUGGCAGAUUUCUCUUUGCUUCCCCUCCUUACAUUCCGGAUUUGCUUAUGGCAGCAAAGGACUUCAAAGCUUUAGUUCUUCACAUUUCUGAGCUUCAAAUUGCUUUGCCAAAGAUUCCACAUAACUCUCCUCAAUCUCAGAUUGCUUUGGUGAUCAAAAAGCUAUCAAAACACCAAAACUUAACACAUAUUGAUUAGAAGUGCUUGCAAAGGUCUUUAAUAUGUUAAUUGGGUUAAAAGGCAAUAACUACUACUCAAAAGUGUUUAAAAAAGUUAAUUACAAGCUAUGAAAUAGCACAUUUUGAGUAGUAAUCACCAAGCUCCACAUAUUCUUGUACAAUCAAAGGACGAUCAAUUUCGUAAAAGAUGAGAUCAACAAAUAUAAAUUCACUGAAAAAUGGAUAUUUGUGAGAUCGUCAAUAUUAUACGAAGGGUGUCUUUAGAGUAUACUGAAUCAGUAUAGCUAUCCUUUUUCUACCAUAGCAACGCAAUUUCAAAAACUACAGCAUUUGAAUAGCUUGUAUUUAGGUGGACAAGAACUACAGCACUUAUCUCAGAAACAUGUAUGUUCUUUCUUCAACUCUUACUCUAUUGCCUGGAAUUGCAAUACCUGCCAUGAUUAGUCAUCUCUUAUUUAUUCUCAUGGAGAAAUAGGUUUGGUUGUAUGAAGAGACAAUAUACAAUUGUUGCACCUCUUGAUUUUUAAUCGUGUCAGACAUUUGGAAUUGUCAAGCUGAUUUAUGGCUAACCUUACAAGGACAUCUAGUGCAAGAGAUUCAGAAUUAUACCUAUCUAAUCCAUCUCCAUUUCUUUAGAACAACUAGAUACUAUGGCCGAAAUCUCACGUAAGGUGUCAGGUUCAUGUUGGGGCUCAUUCACGAGAUUAUAAUGAAUAUAGCAAGGGAUGUUCUCGAUCUACCACCACCCAUGUUGUCAAGUUGUUCAAUGCUCUCGUGUUGACCAUGGCUACAGUCACAAUUGUGUGUCCUUUCCCGAAAGAAAUAGUCAUUUUGAAACUUUUGUCAACAAUAGAACUUUCAUGUAUCUACUUUCAGGUACCCACAAAAAAUUGAGUCCAGCUUAGCAUCCAAUAAAGAAAAAUAAUAAUCUGAGGAAUAAGUGUUUUCCUUACUCUUUUUCAGUAGGAACCUAGUUUAUUUCCAAUAAAUUGAAGAAUAAACUAAUUCUAAACAUGGAAGCCAUGUACUUGAUUUUUGUUUAACUAGUGGAAUAAUUCGAACAUAUUUACAACUUUAGCAUUAGAAAAGUUUAACAAAAUCACUAAUUAACCCCCAAACCCCCACCCACCACAGAGAUAUGUUACAAAGAUUCCUCUACUCUACAUUGCAACAAAGUGUAAGGGGUUGUGUCCUUUCUUCAUCGUCAAAUGAAAUAACCCUUUUCAAUAAAAGAAUAAGAGAAAUUGAGAGUUAAGACCAUUUUCUUUCAUUAUACUCUCUAUUCCUUUGCUUCUUCCUCUCUUAGUCAAGCCAAACAGUCUGUGGUUUCUCCAUUUCUUCUUCACUUCACAUCAAUAAGUAGCAUCUUGGGUUCUCCCAUCUCUCUAUCCCCUUGUCAAAACACAUAAUUUAAUGUAUUGCACAUCUUCUUGACUUCUGGCAACUGAACUUGUUUUUCACAAUCAUAAAUAUGGAGGUAUUUAAUUAUGGCAGGUGAUAUACCUUUCAGAAAUUGAUGUGAAAAGGUGGAGACUAAGGGAUGUGCACUUGGUUUUGCGAAUCAAACAACCCUCAUUUAGUAUAAACCACAAAUUUUGGCAACUCAUGAUCCAUAAUUUAGAGCAUGGGAGGAAGUAGGCCUGUUGGAAAGAUAGGAGGAGACAGUUAAAAACAUGCGAGAAUUCCAUGGAUGAGUUGCUCUUAUGAAUUAUUUAGAAUUCAUGAGAAAAUUCAAAGCUUUUUCUUUUUUCUUUUUUCUUUUUGUUUUUUCUUUACAUAGUUAAUCAUCUUGUUUAAUGUUGGUCCUAUAGUUGGUCUACUGAUGGUAGGCUUCCUUUGAGUGGAAGCAAGGACUCUACACUAAAGGUAAAUUAUGGGAACUAUGUCUUUUUGUGGUAUUGAUGGGGUUAUCAUAUAGUUGAUUGAUACUAUUGCUUCCUUAUAGCUUUUUCAAGGCUCCAAAAAAGAAAAUAACAAAGGUAGACCUAGGAAAAAUAUUCUUCCUGAUUUCAGUUACUCUUUCUAUAUGAACUCUUUAUUUUGGUAAAUUACAGUUAGAGAUGAUCAUAUAAUUGAACUAGGUUUGCUUCCUCUCCUUUCCCUCUCCUUUCCCCUUGAGGAAAUUUUUUAUCAUUGCUUAGUUUUGACUACUCUGUUUCUUUUGAUCAUUGUGGAAGAGCAUCACUAUAAGAUGUACAAGAAAUGUGUUGUGGUGCAUUAUUCCUUUCUCUACCACCUAAAAUCUACUUUCCACAAUCAUAAAUAUCGAAGUGUUUAAGCAUUAGGUAAGACAUCUCUUGAUAAUGAUGUGAGAGAUAUAGAUAAGUAAUGUUACUAAAUAACAAGAAUAUGUAUAAAAAAAAAAACAGAAUAAGAAUACACAUUUAUGUGGAAAACCUUAGAUGGGAAAAACCACGGGUAGAGGAGAAGAAAAUUAAUUCACUAUAUUAAAAAAUCGAUACAAAAGGGGAGAGAUGCGAGCGACUACUUUAUAAGCAUAAACAUCAUAGCCCUAAUCUUAUACAUAAUUGAAAAUAUAUAUACAUAUGUGUGUGUGUGUGUGUGGGAGAGUAAUAAACAUCAUAACCCUAAAUUCUAUUGGCCCUAUCCCUUCGCUACCACCACAAACUCUCCAAAAAUCUCACAAAUUUUUCUUCACCACAUAUGUCGCAUCACGAGCUUUUUGGGUAAGACUAAAUAGAAUUCGAGUUACCAAACUCUAAUAAACAACAUACCAUUAUUCUCAAGAAAUGAUGUUCUGCUUUUUCACUUUACAAUAUUCAUUUAGUUUGAACUCCAAAUUCAGGCAACUCAAAAUCUUCGCCUUCAUUAGAUUGUAGGAAGCUAGCUUCUUGGAAAGACAUGAAAAUGGGGCAUUUAGAAAUAUGGAAGAAUCCCAAAGGCCAGUUGCUACUUUUGAAUCAUUCCAAUCAAUAACAACUCCAAAGAUAUAUACAAAUUUGUCCUUGGGAAAGAGAUGUUUCCUGGGCAUGUAACCAUCUCUUUAAUAGACUCAAGGUUGUGCACCCUCUUGGUGAUUUCUUAUAUAUUGUAGUGAACCCUAUCACACCCCAAACUCACUCCAAGGGCAUUACGAUCAUUUCACACCUCAAGCCCAAAGGUUCAAAGUGGAAACGAUACAAACAUUCGUAUUGUAACUGGAAAUUUACCAAUUACCAAAUUCCUAUUCAAAGUAGUAGGACAAAAUUCUAAAAUCUCUAAGUAUCAACUUUAAAAAAAAAAAAAACUAAUAUGUCAACCAAAGUGUUAUUGUCCAAAUAACUCCAAACUCAAAAUAAUUCAAACGAGAAUUAAAUUUUAACAUUUAAACAAUGUCCAAAAUAAAAAGAGUUUAAACAAAUAUCCUAUUAAAGCCAAAUUUCCCUCCUAACGAUCACUCAUCGCUCUAACUAAGGUUACAUGAAAGAUUAUCAACAAAGGGGGGUGAGCUUAAAGCCCAAUAAGAAACAUUAAUACAGUUUCAUGGAUCAAACAUUUUCAAUCAUCCUUGCAAAUAGGAAAUAUAACAUAUACUUAUUUUCAUAAAAAACUUUUGAGUUCAAAAUGCUAAUACAUUCAAACUUUUCAACAAAACUUUCUCAUAUUCAUUUCAAAACCAAAUCAAAUACAUUCAAAAUAUCUUUACUCAGGUUAUCAAAUGACAAAUGGUGCCCAAUUAGGUGGAACUUCACAAUUGAGCAACUAGUUUCAAAUUUGUUUCAUUUAAGGUGAACAAAACCAAAUGUCAACAAUUAUAACUUGUUGACUAGGGUCAUAUAAUCUAAAGUCAAACACUUUAUUUCAUUAAUUCAAACUUACAAAACAAAACAUCGUAUCUCCUCAAUUUUUCAUUUUUCAUAAACAAAGAAAAUGCUCAAAUAUACUUUUCAUACAAAACAUAUAUUUGAUCGACGCGUAAAGUUAAAAAUAAUAUUUUUACACAUUUCAAAAUACAAUAUAAAAAGAAAAUUAUUUUCUUUUACAAAAAUCUGCAUUAAUUUCCCUUACCUCAAAUAAGUACUCAAAAACCUUGAAGUAUUUAACCCCGAAGAAUUUCGUCUCAAAGAAUCUAUUUCAAACCUAACAAAAAAAAAAAGACAACUAUGAUUAUUAACUAUUUAUCUAAAUUUAUAGGUUUGAGAACCCUAAUAAUUUUCUAUAUUAUGUCACCUAAUAUUUUUAGUAGGAAUUUUCUUAACUAAGUCCACAUACUUUUACAAGCUCUUCUUAAGCUUUGAGUGGUCAUAGUUUUUCCUAUAUUUAGUUUUACAUAAUUUUGGUGAAAAGUGCAUGAGGAAGAACCAUAUAAAACCACAACUCACUUUUGGAUGCUGAAUCUACAAAAUAUAAAUUGAAAAAAUUAACGUAUUAGGAUAAAUAAUAAUUUAGAAAACAACUCCACAAAUGAAAUAUCAAGUAAAUGCAAAUUUAAUAUUUUAAAAGCUUAAUAAACUCAAUUAAAGAUAUAACCACAUGAUAUACAAACUUGGGGAAACUUAUAACUACCACUAAUUUCAGAUGUCUAAAAUUUAUAUAUAUCCUAGACAACAUUUUGAUAUGUAAACUAAUACGUAAAUUUUUUUAAUUUUAAAAAGAAAAUUUGGCAGCCAAGCUAGAAAUUUAGCAUAUUCCUAUAAUAUAAAGAAAAAUAAAUUAACUAGAUGCCUUAAUGCAUUGCUCUAGCACACUAUUUAGUAGGAUUUAGAUACUACAUAUUCAAUGUUGUCUAAAAAGUCAACAUAAAUAAUAUAAGAGGGAAAUAACAUUUUGCCUUACACAAUUAAUCCUACUAAAAGUUUGUUUUGUUAAGUCAUUCAUCUAAUACUACAUAUUUCAAGAUGAAUUAUUUGAGCUAAUUUUCUCAAGGAAAUAAUUACUUUGGUGAUAGCUACAUAUUAGCUUAUUUUUAUGAUAUGAUGUAUCAAUUAAUAAUUGUCUUCAUUCACCUAGAUAUUGACAACGAUUUCAAUAUAUUGGUCGAUAUUAUCCAUGUUUAUUUUAUUGAAUGUCAAUUCAAUACCUUAUAAACUAAACAACAAAACAAUUAAUAAGUAUAAAAAGAAUUGAUAUUGGGAAAUCCAAGCCUAGGAAGUUUAAGGGGAAGCGAAGUAAAAUAGCCUUGACAAAGAAAAAAAUUCAAAGAAAUUGGUAUAAUAUAGCCAUGUCCCUCUACUUGGAUUUUCAAGGCCUAGAAACAUGGUUAGCUCCUGUAAAAAUUUUCAUUUCCAUGCUCUUUUAUAACACUUUCCCUUCGAUGUGACUAUUUCAAUAUCCUUUAUUUUAAAAAAAUAUUUUUACUUAAUAAGUGAAAAGAAUGGGAUAUUGUCUGUUUUACUUUGCUUAGUUCAAUGUUCAUUCCCAAGAAGUGCUUAUUCUUUAUACUCAAUAUCCUCACUAUGAAUUAGUUCUACUCCAGGGUCGUACUAUUUCAGGUGCGCUUCUACCUAUCACUUUUAGCAAAUGUGAUUUUCUAGAGUAAUGUACUUAAAAGCCUACUGCAUCACUCAAGAAGAAUACCCAAACAAACCAACAUAGUCAUAAGGCACCAUAACAAGACAUACAGUAAUUAGUAACUUUGAUGGAAGAGAGGUUUUGUUUUUAUUUUAGUAACUUUGGCAUAGUUGAUGUUUGAAAAUGCUGAGGGAAUGCAUCCCUUCUGGCAGUGAUUUCAAUUGGGGGCAUUCAGAAAUCUAGCCUUUCCCUAAUAUCCUUCAUUCUAUGAUUCAUCCAGACCAAAAAAGCACCCAGCAUGUCUGUCUUUCUCCACAAGUCCUCCGUUGCUAAGUCAUCAACAUACUAUAAAACAUCUUUAAGCUUCUGUACCCAAGUUGUUACUGUUGCUCCUCUUCAGCAUCAGCAAGUACAAAUUUGAAGGAGGACAGUGUGUCCUUAUGCUUCAUAAACUCCUCUUGAACCAUACAUCUCUACAAAAGCAAAAUACCCUAACUUCAUCAAAAGAUUGUCAACAAUAUUACUGAAUGAAAUUUGUUCAGCCAUCUUUCAAAGGUCUAAGGGAAAAUGAAAGGAGUUUUAGCAACAGAAAAAAUGAGAAAAGCCAAGUGAGGACUGAAGGGUCUGAAUAAACUUGGGUGUGUUUGCUCUGUUCAAUUCAAGUGGGAUUAAUUACUUGACCCUCAUGAUUGACCUACCCACCAUAUUUUUCAUUUUUUUUUCUUAUUAAAAUUUUCAAACAAAUAAAAUUACUUGAAAAUUACUGGAUAUUACUUAUUAUUUAAAAAUGAAAAUAAAAAUUGCUAACCUUCUUGUAAUAUAAUUAGUAAACAUAUUUUUGUUUUAUAAGCUAUAAUCAAACCGGUUUAUAUAUCCUAUUUUUAAAAAUAACAAAGACAAAAAAUUGUCCAUUGAGCACCUAAAUAUUUUAAACUCAUUAUAAUAAAAAAAAAAUGUCCAAAAUAUUUAUUAAAAAAAACUAAUUUAAUUUUAUAAUCAUUUUUCAACCCAUAAAUUAUCCAAAAAUAAACUAAAAUCUUUAUCAAGGUUUUUCUAAGUAGAAUUUAAAAAAUGAGAAAUUAAUAUUUGAAACUCCUAAAAAUCAUUAAAUUAAAAUUUUAAAAAAUAAAAUCUGUUUGAUUGUCUUAGAAUCGACAAUAGAAAUGCAAACAUGAGUUUAUAGCUCUUAACAGAUUAGAUUAUGAAACUAAAUGUAUUUUAGAUAGUGGAGUUAGUUCAUACAACAGAAAGGAUGAGGUAUCCAAGAUGUCAAAUUAGGUUGGGGUUGAAGGAAGUGAAGGAAAAUUACCAUAGAUGUGAAAUCGAAAAGGUUGUGAUCCCAUAAGACAUCAAUUGACAAUAUCCAAGAAAAUGAAUGACAAAACAUCAGAAUAUCAACAAGCAGAUUGCAUACUUUAUAUCAAGGUACUUAAUUGUUCUGAUGCAAGCAUUUGAAAUUUUUUUGUUGUAAGAGCUCAAACAUUUCCUAAUAGAUCAUACCGGUGGGUUGAUGCUAGAGAUGUCGUCAAUGCACACAUUCAAGCAUAUGAGAUCCCAAAGCCAGUGGAAGAUACUGCUUAGUAGAGAGGGAUUUACACUAUUCCGAGACACUGAAGAUUUUGCACAAGCUCUACCCUAAUUUACCCCUGCCCAAAAAGUAAGUUUCUAUUAGUUAUUGGUAGUACUCGUUUGUGCCAUCAUUAGAGUACUUGUCAUUUAAUCUUCUUUUUUUAAUCGUUUGUAAUAGUAGAAUGAUUGUUUCUAUCCAUUAGAUGUAAAUAUGGUGAGACAAACCAUAUUUAAAACCCUACAUGCCUCGUAUUAAUAAUUUAUUUUUAAUCUUUGUAUUAAUGCAUCAAUAAAUGGUAUUGAAGAAAUUACUUUUACAACAAAGGUUACAAGAUUAUAAGUAGGAUCACUUUGAUACAAUGACGGGAUAAAAGAAAUAGAUGGGUUUAUUGAAUGCAAACCUCCAUACAUAAAUGAUAGAGACUUAACUUGUUCAAUAUAAGUUCUUUGAUGUAAAAUAUCAAUUUUGUUUUCCAAAGUCUUUAUGGCUAUUGGCUUUUCCAUGGAAUACCAAAUAAAGAAAAAAAAAACCCUCCUUACCCGAGAGUUCAUUUGAACCUUGUUUCGAAGAAAAAAGUUUUAUUAAUCCAAACCCUAUUGAUUUAUAUAUGACCUAUCAUGGGACUAUGAAGAGUUUUAAAACAACUCAAAGAUAACAAAAAAAAAAAAAAAAUUGAGGUUAAAUAGUGAAAACUACAUUAGAUUCCAAUAAUAGUUUUUAUGAUAUAAUGUUGCAUUGGCAGGUUUCAUAAAGAAAUGAAUUAUUCUAUGAAUACGAUUUUCGAUUCCAAAUUUUGAAUUUUCUAAUUCCUUAGUUUAGUGGUGGGUUUCGUAGAAAUUGAAAGUUGUGGAAAAGUAGAAUAUGGACACAAUUUUUUACUUAAUGAGUAGAUUUUACAACACCUUCAAGUAAUUACCCUAAAAAUGAUAGGUCAUUGCAUUGAAAAUGUAUUAAAUUUAAUUGAGAGAUUAUUUAUAAAAAUAUCAUCAUUUUUUAAAAGAAUAAUAUGAUCUUACCAUCGUCUCGGGUAGGAAAGCAAUUUAUGGUGGUGUUAGAUUUUUCUUAAUAUAUUCUUGUUCCUUUUUCUUUUUUUCUUUUUGGUGCAUAUUGUAAGGUUUCAAGUUCCUUUAGAAAUAUGAACAACGAUGAAGAGUUAGAAAUUUUGGAACAUUAAGUACAUAGUUAAAGCCAUGUUUAGAUAGUUGAAAUUCCUAAAUAAAAAAAAAUACAAAAAAGAAAAAAUGAAAGAAGUUCAAAUUUUAUUUGAUUAUCUUAAAAAAUAAAAGAAAUUACAAAUAAUGAAAAUUGUUUAGAUUUUAUAUACUUUCUAAUGUUUACUCUUUAUAAACAAAAAAAAACAAAUAAAUUUUUUUGAGGUUCUAAAAAUAAUUAAACUUAAGCUUAAUUUUUGUUUUUCUUGAUUUUUAAUGCCUUUCAUAAUUUUUCUUUACAAUUUUUCCCACUUAAUCCAAAACUUUCCAAGGUCUAAAUUUCAUAGGUGUUUCAUCUUCUUUUUAAUUAAGAAGUUUUGAAUGUUUCAAUUCAAAUUCCACAAUAAGGUAAUAAAACCUUAAAAUUAAUAUUACAUCUAGGUUGACUUGGUAAUCAACUUGAACCAAAUCUAAAUUAAGAAACAUUCGGUCCUAGCCUAACCAAAUAUAGCCUCAAAUAUGAGGUGUUUAGUUAAAACUCAACUUAUUUCUAUAUAUUAAAGUGAGGCUUAAAUUGACUCUGGUAUACUUGUAGUCGAGUUGAGUUGUUUAAGUUGUAUGAUCAGAGCUAAGUUUUGUAAGAUUGAAUUGGGGUGAACUCGUUCAUAAUGUUUAUUUUUUUUAACUUCUUUUAUAUCAUAAUUUAAAUAGCAAAUAGGACAACAUUUAAACAUAAUUAAAAAAAAAAUGAGAAUGAAUUUAUGUAUCUUUCUUACAAAAAUGAAAUAAUAUAAUUAAAAUUUAAUAUUUUUUUAAAUACUAAAAAACAUAAAAUAGAUAUUAUUAUAUAAAAUAAAAUAAAUUAAAAAUAUUAUAAAAAUAUAAAAUUAGGUUAUAUAUGUAUGUAUGUAUGAAUGUAUGUAUAAAAUAGUAGUGUGACGGGUGUUUGCUACUUGUAAAAAGUAUUUUUACUCAUUUUUAAAUUGAAAUUAAUAAAAAGAAAAAGAAAUAAAGUGUUUUCAAAAAUAUUAAAUGCAUAACUAAUAUUAUGCUAAUGAAGUUUUUUGUUCUUUGUAAUUUAGAGUUGUCUCAUUCAUAUUUUAAGGUAAACUAAUAGAACAUUAAACUCCCCAAUAUUGUAUCCAUCUAGAAUUUAUCACCAUUUUAUUUUAUAUCAUAUCAUAAUUAUAUUAAUUAGUGGCUUCAAGAAAAAAAAAUUAUUUAUAUGUUAGACAACAUGGAAAAGAUAUCUUUUUUAAUGCUUAUUAAUAAUUUUUAUUUCAAAUUUUAAAACAUGAAUAUAUAAAUUUUAACAAUUAUGAAAUAUUAGUCUAAAUAUCUUUUAAUAUUUGGUUAUGUUUGCAAAGCAUUUUUAAUAACAAUUAUGAAAAACAAUUUUUGAGAGUAAUUUCCGAAAACAUUUUUUUUUGUUUUUAAAUAUGUUUUAAAAAUAACUUUAUCUCAUAUAUAGUACUUUAUUUUAAUCGUUCUCUAUUUAAAAUAACUCUAUGAAAAGAAACGGAAAUAAUUAAAAGAUUUAUCUUAAAAUAUUUUAUUUUUUUAUUUUUAUGAAUAGAAAACUUUUUUUUUUUUUUUGUCAAAUGUGUCUUCUUGUUUUUGUUUUUGUUUUUUUAAAAAACAAAAAACUGUUUUAAAAAAUAAUUACCAACCAUGCUUGAACACAAAGCCCGAAGCUCCCGUGGGGCUGGUUUUGGGCCUUUUAGGUUUGGGAAAAACAGUCGGGCCUGGCUGAGCACAAAUUCUUCUCUUUUAAGUCCAAAAAGCCCGUCUCAAGCCCAAACUUCGGGUUGGGCCGGGAAGCUCCUGACUUAACACAAAUUCUUCUCUUUUAAGUCCAAAAAUACAGUCUGAAGCCCAAAAUUUCGGGUUGGUCCGGCCGGGCGGGCGGGCGGGCGGAUAGGAAAUAUAAGAAAAUAAAUAUCUCCAUAAUAUAAUUAUUAUUACGACAGUGGAAUCUGAGAAAAGGUCGUGAGUGUUCUACAAUUUUGAUCUUUUGCAGCAGACUGAAUGUAGACUACAAAGAGAGUGAGAAAUGGACGGGCAAGGCAAGGUGGUGUGCGUGACCGGAGCUUCUGGGUACAUAGCCUCAUGGCUUGUGAAGCUCCUGCUCCAACGCGGCUACACCGUCAAAGCCACAGUUCGAGACCCAAGUCAGAUCUCUUCCCAAUUACAACACUUCUCAUUCCCAAACCCCACUUGCUAUUGUCCCCAAUUUUCUUCUUUCUUUAUUGUUUCAGUACUUUUCAAGCAUAAUGUUAGCCGUUAUUUAGCAGUUUGAAACUUAGGUUGAGUGGUAUUUUGAUGGGUCUUUGUCCUUUUUCCUUUUUCAGAAGUUUAAUCUAUGAUUGAAAGUCAAUAUUCAGUACUCGGGUCUUUGUGUUGUCCUAAUUUUCUUGGAAUUAUACUCUCUACAUGGUUCUACAGGGCAAAUUGAUCGAGUUUAUGCUAUUAAAAAUGAUUUCAGAUACUUUCAGAAUCAAUCCAUCUCAGAUUCUGCAUGUGUUCCUUCUUAAUUACUACUAUCUUGUAAAAAUUUUUGCAUUUAAUUUACAAGACACUGAGGAGGUCUCAAAAAGAAAAGCAAAGGGAAAGAAAAAGAUUUUCCUUCAGCCAUACCAAAUUGUUUUGGAACCAAAAACUCUAAAUAUGGGCCUGUGUUCUUUUUGGAGACCUAUUCUUGAAAAUAAUUUCAGAGAAACGAAGAAAAUCUACAAAAUUUUGUACAAUUAUUUGGCUUUAUUACAAGCUUUUUUUGUUCUACAAACAAGACAAGAGGACAGUUUAGGGCUUCAUUUUGUUUCUUUACUGUUCUUCGGUUUCCUCUUGAAUGCCUCUAGCUCUAUUCUAUUUUUAGUAUUUCAACAAAUUGUACAUCACAACUGAAGUUUCUUGCACUUUGAAAAUCCAAUCAUCUUGCAUAAAUGAUCCAAAAGCUUGCAAUUGCAGUUGAAAAAAUGACUACUCUACAUGCCCCAUCCAUUUUACUUCAAUCCCCAUUCUUUUAAGAAGAGCAUAGUUGAACUUCUUAAUAUUCUAGUCAUGCUUCCACUGUAUACUCCUUCUGUACUAGGGUUUCCCCAUUUGGGGUUGUUUUUUUCUAUCACAUAAUAUAUGUUCUUACCAAAAUAAAGUUUUUGUAAGCUUUCAUUCUUCUUAUUUCCAUUUAACAUGCAAGUUGUGCUUAUAUAUGCCACAGAUGAUCCAAAGAAGACAGAACACUUGCUUGCACUUGAAGGUGCUAAAGAAAGGCUUCAUUUGUUUAAAGCAAACUUACUUGAAGAAGGAUCCUUUGAUUCUGUGGUUGAUGGAUGUGAUGGAGUAUUUCAUACAGCAUCCCCAGUUGUGCUGAUAGUUGACGAUCCCCAGGUUUAUCCUAUAUUGGUUCCAUUCGCAUACUGUAAAAUUUAGCAUUGUCUAUAUUCUUUUCCAAUCAGUUACUGAUCUUGAAAUUACUAACUAAUCAUGAAUUGUUAAUUUGCAUGAUUCUUCUUUCUGUAUGUGGUUUCUUCAACUGAUCCAAUGGUAGUGAAUGCUGAUUUCACUAAACCAAUUCAAUGGUGGAAAAGAGAGAAACUGAUAUUGGAUUUUUUAUAUUCUGCUUAUGUGCAAAAAUAUUGAAUAGCUUUUUUUUUUUUUUUUUUUUUCUUUCUUUCUUUCAUUCUCCCCCCUAAUCCUUCUUUUCUCCACUUGUUAUGCUUGUUCAAAAGAAGAUAAAGGCCCUUUGUCUUGCAUCAAUAAGAACCAAAAACCCUGUGAAUACUUAUUUAGGAAUGUAUAACUUCCUUGACAGCAGCAUGGGAAUGCUCACACCGUAACAAGGCUAUUCCAAUGGAAAUUUAUGGUGGCUGAUCCAAACACUCCUUGUGCUUUUUUUUUUUUUGAUAGGCAAAAGAGCAAAAGACAUGUUAAAGAGCCAAAAAAAAGGCUACACCAAGUACAUAGGAAGUACGCAUGUGCACACCAAAGAAAAAACACAAAAACCCUCUUCUUAAUGGCAACCUAACCAAUCGAUAAAAUCAAUCAUAUACAAGGACUCUUGCCCUAGUCCCCCUUUGGUCCAUUCUAAAAAGUUACAAAGAAAAGAGAAUUUUAGCUCGUGAUAUGAAAGCUCAACAUUAUCAAAAGCCCUUCUAUUCCACUCUUUUCAAAUAGUCCAAAACAAACAAAGAAGUGCAACAUUCCACACCUUUUUUUUCCUCCUCCCAACAGAUCGGCUAUGCCAACUAAGAAGUGUUGCUUGGACUGAGGUAUGCAACACCCAAACCACAGCAAACAAGGAGAAAACUAAUUGCCAUAACAAACUAGCCUUAGAACAAUGAAGAAUGAUGUGAUUGCAAGAUUCCUUCUCAUCUUUACAUAAAAAGCGUUUGUUUACCAAAGUCCAACCUCUCUUCAAAUUGUCCAUAGUUAGAAUCCCCUUCCAAGUUGCUUCCCAAAACAAAAAAAAAAACUCACUUUUAUUGGAGCCUAAGAAUUCCAAAUAAGCCUUGUCGGGAAAGAAUUUGAACCCCUCUAAACCAUCCCAUCAUAGAAAGAUUUAACUAAAAAUUGGCCUCCCUUUGUAGCCAUCCAUACCACCUUGUCAUCCAUCUCCCUUCUCAUUGAUUUGCCAUGCAAACGCAAAAGGAGUGCUUCAACAUAACCUAACUCUUAAUCUUGAAAUUCCUUACAAAACAAGGGUUCCAACACCCCUCAAAAUCAAUAUGCUUCCAAACAUCACAUACCCAAGCCUCCUUUGAAGUGGCUACAACAAACAAAGAGGGGAAAGAGGUACUCAAAGGGGUGCCCCCACACCAAAUGUCCUUCCAAAACCUUACCCUUCUUCCAUUACCCAAAUCAUAGGAAAUCUUGUUUUUGAAAGAAUCCCAUCAUUUCCUUAUAGCCUUCCACAAUCCUAUGCCAUGACCCUUCCUUGUCUCCAAAGAGCACCAACCUGCUUCUUCUACCCCAUUCUUACCAAUGAUUUCUUUCUUCCACAAGGUCUCCCCUUCUGACAUGAACCUUCAACUCCAUUUUCCUAAGAGAGCCUUGUUCAAAAUAGAAAGAUUUUGAAUGCCUNNNNNNNNNNNNNNNNNNNNNNNNNNNNNNNNNNNNNNNNNNNNNNNNNNNNNNNNNNNNNNNNNNNNNNNNNNNNNNNNNNNNNNNNNNNNNNNNNNNNUUUAAGGGGGGGCCCCCAAAGGAACCCCCAAAUUUUUUCAAAGGGUAAGCCCCCCUUUUCCCCCCCAAAAAUCCCCCAAAUUCCCUCAUUUUGGGGACCCUCCCAAAUAAGAAUAGGCCACUUUUUUUAAGGUUUUUUUUAACCCCAAAAAUUUUUUCAAACCCCCCCAAGGCCCAAGAAAGGACCAAUAUUGGGCCCUUAAAACCCCCCAAAAAAAAAAAAAAAAUUGUUUUUCCCCAAAAAAAAAGGGGAACCCCCCCCCCCCCUUCCCCCCUUUUUUUUUUAAAUUUUAAAAAAAAAAAAACAACCCCCCCCCCCCCCCCCCCCCCCCCCAAACAAACAAAAACUCCUUGUGAUUAUCUUCAAGAGUGGAGAGUUAUAGCAUUUUAACUGACAACCACUAUCUCAAGGUGACUGAAGAUGCAUUCCACAAAAUGUUAGACAAGUUGCUUAUGAUUUUCUCCAGACCCUGAAUGCUAUAGGUAUAAGAAAUAGGUAAAUGUGCUUACUAAUAGUGGAUGCAUUCCACAAAAUGCUAGAGAAGUGGUUGUUUCCUUCUCUCUAUCUCUUUCCUUACCUCCUUCCUCACCUCCCUCACCUUCCCAAAUUCCCUUUUCCUUUAUUUUCUCAAACAGCUCAGUUGCUCCACAUGAUUAUUUUUUUAAAAAUAGGAAUGCUUCACAAGAUUCAUAUAUUACCUUGCUAAUUUUAGUUAGUUAGGCACUGCCCCUUAAAAACUCAAUUAAGUCUACAUAUUAAAUCCAUUUUUUUGUACACUUUUGUGAAUUGGAUUAGGGUAUACAUAGAGGAACACACUUUGUCGUUGAUAGAUUUUGUUGACUGGUUAGCCACCAAGUAAGGGUCAGGCUUGUUUGUUCUUUUGUUUUUUGCUUCCUUGUAUAUGGUAUACUCCGUGUAUACCCUUUCUCUUGCCUUUUGGCUCUUAAUGAAUUUUCUUUACCUAUCAAAAAAAAAAUUAUACCUUUGAUGUAGUUAUGAAUACAAGGAUCAUCCAUAACUCCUCCAAUUACAUGACAUAUUUGCUAUAUUAUUGAUUCUAAACUGGCACUGUCAUAACAUGAUUGGCAAAAAAAUAAAAAUAAAAAUAAUAGUUACUUCUAGAAUUUGAUGGAUGAACCUUAUGGCUAUGCUUGGUUCCUAGAAAAUUUGAGGCAAAAUGUAAGGGAAAGAAAAUAGAAAGGAAAAGUAGAAAGAAAGAAAAAUUGAAGGAAAAUUAAAAAUAGAUUUAAAGUCAAAAAUUAUUUUUAUAUGUUACUUCAAACUUAUUUCACUUAUUUUAACUAUUGAAUACAAAGAUUAAAUAAUUUGAAAAUUCAUAAGUUUCUAAUUAGUUUUAAUUAUAUUUGUCUUUCUUUGGUAUUUUCUAUAGAACAAUCAAACAUGAAAAAAUUAUUUUCCUUAGUGUUUUUUUUUUUAGUACUUUCCGAGAACCAAACAUAAUCUAUUGAGUUUGUCUAUGAUGAUUGGCAUUGGUUAUUUUGUUUAGGCUCAUUCACCAACCAACUGGUUUGUGGUGUACCACUAUACUUCUUUUCCAAUUUUAUUUUAUUUUAUUUUAUUUUUUUGGUUCAUUUUAGGUUUAAAGAGAUUUUAUUUUAUUUUAUUUAUUUAUUUUUUAUCAUAAUUCAUGUGUAACUGCAUUUCCUUUGUCACCAUCACCAUGUGACUCCAUAUAGUGGUUGGGAGAGUUAGAUGCUGGAACAGUUAUGGAAUAACUCCAUCAAUGUUGUGCAUCUUUCUUUGAAAUGUAGGAAUUUGGAUUUUUUAUUUUUUUAUUUUUUGAAUAUCUCCUUCUCAUAAAUAGGUAUGGUAUGCCCAACCAUUUUAUUUUAUCAAAAUUCUUUGAUAACAUAGCUUAUCAAUAUGAUGAAAUGAUCAUAAUGUAUCUCAUCAACCUGAUUUCAUAUUACACAAUGGAGCCUAGAUUUUGAAGUUCUCUCAGUUACAAAGGGAAAUCUUGUGUUGAUGUAAUGGCAGAUAUUGUUUUUUGUAGUUGGGAUUCCUCAAAGAGUUUGGGAGGUGGGAGGAGUCCUAGAGGGAGAGCACUGUGCAGAGAGACCAACUUAGCUGGCUAAUAGAUUAUUCGGCUUCAGAGAAAUGCUUGGAUACUUAAGAACAUGAGAAAAUCUUUCAUUGACUUGUGUGCUGAUGUCUAUUAUCUCACAACUCUUUGAAUGCUUGUCACUGUAGAGUUCUUUAGGUUCCCUUUAAUGUAUAUACAUUCUUUUUUGGAUCGGAGAUCAAUAUGCCUUUCCCGUCAGAGAGUGGUUUUGUGCUGGAGGAGGCACUGCCUGUGCUAUUUCUAGACUCCUGACUGUGGCCAGUCCACUCUGCACUUUUUUCAGUUUCCGGACACAACAUGUUAUACAAUUAACAUACCAGCUUCUAUGUGAUCGAAUUCAGCUCCACCUCAAUCAUUGGAAUUAGCAGCAUGCCAACAAUCACAGUGUGGGCACCAGUUUUUAGUUAUUCACUUGCCUUGCUUUUCUGGUGAAGUCAGGCAGCAUCUUUUCAUUUCAGAAUGUGGCAUGCUGUUGUUUGUGACUUUUUGGCCAUAAGAGCAAUUGUGGAUGGCCCUUCAAUAGACAAAACUUUAUAGGUGUGUGUUUGUGCCAAAUCAAGGGUCAAGUUAUGAAUGAAAAUAUGAAAAUGAAAAGAGAAACAGAGCAAAAAUUCAUUUUACCAUGUCUCUGUUCUUUCCAUGAGGGAUUAGGCUUGUACCUCUUUGGAAGACUCAGAAUCUCCUUUCGGUUUUUCAGUGGCUCCUUUCUCCUAUGACCCGUUCAAGAAUGCUACUUUAUUGUAGACCUUCUAUGCCUUUAUUGAAAAAGAAAAAGUGAUAAGAUAUUUCAACUAGUUGAAAAUAGAGGACCCUAAGGCCUGAGAUAGACCGAUGCUAGAUAGAAAAUACAUAUGUACGGAUUUUCAAACUUAUCUAGAAGAAAUAGAAGCAAAUGAUACAUGACAAGUCAGUGUCAAAAGGUGAACUAAGUCUUCCACUAGAUAGUCUACUUAGAUGUCAAAAAUGUAGUGGGCUCUUUAGCCUCAUGGUAGCCUAAAGCUCAAGUUUGGUUGAUGUUACCUAGCAAACUCGAGACAGAUGGAAAUUUCCAGCCUUUUACGGGUCCAUAGAUGUGUGAUUAUUAGGGCUUUUUAAUGUCAUUUGUGAUGGGGUUUGCUAUUGAUGUGAUGCAGAGGUCCUGAAACUAUUAGAAGGGAUGUAAAUCUGGUGAAAGAGUUGGAUGUUUAUGAUCUUAUGGGGAAGGAGAAUUGAGCAAUGGUUCUCUCUUGCAUGUCACUGGGUCAAAAAGGGUCAGGGAGAUAAAACCACCACUUGUGGAGGAUAGUGGAUCUUUUUAGAGACAUUGGCUGAUCAUUUCUUGAAAGUUUAGAUCAAGAAAUCAAGAAGAUGAGAGGCUGAUUAAGAGAGAAGUCAUGUCCUAUGCCAACUUUGUUUGAGUGGGCCAUAUCAUAUACUUCUACCUGGGGUUAAUCUUUAAGUCUGGAGGGUUCAUUGUCUCUUCAUUUUUUUACCUUUAUUUUUUUUCCCCUUAUUGAAUCAUGUUCUUGUACAUCUACUUGUUUGAAGGAUUUCUCAUCCUUCCUUGUAAAUAACUGUUUGCAUAAUAUUAUCACACAAAAACAUAGAUCAUAGACAAGCUGAGAAUUUCCUUAGGAUCCAUAAUGUGAUCUUAUGUUUGCUUCUAUACAUAAUUAUUAGCUUUUAAUUAGCUUAUCUUCAUUGGACUACUUAUGUGGAGAUUUGUUUUAUCUGUUUCUCCGUGUUUCAGGCACAACUAAUUGACCCAGCACUAAAAGGAACAAUGAGCGUUCUAGGAUCUUGUGCAAAAGUUCCAUCUGUCAAAAGAGUAGUUGUAACAUCAUCUAUGGCUUCAGUUGCAUUCAAUGGGAAACCUCUAGCUCCUGAUGUGCUAGUUGAUGAGAGUUGGUUUUCAGAUCCAGUUUUCUGUGAGAAAUCAAAGGUUGCUUAAAUGAGAUGAUAUCACAUGCUAUCUCUUUUGCAUGUUCUUGUUUGUGGCUUUACAAAAUGUUUUCUUUUCAUGGCUCUUCACUUCUUUUACCCUGCAGAAGUAGCUGCCAAUUUGUCAUGCCCUCUUGUUUUUACACUUCUGCUAGCCAGCUUAGGGUUAAAUAACAUGAUGGGAAUGAGAGGAUUAUCCCUUUAUUUUGCUAAGCCUGCCAUUAGAUUAAAUAAUCCUUCCAUGUAUGUCUAAUAUUUCACUAAUACAGUGUUGGUAGCUGUCUGAUCCAUAAAGUCGCAUUCCUCAAACAAGAAAUUAAAUGAGAACUCUAAUUUGGAUAUUAUAUGAAUGAAAUGGAUGUUAAUCUCUGAUUGUCUUACUGUCCAUUAAACAUGAUGGGCUCAGAAACAUGGGUUGACAAAACAGUUGUGACAUAUCUAAUUAGUUUUAAUGUGAGUGUGUAUGCCUGCACAGCCUCCUAUUGAUUUUGCUUGGGUUCAUAAGUUCAUUGCUUGUUCUCUAUGUUCCAUUAUCUACUAGCAAUACAUAGAAAUGCUUCUCACUAUAUAUUUUCAAACAUGUUGGUUUCUACUAGCUAUGGUAUAUGCUUUCAAAGACAUUAGCUGAGGAGGCUGCUUGGAAGUUUGCAAAAGAGAAUGGGAUUGACAUGGUUACAAUAAAUCCAGGGUGGGUGAUUGGCCCUCUCUUACAGCCUACUCUUAAUCUAAGUGUGGAGGAAGUUCUGAAGCUACUAAAAGGUACUCUUCUACAAUUGAUGAGAAUCUCUUUUUUAUGUUUAUCUUUCUACUCCAGUAGCAAUACAUGCUUCACUUCAAUAUUGAGUCAACUCUAUCCAACAGCCCUGCAAAUGGAAACUCAGAAGUUUAAAUCAAAACUUAUCAAUAAACCGUCACAAGACUUCCACAGUUCCACAUAAAAGGACUACAUAUGCAUUUUGAUAUAUGCUGACUAAUCUUCUAACACUAAAAAAUUGAUCUCUCCUCUGGUCAUUAUAGUUAUAUCACCAAGAUACUCAUUUAGGGGAUUUGCAUAUGAGAUUAGAUGAAGAUAUAUUUAGUUUUGGCCUCCCAAGCCAGACUGGUUUGGAAGGACCCCUGGACUGUGAAAGGACUGAAAGCAUGCGUAUGCAAUUACUAUCCUGAACUUGAGGUAUAUUUACAUGCAAGUUCAAGCCAAGGGCAAGAACUUCUUAAAUAACCCAUUAAUCCUUUUGAUCUACCCCAUCUAAAUAUUACUGCAGCUCAACAUAAUUAGCAUAAAGUGGGGGUUCCCCGCAUCCAACUCCAUUGCAAAUGAGUUGUUCAUGUGCAACUCACUUGAUCAGUAUUUUUAAAAACUUCUACUAACUUUUUUGGACUAUUUUACAGAUCUUAACAUUCUCUAAACAUUUAGAAUCAUUUCUAGUGGCUUUAUAGGGCAAUAUCAUGUUACUUUAUUGACAACUCUUACAAUAAUCAAUACUACCUUAACUGUAUAGCCAAUAUGGUUUGUUUCCUUACUAGCCAACCUCUUCUGCCUCCAACUAACCUCCCCUGUAUCUUGCUUCAAUUAUGAGGGCGUUGCCAUAGGUUGAGCAUUGGACAUAUGAUAAACCUGUGCCUUGAUGGUUGUACUCUGAUUCAUGGAUCCAGACCGUAGUAAUUGGGAUUAGACUUGUUGGUAGUUGCUUUAGUUCAAUGCUUGCAAUAACCAAAGUAAUUUGUCGUGCUGCUUUAGAACCGUUCGAUCUUUCGUAUGAAAUAAGAAAGGUAUUUUGUACAAAAUAAUGUUUUCACUUGUAAUUUCCAACAUUACAUAAAGUGAUAAAUAUAAGUGUAUUUGCUAAGUGUGAUUGCAUCAUUUUCUAAGCAUUUCCGUUUGAGACAAACAGUCUAAGACGAAAAUGUGUGCUUCAAAAAUUUCUAGCUGUAAUACUUUUGAGAUUGUGCCAAAAGAUCAGUUGACAAUGACUAUAAAUAAAUAAAUGGAAAAACAUCAUAUUAUCAUUGAGCAGAUUGCAUGCUAAACUUAAAUAGGCAAAAGAAACUGAUACUUUCAGUACACUUACGUAAUACUUGUGAUGUAAGCUUCUGAGAUUUGUUUGCGGCAGGAGAUACAUUUCCCAAUAAAACACAUCGAUGGGUUGAUGUUAGAGAUGUUGCCAUGGCACAUAUUCAAGCAUAUGAGCUUCCAACGGCUAGAGGCAGAUACUGUUUAGUAGGGAGCAUUUUACACUGUUCUGAGACAAUGAAGAUUUUGCGCAAGCUCUACCCUGCUUUAAACCUACCUGAGAAGUAAGGUUUUAUUAUUUGCAGGGCGUUAUUUCUAGUUUGCAUUAGUGCCCUUUGAAAUCAAUAUUAGGCAAUGCUACUUCUUUUUGUUUAUUUUGGGUUUUUUCUUUUAUUUCUUGAUAGGCUAAUAUAUACAUAUUCUGUAAAGAAGUACCUAGAAAAAGGGGCACAACUCUGGUGCAAGUAGUAGUAUGAAAGUAGCACUAAAAUGUAGAAAUUAAAAACAAAAGGAAACAACUACAUCAGGAAGGCAACAGACACAAUAAAACAAGUAACCUGCAUUGGAUGAAUAUGUGAUACAUUGAUUCCAUCAUUUGGUUGCACAGACAACACCAAUUGACAAUAGACUAAACUAAGAAACAGUUGUUCUAAUAAGACUGAAACAACACCAUCAACAAAUUAUUGAGAUUUUCACAAAAGGCAUUGCCUUGAGAAUCAAACUUUGGAGAGGUGAAUCCUCUCCAUCUGAAUGAGCUGGGAAGCUGAAAAUUAGCCUACCUUGUUGGUCUGUGUUAUCCUCUAUGAUGUGCCUGUGAAUCCAGUAGGUUGUAGCUUGCAUUUACUUGGGCCAUGGCUGGACCACUGUGUCUUACUUUCAAGACUAUUGUAUGUUUGAAAUAUUUCACAUGUAUGCGUAGCCUUUCUCCAUUCACGGUGGUCAUAGUGGUAUGUCUACACUAUUUCAACAUAUCGCCUUCUUAUGAAUUGCAUCCAAUUCUUAAUAUGUUAUCGAAGUGCUAAGGGUCUAAAAGUGCUUCAGUGAUCGGGGCUCAGGAAUUUUCUGAUUUAUAUUAUUUAUUCUGUUUUGGCUGAUCAUAUCCACAAAUGUGUUUUCCUGUUGAAUGAAGUUGUUAGUGAGCUAUAAGAACCUUUCCUUGUUUCAAACUUUUCCUUGUUUCAAACUUCUAUCAUCAAUAUUGACCUUGGUGGAGUUUCUUCAGAUUCACUGAAUACUUUUUGCCAUUUAGGUCUAGUUAAACCCAUAUUUCAUUCUUCUAGUACAAAAGAACUAAUCCCCAUUGCUUGGGGAUCUUCUCAAUUACCCAAAGAGAUGUGUUUUAUGCUCUUUAACUUUUCAUUGCAUAUAGGAUUAAGCUUCAGGUCCAUGUCCUGAGAGUUUUCUUUUCUUCAGUACCAGUCGUUUCACUGAUUGAUUAAGAAAAUGUGUUUCUGUUUCAUUUGCGGCAGAUGUGCAGACGACAAGCCUUAUGAACCAGCCUAUAUGGUGUCCCAGGAGAAAACUAAAAGUUUGGGCAUUGACUUCACUCCUCUGGAGGUGAGCCUGAAGGACACUGUGGAAAGCUUGAGGGAGAAGAACUUUGUCAGUUUCUGACACGUGGUAUAGCCAUGCAAAUGAAUCAUAAACAAAAAAUGGUGUCUUCUUGGUAACUUCAUUGUCAAGUGUGUUGGAGUCAUAUAUCUUCUAACAUGUUCAUGGUAAGCAAUCCCCAAGACAUGCUACAAGUUCUCCAAAAGAAAACCAACAGCAUAUAAAAAGCGGCAACUUCUAUUUCCGCUUCUGCUCAACAACAAAAGCUAUCAACUAUCCUAAAUAGGCACCAAGGAGAUUCGUAGACCUUAGGCCCCUGCCAAACUAGAUUUUUUGUUUGGGAAGUAACUGAGGAAGAUUUUCACUUGUCAUUAACUUAUGCAGAGGUUGGUAGCUAACAAACUAUGUAAGGGCAAUGUUCUUGAUUAUACCAUAUGAAAGGACACAGUGAGCUCUGCCUUUGGAAAUGUAGGCAGUGAGGUGGCAUGGUCCAUUAACUUCAUUCUGUGAUUGGCUGCUCAACCAUUCCAAAGCAAGGGAAAAUUAAGCUUACUGAAGUUUUACUAUCUCUGCUCAUUUUGUUUCUUAAUAGUACUGAAAUGAUUGGAGACAAUAAGAUUGAAACCCCAAAUUUUUGUUAAUUACUGUUGAAUAUAAAUAUGUUUUAUAAAAAAUAAUUCUCACUAAUAAACCCCAUUAUUCCACUGGACAUGUUGCCACAGAAGUGGGUAUAAGGAAGCAUAUUCCGAUCAUCCAAGGACACUGGGUGUGACUUCACCAACAAAGCUUACAGCUGAUACAAGCAAACUACCUCUCAUAAAGAAAACUAGGACUGUUUCACAAAAUCGAAGGAAUAUCUUUGUGGGAAGAGAACAAAGAGGAUGCACAUAUUCAAAAUUUGUGGCUGAGCUAUUUAAACCUUUCAUUGAUACUGGUUGAGCUUCUCUCUGUAUUCGUAGGGUGCACCCCUCCUCUUUUGGCACUUUCUAAUGUAUGUUCUUGUUGUCUAUAAAAAAAAAAGAAAAAAAAAAUACUGGUUGAGCUUCUUAAGAUUGACACAACAGUUUUUCUCCAUUCUUAAUUUAUAAUCAAAAGACUGGCUGAGCUAUUUCUUUGUUCUUAUUGAGUUUUGAGAUGAACCCACAUGUGUUUGUCACUCAUGGCAGGUGUGCAGAUGACAAACCUUAUGUGCCAGCCUUCCAGGUGUCCCAGGAGAAAUCCAAAAAGCUUGGGUAUUCACUUCACCCCGCUGGAGGUGCCUAAAGUAUACUGUAGAAAGCUUGAAGGAGAACCAGCUCAUCUGCUUAUGAGUCAAUUAUUUGGCUGUCAUUGAAACAAAUCACUAAUUAUUAGUGUACCCAAAUACUGUCAUUGUUAUGAAAUAAAUUUGUGGCUAGGAUAGGGCUGAUAGGUGCUAGAAGGAGACUGCUUGGGAAGAAUACCAAUCAGCAUUAUAGUAAGGCAUCUAUUGGAAAAAGACAUGACUUCAAACUCUUUUUUGAAUAAUUUCCAAUAAACAAAGAUGAGUUUUAUGUUUGUAGAAAUAUUCAAACCUCCAAGCUUGUGAUAUAAAAUCCAACACAAAUUCAAAAACUAAUUUGCAUGGGAAUUCAAGUAAUUAGAACAGAGCACCAGCACCAGUUUGACAACAAUUUUGUAUAGACAGUUUUUAAAAAUAGUGGUUAGGUUUUGUUAGGUAACUAUUUUCAAAGACAGUUUUGAAAAACAGUUUUUAAAAAUAUUUUUCAAUAUUUUGAAAAAUAAAAGUCUGUUUGAAAAUUUAAAAUAUUUUUAACAUGUUUUUAAUAUUUUUAAAUAUGUUUAAAAAACAAUUUAUGUAUCUAAUAUUUUAUUUUUAAUCAUUAUAUAUGUUUGUAUAAUUAUUUUUUUUAAAUUCUUAAAAAAUAAUUAAAAGAUAUUUUAUGAAAAUAUCAUAUUUUUUAUUUUUAAGAGUAGAAAAUAAAAAUAAUUUUUUUUAUUGAAACGUGUUUAUUCUAAAGAAUAGAAAAUUGUUAUAGAAAACAAUAGUCAAACAAACCUUUAUAUUUUACUUUUAUAUUUUUGGCACAAAUAUAUAUAUAUAUAUAUAUAUAUAUAUAUAUAUAUAUAAAAUAAAAAUAAAAAUAUUAGGUGAUAUAUAUUUUUUUUUCCAAGGAAGGGAGGCAUUUUUCUUGGCAGCAUAUCCUAAUUCACAAAGUAUAAACCCUUGCAAAUUGAAAGAAAGACAAUUUACAUAUCAUUAAAGGGUGAUCUGUAAGCACUCUUAUAGGCCUACAUCUUCCUCAUGUGGAUUUGGAAUUUAACCUCUGAUAAGCAUUUACUUGUUUUUAAUCUGUUUUUUAGGAAGCCAGUUAAUGAGAUUUUGCCAACCAAAAACAAAGGUUUGUUAGCCCUCCUACCCUCAGGUUGGUUCUCUUGCAUAUGCUUGAAGAUAUUGGAAACCAAUUAAUUAGUCAUUGCAGUUUCAUAGUCUUACAAGAAAUCUUGUUAUGGUGGCAGGAGAACAGACUGCAACAUAGUCUCAUUCCCCUUCAUGAUUUAGACAUUGUAAAGAUCAAAAACCUAUUCCUGGAAAUAUAAGAAGAAGAGCGGCCAAAGGACAGGAACAAAAUGUAUGGGAACCUUAUGGACUUGAAUAGUUGGUAUUCAGGUGGCAAAAAUACACAAAAAUGCACUUAACAAACUACUAAUCAGCAGGCCAAGAUUCUACUUCCAAGAGACAGAUUUUUCAUCCAUGUCAAGAAGGCUCGCACUUCAUUUUUGUGGGACUUUGAUAUCAACAAAUUUAUGGAAUUCUUUCAGAUUUCUAAAUGGAAUGGUUCAAGUCAUCAACACAUUCCCAGAAUUCUUUCCUAAAUGUCAUCAUCCUGGCUAGCUUUCUUCAGUGUUGAAAGAGGGGGUGAUACCAUGUUGCUAAAAAUUGCAGUCUAUAUGUACUAGAUGGACAAGAACUACAACACUUGUAUUAGAAACAUCUCUGUUGCCUGGAUUGGUAUUACUUGCCAUAAUUAAGCACCUUUUUACUAUUGUAGCAGAGUGUUUCAAAGUCACCCAUACUUAAUCCAUCUUCAUGUCUCUCAAACAACUAGGUCCAUUAGUAGCAAAAGAAGAGCAAUUUGAAUAGCUGGUCAUUUCCUUUUAUAAUUUAGGGAUAGAGGUCAAAAACUACAACACUUGAAUAGCUGGUAUUAAGAUGGACAAGAACUACAACACUUCUCUCAUAAACAUGUAUGUUCUUUCUUCAACUCUUACUCUAUUGCCUGGAGUUGCAUUACCUGCCAUGAUUAAUCGCCUCCUAUUUAUUCUUGUGGAGAAACAGGUUUUGGAGUAUGUAGAGACUACAGUUGCUGCACCUCUUGAUUUUCAAGACCACCCAGUCUCUCCUCAAGCAUCUGGAAUUGUCAAGCUGAUUUAUGGCUAACCUUCCAAGGACCUUAGGGGUUUCAUACAGGGUAGAUCUAGUGCAAGAGAUUCAGAAUUAUCUCUACAUAAUCCACCUCCAUUUCUUUAGAACAACUAAAUGCUAUGGCCAAAAUCUCACUUAAGGCGUCAGGUUCAUGUUGGGGCUCAUUCACAAGAUUAAGAUGAAUAUAGUAGGGGAUGUUCCUGAUCUACCACCAGCCAUGUUGUCCAGUUGUUCAAUGCCCCUGUGUUGACUAUGGUCACAGUCACAGUUGUGUGUCCUUUCCCAAAAGAAAUGUCAUUUUGAAAUUUUUAAUGUCAACAACAGAACUUUCAUGUUUCUACAUUCAGGUACCCACAAAAAAUUGAGUCCAUGUUAGCAUCCAAUGAUGGAAAGUAAUAAUCUAAACAAGGGAACAAGUGCUCUCCUUGCUCUUUUUUAGUAGAACACUAGUUUAUUUCCAAUCAAUUGAGGAGGAAACUAAUUCUAAACACGGAAGCCAGGUACUUGAUUUCUGUUUGAUUGGUGGAACAACUGAAACGUAUUUACAGAUUUAACAUUAGAUAAGUUUAACAAAAUCACUAAUUAACUCCCAAACCUCUCCCCCCACCCACCACAACGGAAAGAAAAAACGUUUUGGGAUCCUAGUAGCUUUAUGUUACAAGAUUCUGAUCAACAUAUGGUGCAGAGUAUUAUGUUGGUCCAGUUCCUCUACUCUGCAUUGCAACAAAGUAUAAGUGGGUUUUCUCUUUUCUUCAUCUUCAAAUGAAACAACCCUUCUCAAUAAAGAAUACAAGAAAUUGAAAGCUAAGACCGUUUCCUUUCAUUGUACUUUGUUUCCUUUGCUCCUUCCUCUCUUGGUCAAGCCAAACAGUCCGUGGUUUGUCCAUUUCUUCUUCAUCCCACAUCAAAAAGCAGUGUGUUGGGUUAUCCCAUCUCUUUAUCCCCUUGUCAAGACACAGAAUUUAAUGCAUUGCUGUCUUUGAUUCCUCCUAGUUAAAAGGAAGCUUGAAAUAUCUCCAUUGCUUCUCUGUUUCUUUGAGCCAAAGGAUAGAAUACUGCUUUUCUCUGUUUCUUUGAGAUGCAAGAGGUUUGUAUAGAACUUAGGUGAGGUAACUAUUGGUCAGGGAGGUAGGCAGAUCUGAAACAUUUUCUUGACUUCCAACGGAAUAUCCUUGCACAUAUGUUACCAUUUUCUUUUCUUCAACUCUGUUUUCUUUGUUUCUUCCUUUCUUGGUCAAGCUAAACAAUCUGGUGAUUCUUCUUUUGUUAUUCAUCCCAUCAGGAGGCAGCAUCUCAUGCAUCUUUGCCUUGGGUUCCUCCCUCUCCUUCCAGCCUACGAAAAAAUAAUACCAUUGCUUAGUUUGGACUUCUCUGUUUUUUUUUAUCAUUUUGAAAAGCAUCAUGGGAAGAUGUACAAAAAAUGUGUUGUGCUGAAUUAUCCCCUUCUCUACUAACCAAAACAUGUUCUUUGACAAUCAAAUAUCAACGUGUUUAAGCAGUCGGUGAGGCAUAUCUUGACAAUGAGAUGAGAGGUAGAAACAAGAAACAUACUCGUAUUCAAGAGAAGCGUUGUUUCUUCAUUUGCAUUAGACAACAUUCAUUUAGUCUCAACUUGAAAGUGGAUUGCUAGAAUCUGAGCUCUUGCAAAGACACAAAAGUACAUUUAGAAAUCUAAAAGAAACCCAGAGACCAGUUGCUACUUGUGAAUCACUGUAAUCAGAAACAAUUCCAGAUAAUCCUGCAAAUCUAAACCUUUGAUUUGCUCCGUUCCCUUUUGCCAAGAAUAGUUCUAAAACGUUUUUCUUUAUUGAGUUGUAAUGAUUUUAUUAUUUGGAUUUAAUUGUAUUCAUUAGGUUUGCAAAUCACAAAAACGGUGUCGUGCUUAUGAAUAUCUUCCUCUUUGAUCAUGUAAAAUUGGGAAGCAAUUAUGGAUUACUAUUAUGAUAGCAUAGUGUAUUGAUCCACACAGUUUGUGGCAUGACAGUUUAAGGAAAUUGCAGAAGUGUAGCACUGAUGGGUAUGUCAUGUGAACAUUUUUCAAUAGAGCUACUUGUCCAAAUUUACAUGGGUGAAUUGUCACACCAAUGUCCUCUGAUGAACCUUGGGUUCUUUUUUCUAUUUCUUCCUCUCUUGGUCAAGCCAAACAAUUUGUCUUCAUGAGGACUUCAUGUUACCAAUAAGCAGCAUCUUGUGUUCUCCUUCUCUUCAUCCCCUUGUCAAGACAACAAUUUGAUGCAUCUUUCCAUUGGAUUGCUUCCUCUCUGCUCCCUCUCCUUCCUCCUUGAGGCAAAACCAUAUCAUUGCUUAGUUUUGACUAUGUUCUUUUGAUCAUUGUGAGAGAGCAUCAUUGUAAGAUGUACAAGAAAUGUGUUGUGGUGCAUUAUCCCCUUCUCCACCACCUAAAAUAUGUUUUACAUGAUCAUAAGGACCAAGGUGUUUUAAGCAUCAGGUAAGGAAUUUGUUGACAAUGAUGUGAGAGAUAGAAACAAGCAACAUACCGAUAUUCAAAAGACGUGAUGUUCUUCUUUUGCAUUUGACAACAUUCAUUUAGUCUGAACUCCACAUUUGAGCAACUCAAAAUCUCCACCUUCAUUAGGAUUGCAGGAAGUUGGCUUCUUGGAAAGACAUGGAAAGGGAGCAUCUAGAAAUCUGAAAGAAUUCCAGAGGCUUGUUGCUACUUUUGAAUCAUUCCAAUCAAUAGCAACUCCAAAAGAUGUAUACAAAUCUAUCCCUGGAAAACAGAUGUGUCUUGUGCAUAUGCAACCAUCUCUCUAAUAGACUCGAGAUUGUGCACCCUCAUGGUAGUUUCGUAUAGAUUGCACCAUAUGAAUUGUAGAUAUCCAACUACCAAUAUCACUACACCUGAAUGAACUAGGAGUUAUGCUGAAAGUGAAUUUGGACAACCCAUCAUCGAAAGAAUCCUGUUGGAAUACACCAAAAAGAAAAUCUUAUUAACAUAAAUGAAUUCAUCCCGUUAAAGGAUAAAGGUGCCGAAAAAAUUGAAUUGGGAGAGAUAGAAAUAUUGAUGCUUGCAUGGGACUGUGAGAGGGACCAACAAGUGGAACAAACAUUGAAUAGUAAAUGUAAAACCAUAAAGCUUGUAACUGUUGUCAAAAGUUGCUCUCUACUGAAGUUUUUUAACAAUAAAGGUAAGUGCAAAAUUCACCUAAUAGCUCCACUUGUAGAAAAUUUCAAUGGUGUGAAACUAGGAUAUGGUGAACUCACUUCCGCUAUUGCAGUGAACCAUUAUGGAUCAAAAAUGAAUCUCACCAUUGAUUUUCACAUAGGUGGGCUAUCUUUGGCCCAUAUCUCAAUAUUGAAUUUAGGAGUUCUGUCUCUCAUAUAUGGUUCCACUUGCAAAAUACAAAUGGAGCUUAGCUGAUGACAACACAUUUAGAAAAAUGCAAGAAUUCCAAAGACAUGUUUUGUGCUAUCAUGAAUCAUUCCAAUCAAUAAGGAAUCAAAGUGCUAUAAUUUUGAAUUGUCUUAGGGAACAUACCCCAAUUCAAUCUUGCGGAAGUAAACUGUCUUGAGCACCAACUCAAUUCUGAGUUCUUUGGAAGACUUGAGACACCAAUUCAAUCAAAACUGCUAGUUGUUUUUGUGGUAGAUUGUCUUCCUCCACUGAUAUUGGGGAACCCCAAAGCCCUAUAUACAAUUUUGAACUGUCAGCCUUCUUACCUUGAAUGAGAAACCUAUCCAUAGGAAAGAGGUGUCUUGGGCAUGCAACCAUCAAUUAUUAGCUAUCGAAAAGGCUUGAAGUUGUGCACCCACUUGGUAGCUUCUAAUUCAUUAAACCAUAUAACUUCUAGAUAUCCAAUUGGCACAUUACUAUACCUGAAUGAAAGUGAAUAGGAAGUUAGACAACCUUUCACAAAAAGAAUCCUGUAAGAAUACACCAAACAGAACUUCUUGUUAACAUAAAUGAAUUCACUCAGUUAAAUUAUUGUGUGAAAAUUUAAAUUGGGAUAAAUAAAAAUAUCGAUGCUUACAUGGGACUGUGGGAGGACCAACAAGAGGAACAAACUUUGAAUAGCAAAUGUGAAACCAUAAAGCUUGUAACUGCUGUCAAGACGUUGCUCCCUAGUCAAGUUUUCAACAAAAAGGUUCAAUGUAGGGAUUCUCUAGUAGUUGAACUUGUAGAAAAUUUCAACAGUAUGACUUUAUACUUGUAAUAAGAAGAUAAAAUGUAAGAAUUAUGUGUUGGGAAUAAAUGAAACUUACUAAAUAUAUGGAUAGGAUAGGGUGAACUCUCUGUGCUUCCAUUUUUGGAAUCUAAUGGAUCAAAGAUGGAUCUCUCCAUCUAUUUCCAAAUAGGAGAUGUGGGCAAUCUUGAAUUGAUGUCUCAUCAUUGGAUUUGGAACUGAUGUAUAGCUCUGAAACCAUGACAAGGUUCUCCUUCAGUUGACAAAUACAACUAGAGCUUAGGUGAGGUCUUGGUGAUAUAGAAAAGUCAGGGAUUCUGGAAUCUUUACAUGAAAAUAUACAUGAGAUACAUUGGAAGAAAGGGCAGGCCUUGGUCAUUUGAGAAGAAACACAUCUUAAAUAUAUUAUCAAUCAUGAUGAGUUGUUUGAGAAUCAUGAGUCUAUGAAGGCCUCACUCAUAUAAGGGAUGUCUUUGACAUUUCUCACUCUUCAAUCUUAGGAAGGUACAUCAUCAACUAGAACAUUAUGAAUAUGAGUCAUCAUGAGGCAACUUGUUUAUGUUUUUUAUUCUUUUCUCACCAGAGGGGAUUAAAAGAUAUGUAGUUGCAAGGACAAGAGAUGUAGCUAGUACUGAAAGCAUCAAACAAUCCUUCUCUAAUCCAGACCACAAAUUUUAGCAACUCGUGAUCUCCACAAUUUAGAGCACUGAAGGAAGUUAGCCUGUUGGAAAGAUGUUCCAUGACAUUUAGAAAUAUGCAAGAAUUCCAGAGAUCAUUCCAAUCAUUAAGGAAUCCAAAGCCCUAUAAUUUGAAUAGGGCAUCCACUUGGCAAGGAUAACGCACCUAUCUUGGGAAAAAGAUUGGGCACCAAUUCAAUUAUCAACUCUCUAUGAAACUUGAGAUACAAGGUACCAAUGUUAGUUGCUUCCGUGGCAGUUCUUCUUUUACUGGUAUUGGGGCAAAGCCUUUUGAAAACCCUCAAUCUACAAAUUGCCAAGGACAUGAGAUCAUGUUGUAAUCUCAUCUCCAAUCUCCAACUGCAAACAAAUUAUUUCUUUCAAUUAACAAUCUUUAAUGCGUGCACUUCUAUCAUAUGAUAAGAAAUUUAGGAAAACAAGUAAGCUUUAUAAUAUUAGGAAUAUGCAAGGAAUUGAUAAAGGCUAUGAAUCUACUUUCAAAAAAUAAAAUAUAAAAACAAAUAUUUUUUUCACCCAUGAAUAUUGUAACCAGCUUCUAAAAAACAUUAGGUAUUGAAAUAACCCAAUGUUCCUUAGGUAUUAAAGUUGAAGUUCAAAGUUACCAAGAGUGCUUUUUUGACCCAUGCAUAAAAUAAAAAGAAAAUAAGAAAGCAUAACAUAUAACUCAUAAUUGUGUCAAGUAUGAGUUCAAUUCAUGGUCAUGCACAAUUGCAUUAAGUAUUUAAAAGCUAAAUAAGGCUAUGUGCAAUUCAAAGAAUACCAUACAACUCAUAAUAGAAUCCUCACAGCUCACCAUAGAAUGAGAACUCAAACGUCUUUCUUCCGGUCAUAAGAGUUUGUGCUCUUCGAGCCUCUGACUUGCACAACUCAAGACAGCAGGACAUGCCAAAAAGUUUCUUUCACCUCAAACAUUAUUCAAAUCUGCAGUCUAAAUCUAGAUAAGAUAAUUUUCUACAAAUAUAACAUGUUGCAAACAAAUAACAGUAUGUUGGUUUAAAAUUGAAGAGCAUUUCAAACCAAACAAAAUAGAAAAAUUUUCAGUGUACAUCACUCACCUAAAAGCUUGUAUGUUGGAUGAAAUUCUUGCUAAUGAAUCCUGACAAUUAUUUGCAAUCAAAAUUUAGUAAUGGUUUAUAACCAAAAAAAAAAAUAUUACAAAUUUUUUUAGCAAUGUUCCAUGAAAAGCACAUUGCAUAUUGAUUGAGAAAUUAAUAUGAAAUCCACUAAUUUGAAAGGCACUAAAUACCAUAUGUUCUCUUGAGUUCUCCAUGUAUCAAAACAGAUGCAAGUUGCUAUUCGAGCCACCACAAUCACGGAGCAAAAGACUUCUUAGCAUGGAAGGCAUACCAUAUUUUAAACAAGGUUCUUAACUUUCCAAGAGACAUAAGAACGUGGUGUGUUGUAGAAACUGUAGAAUAAAUAAAUGGAAGUUAGACAUAUGCACUUGCUACUUAGUUUUUUAAUCAUGUGUGAAAUAAAUAAAGAGGUGUUACUUGCAUUUAGGCCAAACUUGUAGUCUCCAAUGUGAAAUCCAAAUCUCAUUUUGUCAACAGAAUAAGAGUAUUAAACAUAUAGAAAAUUGAAUCCUUCCUUUUGACAAUUUGAAAACCUUAAAGGAAUGACUUGAGAUCAUAAAUAACUAUACAGUAAAGAAAAUUUUCAUCAUUCUUUCUAAAAGGAAAAUUUGUCAUUUCCUUGAUUACGAAAGAUUGAUAUUUUAACAUAAAGUGCACUUAUUAAGGUAAACUUUGUGCAUUAUAUAUUGAUUUAGAAAAUUGUAUUUAAACCCGGUUAGAAGGGUAUCACAAAAGAUGCUUAAUUGAAAUGAAGGCAUCCAUGCCAAUUUGUAAAUGUUGUCAAAUAACACCCUCCCUUAUCAUUUUACAUCCCAUGCUUGCAUGUCAAAUCUUUAACUAAGACUGCUCAAAGAGCACCUAAAAGAAAAUUACGAAGAUUUCAUUACAGGUAGAACUUAAGAUGCUUACAUUGACCAUGAGAGAGAUCGAUAAGAAACAAAAUACUCCCCCAUAAGUUUGUAACUAUUGUACUGAUAACUUACUUCCUAGUCAAACUAUCAACAUAACUCCAUGGAGACUUCCACAAAUUGUUGAGCCACUGGUAAAACACAACAUCAAUAUGAGAAAUUUACAAGGUACUAUGCAGAUAAAAGAGUAAGAAAUGUGUAUUGAGAAUAAGAGUUACCUUAAUGAAUGUAAGGCUAGGAUAGGGUUGAAUUGGCUCUGCAUCCAUUUUUGCAAUUUGAAUUUAUUAUGGUUCAAAAAUGAGUUUAUGAUGUAUCCUCAUUUUAGGGGAAGCGGGAAAUCUGGGGCCAAUCUCUAUCAUUCUCCUUGAAACAUCUUUGAUUUCGAAGUUUGAUAAAACUUAGAAGACAACCUUUCACUUGGCAAGAAGGACUAGAACAAGGCAUCCCUCAAUCUCUACAAGUUAAAGAAAUGAAGUUUUGAAGACCAAGGGAGGGGGCUAGGAUUCUAGAUUUGACAAUAUUUUCAUUGAAAAAUCAAUGAGAGUUGUAGCAAGAAAUCCUGUAAAAAGGAAAUUGCAUUUAACAAUGUACAAUAUAAAAUGAAUGAACUGAGUUUUUAGAAAGGUGAAUCUUUGGAGGCUCCACAAAGAUAAGGGGUUUUAAUACCCUUGCAAGUGUAUUCGUGAAAUUGUUUCCUCAACGGAAACCUGAACCUAGACAUUGUGCAACACAAAGCUGUUAAAGAGAUGUGAGACUCUAAAUCUGAUGAGGUAGGACUUGAGAUCCACAUUUUCUUAAGUGAGGAAUUCUGAGGUUGUAGACACACUAGUAGUUUCCAGAUUUAGAUACUUCUCUUCAAAUAUUUGUAUAAUGUACAUCUUCUUUGACAUUGCUGCUCCAACAAGAUGUCAAAUAGGAGGUGCAACCUAUUUGGGCAUACUACACGUACAACAAAAAAUUUCAUUAAAACAAAAACUUUUACUAAAACAAAAAUAUGAAGUUAAUGUCUAAGAAGAUGAGAUUUAUAUAUAGUGAAUGAGCAUGAUUGAUUUUAGCACAAAGGGAAUGAUGCCAAAAUUUUUAAGAAUAUCAUCACCACAAGUACUUGCAUCAUUAAAAAUUCCACAAGGAUUUGAUGGUUAGGCAAUAAAAUAAUUCUAGUAAAUGAGUUAAAAGCAGCUGAGCUAAGAAAGAUUAAAUCCAAAUAAGCAUCAAUCAUUAAAGAAUUAACCAACUACGAAAGACUUCAAAUGACGUUUUCUCUGUAAUUUCUGUUCCUAAUUGGUCCCAUUUGCUUAAACCAAAAUAUUAUUAAUUUGCUUUAAAGGAAGUGGGUGACUCAUAUCUCUGAAAGGAUGUGAGAGGUGGAAAUCCCUCGAUCUCUAGUGAUUCAAGAGGAUAAUUCCUAUGGCUAUUGUUGUCAUCAUACAUCAUUCAGCUAGCUAUAGACCACAAAAUUGAACAAUCAUGAAUACGUAGAUGCUUAAAUAUGGUGUGUACUUUAUCUAGUGGAAAAGCUUAUGAGACUUGGUCAUCUCGAGAUUUCUAGGAAUUAAGAUAGAUACAAGUUGUUGCUUCCUGUUAUAAUUUAUCUGGAUCGCAAUCAUCAAGCACUAACUCCAUUCACUGCAUGUUUUGAGCCUUCAGCAUAAAACCAAAAUUCCUUUCUAUCGGACAAAAAAUAAAAUAUAAAAAAAUCACUAAUAACUCAACCAUUUUAUGUUGCUCAUAUUAUAAAAUGUAGGAUUUAACUGACUUCCAUCAUUGAAAAUGAAUUAAUAUAACUUUACAAUACUAGUAUAUUCAGCUUUUGACAUGGCUGAAACUGAUCUUGGAAUCAAAAAUCACAUACACAAGUAGAUAUUUAAUAGAAGAGGAUCCAAAAUCUCUUCCAUUGAUUAAUGUAUAAAUGAAUUAAUCAAAAAAAUUUGAGAUAAUUAUGGGGAGAUGAACCUUGUACCUCUGAGUUUCUUAUUCUUCUUGAACAGAGCAAUGAGCAUAAAGUGUUGAGCACCCAGGAAUCUCCCUUCCUCCACAGGCAAAGUCUAAACAAUCUAUCCUUUCUUCAUAGUCCACUUCCUUGCAAAAGUCAAAACAUGAAGAAAAUAUCAUCAAAAUUGAGACAGAAAUAAGUGCAUCAACUAUCUCAAGAAGAGAUUUAUGCCUACUGCUUACCUUUUGAAGAAGUUCACUUGGUUAGAGCACAUUUUACAUGGACGCCCAAUCACUGCAAGCUGCUGAACCAAAGGAGAGUUCAAACAUCUAAAAAAUUUGACAAACUCAAGUAUCAUAAAAUACUUCAUAUGAAUUCUAAAUGAUCUCAUAUCUAAAAAACAUUGGCAUAAAAUUAUUGUUGUUUACCUUACAUGUUUCUUCCAUGGUCAUAAUCGAAACUUUGUUUGUCAUAAGAAAUCUUCUAUAUAUAUAUAUAUAUAUAUAUAUAUAUAUAUCAAUUUAAUAAUUUUUAAAAAUUAGCAAUUAUAAAACUAUUUUGGUUCUCCAAAAAUUUAUGGGAAAGUAGGGAAAAAAACUAUAAACUUUUUCUCUUGUUUGAUUAUUUAUCAGAAAAUUGAGGGAAAAACAAAAAUCUAUGAGAAAUUUAUUUAACACUUUUGAGGAACCAAAAAUGUUUUAGAUGUUGUCAAAUCAAUAAUUUAAACGUGUUUAAUUCCAAUUAAAUGAGUUUAAUCAAACACAUGAAAUUGUGAAUAAAAUUAUUUAAAAGCAUUGAAAUUCAAGUCAUUAAAGUUGUCCAUAAAAUGUCGUAUAUUGAAGCAAGAAAAAAACAAAGCAAUUUGAAUGACUUGCUAAUAAAGCAGCUAACUAGAAUAUGCCCUAGAGUUGUUCAGUGCCCUCUAUAUAAGAAAUAAACAGAGAACACAAAAAAAAAAAAAAAAAAAAACCUAGAAACUACAAUAAGUGAAGUGAUAAUGUCAUCUAAUUAGUAAACCAAACCAAGUCAAUAAACUACAACUUCCUCUAGUAUAAAGGUCUUGAUACAUUAGAUAUUGAAUUUGUUGGAUUAAAAUCUCAUUUAUUGCACCUGGCAAGGUAGAAGUAGUAAUGCUCAUUUUUUAUUGUGACAGAUUAUAGAGAAAAUUAGACACUGGGAAAAUACCAAGCCAGGAGCCAUGUCAAGAGCUGCUUUCUUGUUAAAAAUUAAGUCCAAUUAGAAAAUUGCAGUAGCACGUAAGAGAAAUUGAAAGUGGUGUUGAGAAGAGAAAGAGGAAGAAUGAUGUGUUGGGAAUGAGAUGUAAUACCUUGUUUAUUACUCAGAUGGAUUGGUCAUCUAUAUCCACAUAGGGAAUGUGGGCAAUCUUGGGCCAAUCAUCUCCUUCCUCCUUCGAGUACCUUUGUGUUAGAUGUGGGCAAUCCCGCACAUACAGUCGUGAAAGGGUGUCAGGCAAUAGUCCUUCCGUUGGCAAAAUCGAUCGGAGCUUAGGGCAACUGUAGAUUUCUAGCUUUUCAAGAGAGGUGAGGGUUUGGAGAGACAGGGAGGCUAGGGAUUCCAGAUUCUGGAAUUCUAAAAGGGUAAGGGAGGAGAGAGUUGUAGGAAAAAUAAUCGAGUGGGGGUCAUCCGAAAAGGAAGUUGCAUCUGGAAACAUGCCACUAAUCAAGAGGUCUUUAAGAGAGGUGAGUCUGGAAAGGCCCCAUUGGGAUAGGGGGGUCUUGAUAUUCUCAGAGUGAGAGAUCUCGAGUGAUGUAAGACGAGUGAGCUUUUUUAUCUGAGGAAGCAACAAUUCCAGAUUUUCAAAAUCUUCAAUACGUAGAUCUGUGAGGGUGUUGAGGCAAUCUGGUAGGGUUUUGAGAUUAGGAUACCUCCUGAGGGUUAACGAUUGAAGUGAAUUAUUAGUAGAGUGAAACAUCUCCUCUGAAAUUGACUCGAGGCGUUCACAAUCCCCAAUGUGAAGUCGCUCAAGGGUGGAUUGAAACUUGCCUCUUGGGAAGGAUGUGAGAAAUGGACAUUCACCGAUUUCCAAGACUUGGAGAGCAGCUGCAUUGGUGGAAUGUUGGUGCAUUAUUCCCUCAGGUAGAGACUCUAGCCUUCCACAACUCCAUAUUCUGAGUUUCUUGAGAGUGGCGGGUAACCCACCUUUCGGUAAUCCAAUAAGAGACGGACACCCCUCUAUAGAAAAGUCUUCAAGGGCACACGUGCCCAUCAUUUCUUCUGGAAGAGACUUGAGAUUUUCACAAUGCAAUAUGUGUAGACUCUUAAGGGUGGUGGGUAAUUGCCCUUUUGGAAAGCAAAUGAGAGAUGGACAGUUCCAUAUACUUAAGCAUUCAAGGAGACACAAGUUGUUGCUGUCAGUACUGUCGUUCCUCAUCUUCAACAUCAUGCCAUCAGGUAGACUCUUUAGACCUUCACAAUUCUCAAGAAUAAGAUUUCUCAGCAUUGGUGGGAAACCUACAUCUGGAAAUGACGCUAGCUUUGGACAAUCCCUGAUUGUCAAUUCUUCAAGGCAUGUUAGACUCUGCCAUCCAUUUGGAAGCCUCUCUAGUUUAUCACAUCCACUUAUUUCCAAAGACUGAAGAUUGCAUCCCAAGGAUACAAGUUGGUCACAAUCUCUAAUCUCAAGAGAAUGAGAGUUUUCCGAUCCAAAACCAUCCUCCCACAAAUAUACGAGUUCUUCACAUUCCGAUACUUUCAAAACCCGAAGCCCUUGCAAAAAUUGCACAAAUCCUUCAUGCAAUUUGAUAAGCCCUGAAAUCCCAGAAAUUGUUAACUUGGUGAGUGAGGUGAGGUCAUUUCCACUGCUCAAGACCGCCUCAUUACAUUCUUUUACUUGUAAUCCCUUCAGCAGUGGAAGUCUUGAAAGUGGAGACUCCAAUUUUGGACAAAAGUGAACAGAGAGCUUUGUAAGAGAAGGUAAGUAAGUGGGCAGUUUCAUAAUCAAUUUGGGGCAAUCCUCAAUUGUAAGCUCAUGGAGACAAGGGAAUAAUGACUCUGUUGAGGAAGACCAGUCCUCCCAUUGCUCCCAUUCUGACAUGCGAUUAAAAUGUAGAGACUCUAGUGAUGGGAAAAACUUACCUGCAGAAACACGAGUCUCUCCAUAAAACUCUGCACCCACUUUUUUUACUCCAUCCAUUCCUUGGAUCCUCAACUGUUUGAGCGAUGGCAACUGCCCCAAGCAUGGUAAAGACGUGCACUCUCUGCAAUCUAUGAGACUGAGAUCCACCAUCUUAGAGAACAAGGCAUCCCCUAUCCAACGUGGGAAUUCUGGACCACCAUACCACUUAAUGCAGAGUUUGUUCAGAUUCAAACAAGGUUGUAGAGAGUCAAGGACAUCCAUUUGAUUCCUUUCAUUCCCUGAACCAUCCAGCUCAGAACUCCACUGCAUUAUCAAGCUUUCAAGGUUACGCUUCAAUUUUAAAUCGGCAUCCCUUGCAUCUUGAAUAUUCACCACAUUUUCCAAUUUCGAAAUGCAAAGUUCUCGCAGAUGUGACAUGUCUUUCAACCCUUUGAUUGUCAAACCGUUGUUUUUGUCCACAAUGAAAUUAGACAAUAUCCGCAAAUCUUUUAGUUUGCCAAUUUGUACAGGCAUUUCUUGUAAUUGUUUUGCACCAGCAACAUCAAGAUGUCGAAGAUUGAUUAGGUUACCGAUGCUAAUAGGCAACCUGAUAAGCUUUUCACAGCAUGAUAAUUUCAAUGUUUGAAGAUAAAAAAGAUUACCAAUUGAAUCGGGUAACCAUUUUAUAUUGGUGUAGGACAAAUUAAGGUAUCUCAAAUGUUUCAACUCACCAAAUGAAUCCGGUAUCUCACUUAUCAUGUAACGAGCCAAUGAGAGCACCCUUAAGUGCCCUAACCUUGGUAUCAAUUCUUCAAGCACCUUAUUACUUAUGAAGGAAUGACGUCUACUAGUUGAUUCAUCAAUCGGCAAAGCUAUGAAUGUGCGCAAGUGCUCUUUCUUAUGAAACCUUUCAAAUUUUUUAAAGAUAUCACAAAAAUGACGGGUGAAUGAUGAAUGACGAGUAUUUUCAGAAAUGGAGCAUUGCAAAUCAUUCCACAACUCAUCAUCCAAAUGCAAGCAUGUGUCUCCAGCAAUAGAUUUAGCUAGAGCAUGGACAAGGUCAUGCAUCACGAAUCGUGAUCUAUUGCUGCUUGACGAUUGAAAAAAUGACCUUGACAAUAGCUCAUCAAAAUACUUAUCACCAUGAUCUUCCAUUUUCCUAUUAUCUUUUGAUUGUUGAAUUAACCCCUCCGCUAUCCACAGGAGGAUUAACUCUUGCUUUGUAAACUCAUAAUCCUGGGGAAAAUUUGCGCAAUAAGUAAAACACCUCUUUAAAUGUGAAGACAGAUGAUAGUAGCUCAAUCUCAAGGCAGGGAUGAUGUCACAUUCCUUGUCUGUUAAAUUCCAUACUUUGCUGUACAAUACUCUUUCCCAUUCACAUUCACGUAGUUCAGAGCGCAAAAGGCCACCAAGGGCUCUUGCCGCUAAGGGAGAACCUCCACACUUCUCUACAAUUCUCCUACCAAUUGAUUCCAAAUUUGGGUGCUCAUCGAUAUUCAUAUGUUCAAAAGCAUGUGUUUGAAAUAUCUUCAAACAAUCAUCAUAUGGUAACUGUUUGAGCUCAUGUAAGAUCUUGCGUCCUCUCAUCUUGUUUGCAACAUUAUUAUUGCGAGUUGUGACUAGAAUUUUGCUUCCCUGUGCUCCCACCCAGAAAGGGGAGCAUAGCCUGUCCAACUCAAAGUAAUCAUCAUUCCACAAAUCAUCCAAAACUAUCAGAAAUUUUUUUCCCUUCAAUUCCUUCCUCAAAUUUUCUUGGAUUUGAUGCAAGUCUUGUGAAUCACUGCUUUGAGAAUUAGUCACCGAGUUGAGAAUUGUCUUUGUUAUUCUCACUGCAUCGAACUGAUCUGAGACACAAACCCAGGCUUUUUUAUCAAAAUGCUUGGUUACGGUCUUAUCGUCAUCGUACACCAGUCUUGCCAGUGUGGUCUUGCCCAUCCCACCCGUGGCCACGAUGGAAACUACAGAAAAAUUGGUUUUAGUGGGUUCAUUCCUAAGCAGCAUACCAAUUAUAAUCUCUUUUUCUGUCCCCCUGCCAUAGACCUGAGGUUCAUAUCCUAGAGAUGCGGUGACUGGCCUUCCCCUAGCAGAGUUGGUUAUCGCAGCCACCUUUUCUAGACGAAGCUCAGAUUUUUGAGCCGAAAUAUCUCGUAAGCGGCGAGUGAUUUCCAACACCUUGGACCUCAUGUUAAUAUAACGCAUAACCUCAUUAGGAUUGAAAAUGCCAAGACAAGUGGAGAUGAGCUUGCGUACCUUGCUCGGCCUGCCUUGAUGAUCAGCUUCUUUGGCCGUGAGUUCCCGUUGCAAAGCUUCGUAGGCGAACCCAUCCAAGAUGUCCUCCAUAUCAUAAGCCAAAUCCUUCAGAUUGCCCAGCCACUCUUUCACAGAGUGAUCCGUGAUCUGCUUGUCCUCCGCGUCAUUAAGCUCUUCACGAAUAUUCGACAAUUCUAUCUCCCAUUUCUUGAGAUCAGAGUACACCCAUUGUUGGCGUGCAAAGUCGAGCAAAUCAGUGGAGGCCAACUUAUCAAACAAGAGGCCGAUGGCAGCAGAAAGAAGAGCGUCUCCCACAGCUUCCAUGGUUGGUUUGUACUUUGUUUGCAGAGAGAGAGAGCAAAUCAAGCAGUGGGUAAAAAGGUGAAGCAGAAAGAAGGGGUCUGCUCUGUGAAGGCUUUAAAUAUUAGAAACCCAUUUUCAUUUUAAUUUAUUUGAAGGUCCUUGUAGAGACAGCUGGAUCAUAUUGGAGUUUGAGAUGGCCCGACUGCCCACCUGCAUGCCACUGUUGGUUUGUUUGUGUACUUUAAAUAUGUCUCAAUUUUAUUAUAAAUUUUUUUUUUUUAAUGUAACUAUAUAUAUAUAUCCCUCUUUUAUUAUUUUUUUAUUUGCAUGAUAUUUCUUUCAUACCAAUCAAAACUAUGAAGAGAUUUUUCUUAAAAUUCAUAAAAUAUCUUGUUUUUGUUGCAUCAAUAUGUUUCAUUUCAUUGUAAGAAAGGCCAGUAAAAUGUGAUAUUUUCUAAUUUCUGAUUUGUAACAUUUUUUUUUCUUAUUUAUUCCAAUCUUAUAUGCAUAUUACACUAUUAGGCAAAGUUGUCAAUGACAAUGAUUGUUAUUUAUAAUGGCUUGAACUUAGAAGCAUCCUAGCUUAUGAUACUCAAUUAUAUUCACCUCUACAACUUAAUUUCAAAAUGUUGGAAUGCAUACCAAAUUCCUAAUUAAUCAAGGUUUAUUUUUUUGUAAAAAAAUGUUAUAUAGAAUAUUUCCUAAGUUGAUACAUUAUUAUAAUAUUAAAUUUCCGUCUAGAAUAAGGAAUAUUAUUAGAAAUAUCUCUAUAAAUAUUAUAGGUAAAAGUGAACAUGAGCUUUUAGUGACUAUACGAAGUUAAUAAAGAUACUCAGUAAAGUGAGAGGGCUCGUGGUUCAAGGUAUGGAUACAAGGAGUGACACAAAAUAAUUUAUUAACUCAAAAUCUAUUUUUUAUUUUUCUUUAUUUUUUCUUUCUUUCUAAUUUUCUUUUUGUUUUCUUUUUCUCUAACUCCCUCAAAUCUUCUAGAAACCAAAUAUUGUCCUAAUGUGUGUUGGACGAUGAACUUGUUAUUUUAUAAACUUCAAAUAUUCAAUUUUCAUGGAGAAGGAAUCUCAUAUCUAUCUCAAGUUAAUUAUAUGCAUCCCAUUUUUACCACUAGCAAACCUUAAUCACCUUAUUAUAUGGAAAUUGGGUAUAACUAGAUGUAAUAAAAAACAAAGUUUUGUGAAUAAUGAAAGAACUUGUACAAGUAAAAAUAGAAUUUUAAUAAGAUGCAAAAAAAUUUUGGCUUCCAUAUCUACUCAAAUAAGCAUAGAACCUUUUUCUUCAACUUUUCAGUUUUUGACUUCUCAAAAAUCAAUCUAAAUUGGAUUGAUAAAUUAUAAAAGGUUACAAUAUAAUAUUACAAUGUAUAAAUAUUAUUUUCACUUCUAUAUUUCCCAUGAAAUUAUUUAUUUAUUUAUUUAAAUUGAAAUGUCCUUUGUUAUUUGUUUCUACCUUUAAAAAGUAACAAAAAAAUUAUUUUAAAUCUUAGGUAUGGCAAUACUUAAGUAUUUAAUAAUUUUAAUUAGAUAAUUACAUUUUCUUUUACAUUUUACACAUAAAAUAAUUAAUUACAUUUUAUAUUAUAUUAUUUAAUUAGUGAUAUUUAAAUUUUAAUUAGUUUUUAAGAAUUUAAUUAAUAGUUAAAUAAUUAGAUUUAUUUAUGUUUAAAUCUAAUUAACAAUAAGUUCAAUGCAACAAGAAAAAAAAAAAGCUUAUGGUUACUAUUUUGAAGUGGAUUUCAAUUUUAAAUUUUACAAGUAGACUUGCUUGACUAACCUUAUAAAUUAGUAGAAUUUAACAAGUUGCAAAUGGUUCCCUUACCUAAUCUUUUAAAUUAAUCUUGAUGUUGACAAGCACUUUACCAACCAUAAUUAUAAAAAGACAUAAGUCAAGUUGAUUUUACUAAAUUGCAAGUGGGUGCCCUUACCUAAUCUUUUAAAUUAAUCUUGAUGUUCACAAGCACUUUGCCAACCAUAAUUAUAAAAAGACAUAUAAGUCAAAUUGAUUUUACUCAAUUGAGAUUAAUAAAUUGCAAGUGGGUGCCCUUUACCUAAUCUUUUAAUUUAAUCUUCAUAUUGAUAAGAACCAAAUCAGCUAUAAUUAUAAAAACAAGAAGACGACAAGCUAUGAUUACUUUUAUUAACUAAAAUUUAAUAAAUCACAAUUUCUCUUACCUAACCUUUAGAUUAAUCUUGAUAACUUUGCCAACAGUAAUUAUAAAAAGAGAAAGACGACAAGCUAAUUUAAUUGGCUAAUUUUAUUAACUUAGGUUUAAUAAAUUUAAAGUAGGUUGAUCUCUUACCUAUCCUUUUUAAAUUAAUCUUGAGAUCAAUAAGAAUCAUACAGCCAUAAUAAUAAGAAGAGCUAAAACAUAAGUCGAUUUGAUAUUUAAUUAGUUAAUUUUAUUAACUAUAAGAUAUAAAAAUUUGGUAGGAGGUGUCUUAAAUCCCAAAUUAGAAUAUACUUUUUUUUUUCGUGAAAAGAAUAUUAUAUAGAAUAUUUCCAAAGUUUAUAUGUGAUUGUAAUUAAAUUCAAGUUAGUACAUAUAUAUUUAUAAAUAUUUUAAGACAUGAAGAGAAAAAGUUAUGGAAGAUAUGAAAAAGAGAUGCGAUCAAGAGCGAGAGACGUUGAUAGAACAAGAGGGUUCACUAGGGAAGAGUAUAGAUGUGAAGAAGAAUGAGAAACACAUAGUGGAGCAAAAUGAUUCAUGGUUUAUGAUAGAGAUAUAAAGAGCAGGAAAAAUGGGAUGUUUGGGUUUUGGUAGUCGUCUAACCUUUGUAUGUGGUUUGCUUUAUUCAUGUGUUCUUCCUUUAAUAUGUUUAAAUUGAGGUUUUUGUUUACCUUUUGGUCCUAAGAUGGGUUUUGUCAUGUAAUCAAUUAUGCCCGUUUCCAAUUUCAUUAGAAACUUGUGUUCUACGAUUUGACAAAUGAAAAUAAUUAUUUUUCUAUAAUUUUUUUUAUUAUAAUUUUGUUAGUUAAUAAAAAGUAAAAUAUAGAUAAUAUUAGCCGUCAAAUAGAAAGAUAAAUAUGACAAUUGAUGUGUUUUCACAGCAUAUUUGUACUUAGAUGGUUUUGCUUAUAUGAAGUAAUUUAAUGCAACUAUGAAGAUUUAUAUGAAGUAAACUUUAUAUAAUUUGAGAUUUAAUAAUCGGUUAAUUUUUAUUUGAAGAUACAAAAACAUAAAAUAAAAGUCUUGUUCGAAAACUAUUAUUGAAAACAACAUGAAAAUGGGGUUUUUUCACUUAGAAAUAUACAUUUGACAAACUUCUCAUAUAAAACUUCUUAAAAUAAGUUAUUUUUUAGAACAAUUUUGAAAUGUUUUUAAUUUUUUCACAACAAUUUAAAUAAAAAUUGAAGAUAUAGAUAAUAUAUAUUUUGGGAAAUUUUGUAUCGUAUUUAAGUAUACAAUUCCUUUGUAAAGAAUAAAUCGAAACGAGUAAUGGCUAUUUUCAAGAAUUGUUUUGAAGAAUUAUUUUCACAAAUGUUGUCAAAUAUGCUCAAAACUUUCUACAUCAUUUAUAUUAAUCUUGGAUUCAAUCAAAAUCUUGCCACAAUUGAAAAGAGAAAAAAAUGUUAAUUAAUUGGUUAAUAUUUACAAUCCUAAAAAAAAAAAUAAUAAUAAUAAUAAUUCAAAAUUUUUUAAAUAAAAAUCUCGCUAACUAAAAUAAAAAUUCACCAUCAAAAUAAAAGAUUAUCUAAUAGUUUUCUAUUUUUGACUCUAUAAUCAAGAAUGUUCAUAUAAUUUCUUUUACAAUAACAUACUAAAAUAGAAAGAGAUUAAAAUGGAAAAAGAAAAUGAUUAACAAUAAAAUUCAUAAAAAGAAAUGAAAAUUAAGAAGAUUUCAAUCCACUUCAAUAUUAUUUCAAUGAAAUAGUAUUGCAUUUAAAUUAUUGAAGGCCAUACCAAUUUAUUUUUCGUCCUUUUUUAAUACUUAAUUUUGUUAUCAAACAAUGAAAAUUUUACUAAUCAAGGAAAAUGAGAAAAGAAAAUAUUUUUCUUGAAAGUUAAUGAAUUUGUUAAGAAAGGAAAACAAAAGGUCUUUUAUGGGAUACUUUAUUAAAUUAAAUUAAUAACUUAAUUUAAAUCAUUAAAUAAAUUAAGUAUGUUUAGCAAAAUAACAUAAUGGUAUGAUUUAAAAUAAAAAAACUUUAAAUAAUAAAUAAAAAUAAUUAACUUAUUCUUAAAUUCACAUUUUUAUUUUACCUUUUUACCCCAAUUUGCCAUAAUUACCUCCACAAUUUCCUUUACUAUUCCACGACUUUUACUUUCACACGACCUCCUUUACUCUAGGUAUAAUUUAUGAGGAUAAAUAUGUCAAUUUGGAAAUUUAGAAUUAAUCAUAAGUUAGUUUUAUCACACAAUCGUAGUACUUAAAAUAAAAAUUAAGUAAUAAGUUUUAAUUUAACAAUUUAAGUAUAAUUUAACUAAAAGUCAACUUAAAUCAUUAAGUAAUUAGUAUUAAGUUUUAUCAAACACCUCCAUAUAAUUAGUUAAUUUUGAUUAAUCUAAAAAUAUAGAAAGUGAAAUAUACACAUUUUUUUAUUGGUUAGGUUGGUCUUGAACUUUUUUCACCAAAUCAUUUUUAUUAAUCUUAACAUGCGCCAUUUGAUGCGACUGAUGGUAGCUUAGCUUUAAAGGCGUAUCAACAAAAUUUAUACCUUAAAUAUUAUUACUAAAGUAGCCAAGCUACUAUAGCAUAGUGGUUCUAGGAUCGUUCACUGGGAAGGGUUUUCGCGAACACUAGUGAUAUUCAAAUUAGGAAAAUAGGUGAUUUUCUUAUGGAUGUUAGCUUUAAAAGAAGAUGUAAAUGUUUUAGAAAGAUUUAAACUAAUCUAAGCUAACAUUAAAGACUAAAAUGAAAGGGUGUAAAAACAAGUUUCUCAAAGAUAGGAUAGCUAUGCUCUGGCUCUUAUGCAAAUUGGAAAUCUCAGGAUAGGCUCCUCGCGUUGGGGUUACAACUAUGGUAAUGCUUGCUUCCCGAACCGGUAUGGAUUUAGCAAAUCAAGUUUUAAUCCUUUAAAAUGGCAAAACAGAUGGUAGUGAAUUUCAUCAAUGGUUAUUCACCUUAGACUUCCUUUGAAUGGCUCGUAAGAGAUAACUAAUGGUCUAAAGCCAAAAGCUUACCAAAUAUUGGCAACUCAAAGUCAUUCCAGGUGAUAAACUCACCUUUCAAUGGCCAUUGAAAUUGGUUCUAACGGAUUAAUGCAAAACUUGGAAUUGAAAACCUCACCUUCCAAUAGCUCGUAGGAGAUAACUAAUGGAUAGAAAUCCAAAAGCUUAUCAAGUAUUGGCCGUUGGAAGUUGUCCAAAGGAAAUAAAAACCAAACUUUGCAUUAAUGAACCAUUAAUGAAAAACGACUACCUUGCCUUCCAGGUGCGAGAAAUUUCCAUGGGAUUGCAUCCAAGCUAUCACAUAACAUCCAUACUUUGAGAAACUAAAAGUUUUAGCCAAUCAUCCUCUGAGGAAAAGUCCUCAGAGGCUGUUUGGCUACUAAGAAAAUAAAAAUGGGGAAGAAUAGGAGAAGAGAGAAAAACAGAGCUUUAUAUAUUUCUAAGUUAAUGUACAGAGGAUCGAUCCCCCAAUAUCUUUUGGAGGCGUUGUGCACCUCUAUAUAUAGCAAAAUUACAAGAUAAAGCCUUAUGUCGGCUGAAUACAAGGUUACAAAAGGAAUUUACACGAGAAAAUAUCAAGCUAAAAAUAUCUGGGAAGUCGGUGGUGCGUGCGUGGAGAAACAGAGGAAAUUUGGCAAGGUAAAAGGUUACUUGCGAAAUUUUGGCAAGGUAAAAGGUUACCUUGCGAAAUUUUCGCAAGGUGAAUUAAUCAUGAUGCGAAGUGCCAUAUUUUCGCAUCAUGAGUAAAUUCACCUUGCCAAAUUUGGCAAGGUGCAUUUUCACCUUGCAAAAAUUGCAUUUUGGCAAGGUACUUUGCCUUGCCUUGCGAAAUGGCUAUCCCUUUGUUUGUGCUUGUGUUUCCACUUGAAAUUCAAGCCUGUAAACUUCCAAAAUCCUUGCUUUAACUUGUCCAAGUAGCUCCUCCAUCAUUUGGCAUGCUUGAAUUGAUUCAUAAGCUGAUAAAAACAUGUAAACUUGCCACAAAAUGGUUAAAACCAAUUACUAAGGACCUUAAUGAAUUAAUUGGGUUAAAUGAAUAUGAUUACUACUCAAAGGUGCUUAAAACCAUUAUAAUUAGGUCUACAAAAUAGCACUUUUUGGUAGUAAUCACAUCAACAUUAGUUAAUUAUAAUUAAAGAAAAGAAAACCAAAAAAAUAAAAAUAAAAAAGUCAAUUUGGGUGACCAAUCUUUGUUGAAAAAUUAAAAACCAAACAAAAGUUGAUCAAUACAAAAAAGAAAAAAAUUGUAUGAAGUAGACAUUUUGUCUUUUUGAGAUUAUUGAUGGAAUUGUAAUAGACUAUAAACAUGUCUAUGAGAAUCAAUCCCAAUGAGUCCUAAAACAUAUCUAUGAGACUAUUGUUGAAUAGAGAUUAAAAAUAAAAUAAAACCAUGUCAUAAAGAAAUGAUAUUUAAGUAUUAAUAAAUAGGAAUUGGAUACAUAUAAAUAAAAUUUAGAUUAAAGAAGAAAUGAAACUAUUUUUAUUAUGUGGUUGUUUUUAAUGGACCGCCAAUUUUUUUUUAAAAAUUUUAUAUAUAUAUUCCAUAGAAAAAUUACUUUCUAAUACCAUAGAAUCACCCUAAUUUCAAAUUGAGAUUUACUAUCUUAAAUUUUAAAUUUUUAAAAAAUAAUUUUUAAGGGCAUGAACUAAAUCUAUAUUUUUUGUGAAGAAUUUAUAUUCUUUAUAUGGAAGUUUUUAUCGAUUUUUAUUUUUAAAAACAAAAAAUAAGAAGCACUUAGAGUGUAUUUGACAAUGAUUUUAAGAAGUGAUUCUAAUCUUUCUAAUACUUGAAAAAUAAAAAUUCUUAUAUGUUGAAACAAUUGCAGAAUACACUUUUAGUAAGUAAUGAUAUUAAUUUCUUCGAAGAGAGAGAUUUACAUUUAGGAUAGAAAUAAAUAAAUAAAACAAUACAAGGAUAAAAAUUUAUUUUUUUUAAAAACUUUUAACUUCUUGUACUUUAUCAUUACACACUUUUUUCAUUAGAUGCUUUAAAUAAUUUUUAUUAAAUAAAAUUAUAUUGAUGGAGGGCUAAUUAACUUUGCUUAGGGUGAGAAAGAUAGAGAUAAAAUUGAAGUGGGUACACAUCUAAAACAAAAAUGAAAUAAAAAGUAAAGAUGAAGAUAAGAUUGAGGUGGGUUCACAACUAAAAAAAGAAUGAAAUAAAAAGUAUGAGAUGAAUUGACCAAAGCUUAUCCCUUCUUCCAAAUAGUAAAAGCAAAGCCUAGUAGUAUAAAGUGAUGACACUAGUCCUAUUCAAGGCCCCACUUGCAUAAUUGCUACAUCUUUUUGACUUGAUUUUAGUUCAAUUUCACUAAAAUGAAAUAAUUUAUUUGAGCCCAAAAAUCCAAAUCCAAAUCCAACCCACUUAUUUAUAUACAUUAUUGGCAUGGAAUGAGAAAAGUUAUAAAGUGAGAAAAUUUGAUCAUAUGAUAAAUAGUGAUUUUUCAAAGUUGGAGUCAAUCCAAUGCCCAAUGGCUAUAAAAGAAAAAGGAAAGAUGUGGAAAUUAUAGUGGAAUCUCGAAACAAAUUUUUGAGGUUUGAGGUGAUGUGACAACCGUUUCCAAGUAAUUGCCUAAGAAUGUGAGAUGUUGUUGCAUUGAAAAUUGAUAUUAAAGCUCACUGGGUAAUGGUAAGAAUUGCUUUACAUAAAGACAAGUAAUAAAUACAUCCCACUUUUUCAAAAAGUUUAUGAGUGAAUAAAACUUUUAGAGUAGGAUGAAUGCAUUUCACGUGAGUCAUGUCCUAGAUAUAUUUUUAGAAUUUUCUAGCAGGAUGUCGAGGAAAACUCUAUGAUGAGUGUUUUCUUUCUAGUUAAGGCAGGUCCAAUUUGGUGCAAUUCGUCAAUAUAAUUCAAACCCAACAUAUGUUUUAAGGAUUUGAAUUGAGUAAAAUCGCCUUUAAAUUAAAUUAAUCAUAUGAAUCAACGUAACCUGUUUAAUAAAUAGAUUAUUUUUAGGUCAAUCUAGAUAACCCACAUUUGACUUGAAUUAACUUAUUUAAUAAUGGUAUUGAUUAACCUAAUAAUAACUUUAACUUAUUGAACUCAUAUUUGACUCAUGUAAAUUUUUUUUUUUCAAUAAUUAUGUCAUAAUUGGGCCAUAAACAUGACAUAUUAGAAUAUUAACCAUAUUAUUUCAUUCAACAUUUAAUUUGACUUGAUUAUGAAAUAACAUCUUAUUAUUAAAUCGGUUGAGCCGGUUAUAAUGUAUCACCUAGAUAAUAAUUAUAUGGUGUUUGAGUUUAUGUUUUAAAUUUUGAUUAUUAUUCAUGUCAUGUUUGGGUUGAGUUAUUUAGUGGAGGAUCUAACCUUUGAUAUAACACAAACACAACCCACUAACUUAAAUUGCCAUCAUCACUUCUACUAAUAAGUGAUUUGUUUAUUAUAAUUAAGAAAAUUGAGAAGAUAUAAUUUAUUUUUUAAUUUUAAAUGCAUGAUUAAAGUUAAUUAUAACUUUUAAAAAUUUUAUAAUUCAUAUUCCAUCCAAACUAACAAAAUAUUAGAAAUCUUCAAUGGUUUUGUCUACAAUAAAUAUGUUGUGUUAAAUUAUCCCCUUCUCUACUAACCAAAACAUGUUCUUUCACAAUCAAAUAUCAACGUGUUUGAGCAGCCGGUGAGGCAUCUCUUGACAAUGAGGUGAGAGGUAGAAACAAGAAACAUACCUAUAUUCAAGAGAAGUGGUGUUUCUUCAUUUGCUUUAGACAACAUUCAUUUAGUCUAAACUUGAAGGCGGAUUGCUAGAAUCUGAGCUCUUGGAAAGACAUAAGAGAAGUACAUUUGGAAAUCUGAAAGAAGCCCAGAGACCUAUUGCUACUUGUGAAUCACAGUAAUCAGAAACAAUUCCAUAUAAUCCUGCAAUUCUAGACCUUUGAUUUGCUCGUUCCAUUUUGCCAAGAACAAUUCUAGAAUGUUUUUCUUUAUUGAGUCGUAAUGAUUUUAUUAUUAGGAUUUAAUUGUAUUCAUUAGGUUUGCAAAUCACAAAAACGGUAUUGUGCCUAUGAAUAUUUUCCUCUUUGAUCAUGUAAAGUUGGAAAAUAGUUGUGGAAUUCUAUGAUAGCACAGUACAUUGAUCCACACGGUUUGUGGCAUGACAGUUUAAUGAAAUUACAAAAGUGUAGCACUCAUGGGUAUGUCAUGUGAACCUUUUUCAAUGGAGCUACUUGUUUAAAUUUACAUGGGUGAAUUGUCACACCAAUAUCCUCUAAUGAACCUUGGGUUCUUUUUUCUGUUUCUUCCUCUCUUGGUUAAGCCAAACAAUUUGUCUUUAUAAGGACUUCAUGUUACUAAUAAGCAGCAUCUUGUGUUCUCCUUCUCUUCAUCUCCUUGUCAAGACACAACGAUCUGAUGCAUUUUGCAUUGGGUUGCUUCCUCUCCUCUCCAUUUCCUUCCUCCUUGAGGCAAAAUUGCAUCAUUUCUUAGUUUUGAUUAUGUUUCUUUUUAUCAUUAUGAGAAAGCAUCAUUGUAAGAUGUACAAGAAACGUGUUGCGGUGCAUUAUCCCCUCCUCUACCACCUAAAAUCUGUUUUACACGAUCAUAAGGACCAAGGUGUUUUAAGCAUCAGGUAAGGCAUUUGUUGACAAUGAUGUGAGAGAUAGAGACAAGCAACAUACCAGUAUUCAAAAUAUAUGAUGUUCUUCUUUUUCAUUUGACAACAUUCAUUUAGUCUGAACUCCACAUUUGGGCAACUCAUAAUCUCCACCUUCAUUAGGAUUGUUAGAAGUUGGCUUCUUAGAAAGACAUGGAAAUGGGGCAUCUAGAAAUCUGAAAGAAUUCCAAAGGCUUGUUGCUACUUUUGAAUCAUUCCAAUUAAUAACAACUUUAAAAGAUAUAUACAAAUCUGUCCCUGGGAAAGAGAUGUGUCAUGUGCAUAUGCAACCAUCUCUCUAAUAGACUCAGGGUUGUGCACCAUCAUGGUAGUUUCUUAUAUAUUACAUCAUAUUAAUUGUAGAUAUCCAACUACCAAUAUCACUACACCUGAAUGAACUAGGAGCUAUGCUGAAAGUGAAGUUGGACAACCCAUCAUCGAAAGAAUCCUGUAGGAAUACCCCAAAAUGAAAAUUUUAUUAGCAUAAAUGAAUUCACCCAAAUUAAGGAUAAAGUUGCCUAAAAAAAUGAAUUGGAAGAGAUAGAAAUACUGAUGCUUUCAUAGGACUAUGGGAGGGACCAACAAGUAGAACAAACAUUGAAUAGUAAAUGUAAAGCAAUAAAGCUUGUAACUGUUGUCAAAAGCUGCUCCCUAGUGAAGUUUUUUAACAAUAAAGGUAAGUGCAAAAUUCACCUAAUGGCUCCACUUGUAGGAAAUUUCAAUGAUGUGAAACUAGGAUAUGGUGAACUUGCUUCCGCUAUUGCAGUGAACUAUUAUGGAUCAAAAAUAAAUCUCACCAUCAGUUUUCACAUUGGAGAUGUGGGCUAUCUUUGGCCCAUCUCUCAAUAUUGGAUUUAGGAGUUUUGUCUCUCAUAUAUGGUUCCACUUACAAAAUACAAAUGGAGCUUAGAUGAUGACAACACAUUUAGAAAAAUGCAAGAAUUCCACUGACAUGUUUUGUGCUAUCAUGAAUCAUUCCAAUCAGUAAAGAAUCUAAGUGUUAUAACUUUGAAUUGUCUUAGGGAACACACCCCAAUUCAAUCUUACGGAAGUAAACUGCCUUGAGUACCAACUCAAUUUGAGUUCUUUGGGAGACUUGAGACACCAAUUUAAUCAAAGCUGCUAGUUGUUUCUAAAGUAGAUUGUCUUUCUCCACUGAUACUGGGGAAAAUGCUUUUGAAAACCAUUAAUCUGCAAAUUACAAAGGGAAAUGAGAUUAUGUUGUUAUCAUAUCUCCAAUCUCCUUGACACAAAUAGAUGAUUUCCUUGCAACCAAUAAUUUCUAAUUCUAUCACUUCUAUUCUAGCAUGUGAUUUGGGAAGAGAAUUAAGCUUCGAAAUAUUGCCAAUAUGAAAGGAAUUGGAAGAGGCCAAGUAGGCAGCCACCAUAGCUAGUUCACAAACAAAUGACAACAUUGGAAGUGGAACACGACACAUAAACUUCAAAGAGAAAACAUGUUUCCCACAAUCAUAAAUACCAAGGUGUUUAAGCAUUAGGUAAGACAUCUCUUGACAAUGAUGUGAGAGAGAGACAAACAACAUACCAGUAUUCAAGAGAAGUAGUAUUCUUCUUUUGCAUUCGACAACAUUCAUCUAUUCUACACCCCAAAUUUUAGCAACUCAGGAUCUCCACCUUCAUUAGAAUUGCAGGAAGCUAGCCUCUUGGAAACACAUGAGAGGACAUUAAGAAAUUUGAAAGAAUUCUAGAGACUUGUUGUUGCUUGAAUUGUGAGUAAUUCCAAUCAUAAAUACCAAGGUGUUUCAGGAUCAGGUAAGGCAUCUCUUGGCAAUGAUAUGAGAGAUAGAGACAAGCAACAUACCAGUAUUCAAGAGAAGUAGUAUUCUUCUUUUGCAUUCAACAACAUUCAUCCACUUCACACCCCAGAUUUUAGCAACUCAGGAUCUCUUCCUUCAUUAGGAUUGCAGGAAGUUGACCUCUUGGAAACACAUGAGAGGACAUUUAGGAAUCUGAAAGAAUUAUAAAGACUUGUUGUUGCUUGAAUUGUGAAUCAUUCCAGUCAUAAAUACUAAGUUGUUCCAAGAUUAGGUAAGGCAUAUCUUGGCAAUGAUGUGAGAGAUAGAGACAAGCAGCAUACCAGUAUUUAAGAGAAGUAGUAUUCUUCUUUUGAAUUCGACAACAAUCAUCUACUUUACACCCCAAAUUUUAGCAACUCAGGAUCUCCAUCUUCAUUAGGAUUAUAGGAAGUUAGCCUCUUGGAAACACAUGAGAGGAUAUUUAGAAAUCUGAAAGAACUCCAAAGACUUGUUAUUGCUUGAAUUAUGGAUUAUUCCAAUCAUAAAUACCAAGGUACUUCAAGAUCAGGUAAGACAUUUCUUGGCAAUGAUGUGAGAGAUAGAGACAAGCAAAAUACCAGCAUUCAAGAGAAGUAGUAUUCUUCUUUUGCAUUCGACAACAUUCAUCUACUCUACACCCCAAAUUUUAGCAACUUAGAAUCUCCACCUUCAUUAGGAUUGCAAGAAGUUGGCCUCUUGGAAACACAUGAGAGGACAUUUAGAAAUCUGCAAGAAUUCGAGAGACUUGUUGUUGCUUGAAUUGUGAAUGAUUCCAAUCAUAAAUACCAAGGUGUUUCAGGAUCAGGUAAGACAUCUCUUAGCAAUGAUGUGAGAGAUAAUGAUAAGCGACAUACCAAUAUUUAAGAGAAGUAGUAUUCUUCUUUUGCAUUCAACAACAUUCAUCUACUUUACACCCCAAAUUUUACAAACUUAGGAUUUCCACCUUCAUUAGGAUUGCAAGAAGAUGACCUCUUAGAGACACAUGAGAGGACAUUUAGAAAUCUGAAAGAAUUCCAGAGACUUGUUGUUGCUUGAAUUGUGAAUCAUUCCAAUUAGUAACAACUGCAAAGCCCUAUAUACAAUUUUUAGUUGUUAACUUUUUUACAUUGAAUGAAAAACCUGUCCCUAGGAAAGAGGUGUCUUGGGCAUGCAACCAUCAAUUAUUAGCUCUUGAAUAGGCUUGAAGCUGUGCACCCUCUUGGUAGCUUCUAAUUCAUUACAUCAUAUAACUUCCAGAUAUCCAAUUGGCACGUCACUAUGCCUAAAUGAAGUAGGAAACAUGGUGAAUAGGAAGUUAGACAACCUUUCACAAAAAGAAUCCUGCAAGAAUACACCAAACAAAACUUCUUGUUAACAUAAAUGAAUUCACUCAAUUAAAUUAUUGUGUUAAAAUUUAAAUUGGGAGAAAUAAAAAUACUAAUGCUUACAUGGGACUGUGGGAGGACCAACAAGAGGAACAGACUUUGAAUAUAAAAUGUGAAGCCAUAAAACUUGUAACUACUGUCAGCAUCUGCUCCCUAGUCAAGUUUUCAACAAAAAGGUUUAGUGUAGGGAUUCUCUAGUAGCUGAAUGAUUCGACUCCAGCAACGACGCCAUUUGAUUCAUCCCCGGCAACGGCGCCAUUUGAUGCAACUCAUGGUAGCUUAGCUUUAAAGGCGUAUCAACAAAAUUUAUACCUUAAAUACUAUUACUAAAGUAGCCAAGCUACUAUAGCAUAGUAGUUCUAGGAUCGUUCACUGGGAAGGGUUUUCGCAAACACAAGUGAUAUUCAAAUUAGGAAAAUAGGUGAUUUUCUUAUGGAUGUUAGCUUUAAAAGAAGAUGUAAAUGUUUUAGAAAGAUUUAAACUAAUCUAAGCUAACAUUAAAGACUAAAAUGAAAGGGUGUAAAAACAAGUUUCUCAAAGAUAGGAUAGCUAUGCUCUGGCUCUUAUGCAAAUUGGAAAUCUCAGGAUAGGCUCCUCACGUUGGGGUUGCAACUAUGGUGAUGCUUGCUUCCCGAACCGGUAUGGAUUUAGCAAAUCAAGUUUUAAUCCUUUAAUAUGGCAAAACAGAUGGUAGUGAAUUUCAUCAAUGGUUAUUCACCUUAGACUUCCUUUGAAUGGCUCGUAAGAGAUAACUAAUGGUCUAAAGCCAAAAGCUUACCAAAUAUUGGCAACUCAAAGUCAUUCCAAGUGAUAAACUCACCUUUCAAUGGCCAUUGAAAUUGGUUCUAACGGAUUAAUACAAAACUUGGAAUUGAAAACCUCACCUUUCAAUAGCUCGUAGGAGAUAACUAAUGGAUAGAAAUCCAAAAGCUUAUCAAGUAUUGGCCGUUGGAAGUUGUCCAAAGGAAAUAAAAACCAAACUUUGCAUUAAUGAACCUUUAAUGAAAAACGUCUACCUUACCUUCCGAGUGCGAGAAAUUUCCAUGGGAUUGCAUCCAAGCCAUCACAUAACAUCCAUACUUUGAGAAACUAAAAGUUUUAGCCAAUCAUCAUCUGAGGAAAAGCCCUCAGAGGCUGUUUGGCUUCCAAGAAAAUAAAAUAGUAAAGAGAAAAGAGAAACGAGAGAGCUCUGUAUAUAUUCUAAGUGUAAAACGUAAUAUAUCUUCUAUAUUUUCCAAGAGGUGAUUUCCACCCCUUAUAUAGUCUUUACAAAAGCAAAAGCUUGUGAUUGGUUAGUUACAAGGAUAAGAAAGGAAAUUACAUCAAAAAAUACAUAGGAAAAUAUCUAAAGUGGAGUUGGCAAAAAUAGAGGAAAAUUCGCACCACGCAUGGGUUAUGCGAAUUUUGAAGGUGUUAUGCGAAAUUCGCAUAACACCUUGUGUCGUGCGAAAUUUUCGCUCAACCUGGAGUAGUUGGCUUCCGAAGGCCAUAUCUUCCUCAUUUCAGCUCCAAAUCGUACACGAUUUGAAGCGUUGGAUUUUUGACUUCCAGAGCUUUGAAAUGGUAUAUAGCAUGUAAAAAAUGGACUUCGGGAAGUGCUCCAAAAGUGCGAAAGAAGACUGCAGCUGCUGUCCUCUUUGCUUCUCUUCACUUUGCUUGCUUUUCCUCUUUUCCAUUGUUCUUUCCUUGCAUACUUUGAACGACUUUGGCAAAGGGCUAUGGAGCUCCAAAGCUUGGUUCUUCAUGAAUUUGAGCUUCCAAAAGCUUUGCCAUAACUUGUCCAAGUAGCUCCUCCAUCAUUUGGCAUGCUUGAAUUGAUUCAUAAGCUGAUAAAAACAUGUAAACUUGCCACAAAAUGGUUAAAACCAAUUACUAAGGACCUUAAUGAAUUAAUUGGGUUAAAUGAAUAUGAUUACUACUCAAAGGUGCUUAAAACCAUUAUAAUUAGGUCUACAAAAUAGCACUUUUUGGUAGUAAUCACUGAACUUGUAGAAAAUUUCAACUGGAUGACAAUUUAUAUGUUAACAAGAAGAUAAAAUGUAAGAAUUAUGUGUUGGGAAUAGAUGAAACUUACUAUAUAUAUGGAUAGGAUAGGGUGAACCCUCCCUGUUUCCAUUUUUGGAACCCAAACUAUUAUGGAUCAAAGUUGGAGCUCUCCAUCUAUUAAAAACAACUAGAGCUUAGGUGAGGUCUUGGUGAUGUAGGAAAGUCAUGGAUUCUGGAAUCUUUACAUGAAAAUAUAAAUGAGAGAUACAUUGGAAGAAAGGGUAGGCCUUGGUCAUCUGAGAAGAAACACAUCUUAAAUAUACCAUCAAUCUUGAGUUGUUUGAGAGUGAUGAAUCUGUGAAGACCUCCCUCAGAUAAAGGAUUUCUUUGACAUUUCUCCCUCUUCAAUCUCAAGAAGGUACACCAUCAACUAGAACAUUAGGAAUGUGAGUCAUCAUGGGACAACUUGUCUAUGUUCUUUAUUCUUUUCUCACUGAAGAGGAUUAAAAGAUAUGUAGUUUCAAGGACAAGAGAUAUAACUAGUAGUGAGAGCAUCAAACAAUCCUUCUCCAAUGCAGACCACAAAUUUUAGCAACUCGUGAUCUCCACAAUUUAGAGCACUGAAGGAAGUUGGCUUAUUGGCAAGAUGUGACAUGACAUUUAGAAAUAUGAAAGAAUUCCAAAGUUCAUUCCAAUCAUUAAGGAAUCCAAAGCCUUAUAAUUUGAAUAGGGCAUCCACUUGGCAUGGAUAACAUACGUAUCUAGGGAAAAAGACUAGGCACCAAUUCAAUGAUCAUGUUAGUUGCUUCUGUGGCAGUUCUUUCACUGGUAUUAGGGCAAAGCCUUUUGAAAACCCUCAAUCUACAAAUUGCCAAGGACAUGAGAUCAUGUUGUAACCUCGUCUACAAUCUCCAGCUGUAAACAAAUUAUUUCUUUCAAUUAACAAUCUUUAAUGCGUUCACUUCUAUCAUACGAUAAGCAAUUUCGGAAAACAAGUAAGCUUUAUAAUAUUAGUAAUAUGUAAGGAAUUGAUAAAGGCCAUGAAUCUACUUUCAAAAAAUAAACUAUAAAAACAAAGAUUUUGUCACCCAUGAAUAUUGUAACCAACUUCCAAAAAACAUUAGGCAUUGCAAUAACCAAAUGUUCCUUAGGUAUUAAAGUUAAAGUUCAAAGUUACCAAGAGUGCAUUUUUUGACCCAUGCAUAAAAUAAAAAGAAAAUAAGAACGCAUACCAUAUAACUCACAAUUGUGUCAAGUAUGAGUUCAGUUUAUGUUCAUGCACAAUUGUAUUAAGUAUUUGAAAGCUAAAUAAGGCUAUGUGCAAUUCAAAAAAUACCAUACAAUGCUCACAACUUAUCAUAGAAUGAGAACUCAAUUGUCUUUCUUCCAGUCAUAAGAGUUUGUGCUCUUUGAGCCUCUGACUUGCACAACUCAAGAUAGCAGGACAUGCCAAAAAGUCUCCUUCACCUUAAACAUUAUUCAAACCUGCAAUAUAAAUCCUGAUAAGAAAAUUUUCUACAAAUAUAACAUGUUGCAAACAAGUAACAGUAUGUUGGUUUAAAAUUGAAUAACAUUUCAAACCAAACAAAGCAGAAAAAUUUUCCAUGUAUAUCACUCACCUAAAAACUUGUAUGUUGGAUAAAAGUCCUGCUAAUGAAUCCUGACAAUUAUUUGCAAUCAAAAUUUAGUAAUGAUUUAUAAACAAAAAAAAAAAAAAAGGAAAUUACAAAAUUCUUUGGCAAUGUUCCAUGAAAAACACAUUGCAUAUUGAUUGAGAAAUUAAUAUGAAAUCCACUAAUUUGAAAGGCACUAAAAACCAGAUGUUGUCUUGAGUUCUCCAUGUAUCAAAAUAGAUGCAAGUUGCUAUUUGAGCCACCACAAUCAUAGAGCACAAGACUUCUUAGCAUGGAAGGCAUACCAUAUUUUAAACAAGGUUCUUAACUUUCCAAGAGACAUAAGAACGUGGUAUGUUGUAGAAACUGUAGAAUAAAUAAAUGGAAGUUAGACAUAUGCACUUGCUACUUAGUUUUUUAAUCAUUUAUGAAUAAAUAAAGAGGUGUUACUUGCAUUCAACCAAACUUGUAGUCUCCAAUGUGAAAUCCAAAUCUCAUUUUGUCAACACAAUAAGAGCAUUAAACAUAUAGCAAAUUGAAUCCUUCCUUUUGACAAUUUGAAAACCUGAAAGGAAUGACUUGAGAUCAUAAAUAACUAUACGGUAAAGAAAAUUUUCAUCAUUCUUUCUAAAAGGAAAAUCUAUCAUUUCCUCGAUUACGAAAAAUUGAUAUUUUAACACAAAGUGCACUUAUUAAGGUAAACUUUGUGCAUUAUAUAUUGAAAUUAGAAAAUUGUAUUUAAAUCCAGUUAGAAGAGUAUCACAAAAGAUGCUUAAUUGAAAUGAAGGCAUCCAUGCCAAUUUGCAACUACUGUCAAAUAACACCCCUCAUCAUUUUACGUCCCAUGCUUGCAUGUCAAACCUCUAACUAAGACUGCUCAAAGAGCACCUAAAAGAAAAUUACGAAGAUUUCAUUACAGGUAGAACUUAAGAUGCUUACAUUGACCAUGGGAGAGAUCGAUAAGAAACAAAAUACUCAUGCAUAAGUUUGUAACUAUUGUACUCAAAACCUGCUUCCUAGUCAAACUUUCAACAUAACUCCAUGGAAACUUCCAAAAAUUGUUGAGCCACUGGUAAAACACAACAUCAAUAUGAGAAAUUUACAAGGUACUAUGUAGAUAAAAGAGUAAGAAAUGUGUAUUGAGAAUAAGAGUUACAUUGAUGAAUGUAAGGAUAGGAUAGGGUUGAAUUGGCUCUGCAACCAUUUUUGCAAUUUGAAUGUAUUAUGGUUCAAAAAUGAGUUUAUGAUGUAUCCUCAUCUUAGGGGAAGCGGGCAAUUUGGGGCUAAUCUCAAUCAUUCUCCUUGAAACAUCUUUAUUUCAAAGUUUGAUAAAACUUAGAAGACAACCUUUCACUUGGAAAAGAGGACUAGAACAGGGCAUCCCUCAAUCUCUACAAGUUAAAGAGAUGAAGUUUUGAAGACGAAGGGAGGAGGCUAGGGAUUCCAGAUUUGACAAUAUUUUCAUUGAAAGAUCAAUGAGAGUUGUAGCAAGAAAUACUGUCAAAAGGAAAUUGCAUUUAACAAUGUACAAUAUAAAAUCAAUGAACUAAGUUUUUAGAGAGGUGAAUCUUUGGAGGCUCCACAAAGAUAAGGGGUUUUAAUACUCUUGCAAGUGUAUUCGUGAAAUUGUUUUCUCAAAGGACUCCAGAACCUGGACAAUGUGCAACACAAAGCUGUUAAAGAGAUGUGAAACUCUAAAUCCGAUGAGGUAGGGACUUGAGAUCCACAUUUUCUUAAGUGAAGAAUUCUGAGGUUGUAGACACACUAGUAGUUUCCAAAUUCAGAUACUUCUCUUCAAAUAUUCAUAUAAUGUACAUCUUCUUUGACAUUUCUGCUCCAACAGGAUGUCCAAUAGGAUGUGCAACCUAUUUGGGCAUACUACAUGUACAACAAAAAAUUUCAUUAAAACAAAAAAAAUUUACUAAAACAAAAAUCUGAAGUUAAUGUCUAAGAAGAUAAGAUUUAUAUAUAGUGAAUGAGCAUGAUUGAUUUUAGCACAAAGGGAAUGACGCCAAAAAUUUUAAGAAUAUCAUCACCACAAGUACCUAAUUUACGUCAUUAAAAAUUCCACAAGGAUUUGAUGGUUAGGCAAUAAAAUAAUUCUAGUAAAUGAAGUAAUUUCUAUAUAAGACAGGUAAUGUCUAAUAUGAUUUGUCCACACCAUUCAAAUCCAACACAUUUUUUUAUAAAUUUGAAAUGAGUACAAUUGUAUUUGAAUAAAAAUAAAUUGUUUUUAAGUUGACUUUCAUAACAAACAUUUAACUCAAAUUGACUUAUUUAAUAAUAUUAACUUAAGUAUAACUUUAACCUAUUUAACUCAUAUUUGACUCAUUUAAAAUUUGAUUUUCAAUAGUGACAUCAUAAUUGAGUUAUAAACAUGUCAGUUUAGGAAACUAACCAUAUAAGAUCAUACAAUGUUAAACUCAAUUUGAUUAUUAAAUAACAUCUAAUUAUUACAAGAGUUAAAUAGGUUACAAUAUAUUACCUAGUUAAUAAUUAGAUUGUGUUUGAGUUUGUAUUUUUAAUUAUAAUUUAGUUGAGUGUUUGAUCUGUGUUACUCACCAACAUGAAUUAUCACUCAUAUUUCUAUUGUGAAACCAAAGAUUGGAUAAUUCUUAGUUUUGAUGAUAAUAAAAGAAGGUUCGAAACUAAUGUUUCAUCUUGAGUGUGACUAGGCAAGAUGAUUUUUAAAGUAGCAAUUACAAAGAUAAACCAAAAAAAAAAAAAAAAAACAAGAAAAAGAAGACCUCAAAGAGAAGAGCCUUCAAAACUUUUUAUAAGAUCUCUUUGUAAGGUUGUUGGUGCACUACAUUUUACAUGCAUUUUAUUCAAGCAUCAAAGAUCAUCCUUGUGCAAUUUUGUUUUAAAUUUUUUUAUAAUUGGAUGAUUUCAUGUUUUUAAUUAAAACUUUAUGUCAAAUGCCUUUCUAAACUUUUUAAAAAGGUUUUAAAAGGGGUUGCAUGAGUUGCUAGAGGUUUGAAACCUAAAACCUAAGUAUUUGAGCACUUAAUAGUGCAAACGGUAAAAAGUCCAAGGAAUCGAUUAAAUAAUUUGGGCUCAAUCAGUUGAGGGGUGUUUUUACACACAUUUUCUCUCUUCAAGUGGUUUGUGUCACUGACAAAGGUUUUGCCUUUCUUGGUCAAGGCUUUGCCUUUCAUGGUCAAAGUCUUGAACCCUAACGAACACCUACUAAAAGUAUUAAUUGCUAAUUAUUUUGGCAUUAAUUGUUAACAAUUAGUGAAUCGGUCAAAUUGGAACUCCAUUAGUUGACCCCCUAAAUGUGCCUAACAACAAGUUUAGCCUUUCUACUUCUACAUAAAGGUUCCAAUCUUCAUUGUUGGUAAGUCUAACAUUCCCAAAUCUUUUAUGAAUAUUAUUUGAGCCUUGGGGGAGUGUUUUCUAGCACACCUUGCUGCAAAACUUGCAUAUCAUUAGUUCACCAUAAAUCUUAAUUUAUCUUGUAUCAUUUGAGCUUAAAUUUGUACUAGGAAUGUGUGAGAUUAUCUUUCCUAUCAUUUUGUGUAAACCUUUGUAAGGGGAAAUCAAGUGUGGGUAUUACUUAAAGGAAAAUUUAAGCGUGAGGUAUCACUUAGUGUUUGUCAAGUAUGGGGCAUCACUUGGGAAAUUCAAGAGUGAGGUAUCUCUUGAAAAAUUUGUAAGUGUCCACUAGAGUCAAUUAAUCUAAUUGUAAUGCUUAGAAACUUCGGAUUAGUAGAACCUCAAGUUUGGGAUUGAAGCUAUAGGAAAGUGAAUGUAGGAUGGGUUGCACCAAACCACAAUAAAUAUAUUGUGUUUGUAUUCUCUCUUCCCUAAUCUUUAUAAUUUGUAUGCAAUUAAUUUUCAUUGUGUUUAUUGUAUAUUUGUAUAUAAUUGUCUCUGGCAUUCAUAUAGUUUAAAUUUGUAAAAAGAAACCAUCACCUUAUUUACCCUUCUUCCCCCUCCCCCUCCCCCCGAGGGUGACUACCUUAGGUUAAUUUAGUAAAAAUCCUAACAUUUACUAAUAUAUUAUUUGCCUAUUAUAGUUAAGAAAACUACCAAAAAUUUUCAUUGAUAAAAAUUUCCAUGAUAAAUUCUAAAAACCACUUUAAUUCCAAUAAUCUUUUUCCCAAUGCAAUGUCUCUAUGAUUCGUAGGAUGAAAAGGAAUUUUUCUUGUCAAUAUGACUUUGGAUCCCAAAUUUUAAGGCAAUUUCAAUGCCUAGUGGUGGGUCUAGAAGAAAAUAAAAAAUGUGGAAAUUAAAGUGGAAUAUAAACACAAUUUUUUACUAAUUGUAAGGUGAUGUUACAAUACCUUAUGUAGUUACCAUGAAAGGGACUUUGGAUUCUAAAUUUUGGCUAAUUUCGAUGCCACAAAUAUGGGUCUAGAAGAAAACAAAAAAUAUGAAAAUUAAAGUGGAAUAUAGACACAAAUUUUUACUUGUGAAGUAAUGUUACAAUGCCUUAUGUAAUUAUUUUGAAAGUGAGAUAUCAUUGAAUUGAGAAUUGAUAUUAAAUUUUGUUGGGUUUCCCUCCUUUGUGGGACUCUUAAAUUUACUAAAUAUGGUUUUGCUAUUUUGGCCAACACCUUGGUUAGCACAUGACUCUUGGCAUAUUCAAGAUUGGUUUGAAGUCUUCAAGGAAAGAAAAAAAAAACUACAAGUCUUUUGUCUUUUCCUUUGGUUCAUCAUCUUGGUCGGCAAGAAGACUUUUGGGAUACCUUUUUGGUUCAAAACAAAAAUCAGCCUUCUUCUUCUCCAUUUUUUGGUGCUACACAAUCGGCAAGUUUGUUCUUCAAGUGGGUAACAUUUCUUCACUUGAUAUUUGGGGUUUCUUGCGGUUUGUUCUUGGAGAUUUGGUUUACUUUUGUGAGGUAUUUUCCUCUUGUGAUUUACACCUUGGUGUGUUUGUAAGGCUUAUGCCUUUUGGCCACUUUGUAAACUCUUUUGGUGAUAGUGGAAGAAACUGACCUCCCGGUCGUCGUGGACGUACCUCAAGUUAUUUAAGGGAACCACGUAAAUCUUGUGUGCUCAUUUAUUUUCUGUUAUUCUAUUUAUAUUGCUUCCAUUGAUUUACACUUGUGGGAAAGCCUAUUUUUUUUCAACAUCUGGUAUCAGAGCUGUUAGUUAAUUUGGUUCUGAAUCGUUAUAUUUGUGUGUGUGAAUUAUGGACGGCAACGUUGGGCGUAUGGUUAGUUUCAAUGGCACAAAUUGGGUGACUUGGAAAACUAAAAUGGAAGACCUUUUGUUUUGUAAAGAUUUGAAUGGACCCAUAGAAGGUGAUAGUGGCAAACCGGAAGGAAUGAAAGAUGACGAGUGGAAAAAGCUAGACCGAAAAGCUGUCGGUUUUAUUCGGCAAUGGAUUGAUGAUAGUGUCUUUCAUCAUGUCUCUACAGAAAACUCAGCACAUGGUCUUUGGACCAAAUUGGAGAGUCUUUAUGAUAGAAAGACGGCCGUGAAUAAAGCUUUUUUAUUUUGAAAGCUUGUGAAUUCUAAAUAUAAGGAGGGUACUCCUAUUGCAGAGCAUCUGAAUGAGAUUAAGAGCAUUGUGAAUCAGUUGGCCGCCAUGAAAAUUACUUUUGAUGAUGAUUUGCAAGCUUUGUUACUUCUUAGUUCACUUCCUGAAAGUUGUGAAACUUUGGUGGUCACAGUUAGUAACUCCACACCUGAUGGAGUGGUAACAAUGAGUCAAGUUACUAGCAGCCUGUUGAAUGAAGAGACAAGAAGAAAAUCAUCAGGUUCUUCUCACUCCGAGGCACUUGUGUUAGAAAAUCGGGGGAGAGGCAGGAAUAAGAGUAAGGCUUCGCACAACCGUGAUAAAUCUAGAGGUCGUUCAAGCUCGAUUUCAAAGAAAGAUGUUGAGUGCUAUUAUUGUCACAAGAAAGGGCACAUGAAGCGGGAAUGCAGAAAACUCAAGUUCAAGGAGUAGAACAAAGAGAAAAAUUCAGAGAAAAAGCAAAAUGAUACAGCUGUAGUUACCGAUGGUGAACUCAUGAUUAUUCGUGAUGAUGUUAGCGUUAAUUUGAUUGGCCAAGAGACGGAUUGGGUAAUUGAUUCUGGAGCUUCAUUUCAUGUUACUUCGCGGGCUGAUUUCUUUACUUCUUACUCGCAAGGUGAUUUUGGGAAUGUCCGUAUGGGAAAUGAAGAUGUGUCAAAAAUUGUCGGCAUGGGUGACAUUUGCUUGGAAACAAAUAUUGGAUGCAAAUUGUUGCUUAGAGAUGUGAGGCAUGUACCUGAUAUUCGACUCAAUUUAAUCUCUGCUGGAAAGUUAGAUGAUGAGGGCUACAACAACAAUUUCAGUGAUGGAAAAUGGAAGCUCUCCAAAGGUUCUCUAGUGGUAGCAAAAGGAAAGAAGACUUGUUCUCUUUACACUGUGCAAGCAAAAAUCUGCAAGGGUGUUGCUCAUCCACCGAUUUAUGGCAUAGAAGGCUUGGACAUAUGAGUGAGAAAGGAUUGCAAGUUUUAUCCAAGAAAGAGCUUCUAGCGGGGAUAAAAGGUACGCCUUUGAAAACAUGUGUUCAUUGUUUCCAUGGUAAACAAAAUAGAAUAUCAUUCCGUAGAAACAUUGCAUCUAGAAAAUCUGAUGUUCUAGAUUUGAUACAUUCUGAUGUAUGUGGUCCUUUGAAAGUUAGGACACUUGGUGACGCUUUAUACUUUGUCACUUUUAUUGAUGAUCACUCGAGAAAAGUUUGGACUUAUACACUGAAAACUAAAGAUCAAGUUCUAGAUGUGUUUAAGCAUUUUCAGGCCAAGGUUGAAAGAGAAACUGGUAGACAGUUGAAAUGUGUCCGCUUGGAUAAUGGUGGUGAAUAUAUUGGACCAUUUGAUCAAUAUUGCACUAAUCAUGGCAUCAGACACGAAAAGACAGUCAAAAAGACACCUCAACAGAACGGGGUUGCAGAGAGAAUGAAUCGCACCAUUCUUGAGAGAGUCAGAUGUUUGCUCUCACAUUCUAAAUUGCCAAGAUCUUUUUGGGGUGAGGCAAUGAGGACAGCAGUUGAUCUUAUCAAUUUGUCUCCUUGAGUUCCGUUGAAUGGUGAUGUGCCAGAGAAAGUUUGGACAGGGAAGGAAGUCUCCUAUGAUCACUUGAGGGUAUUCGGCUGUAGAGCUUUUGUUCAUAUUCCAAAAGAUGAGAGAUCCAAGCUUGAUCCAAAAGCAAAGCAGUGCAUAUUUAUUGGCUAUGGGCAUGAAGAAUUUGGCUACAGGUUGUAUGAUCCAGUUGAUAAGAAAGUUGUCAGAAGCCGAGAUGUUGUUUUCUUGGAAGAUCAGACUAUUGAAGACAUUGACAAGCUUGAGUUAGCUGAGUCUAGUACUAAUGAUCUUGUUGAUUUAGAUCCUCUUAAUCCACCUGUUAUUCAUGAUAUUGAUGAGGAAGUGCAGACACCUCAUGAUGAUGCAGCGGAAAAUGAUGUUGAGCCAGAGAUUGAGGGGGAACAGUCACCCCAAGAGCCACUACCACAGACACCGUUGAGGAGAUCUAUCAGAGAAAAACAGCCAUCCAGAAAAUAUUCUUCAAAUAAGUAUGUGAUGAUAUCAGAUCAGGGGGAGCCAAAGACUUAUCAAGAAGUCUUGAAGCAUGAGAACAAAACUGAAUGGCUCAAGGCAAUGAAAGAGGAAAUGAAGUCUUUGCAUGAGAAUCACACCUAUGAUUUGGUGAAGCCGCCUAAAGGGAAGAAAAUUUUGAAAAAUAAAUGGGUCUUUAGAUGAAAGAAUGAUGGGAACAGUUCUCAACCGAGAUUCAAGGCACGACUUGUUGUGAAAGGUUUUGAUCAGAGGAAGGGAGUUGAUUUUGAUGAGAUAUUCUCACUAGUUGUGAAGAUGUCCUCCAUUCGAACUGUGCUUGGUAUAGCUGCGAGUAUGAAUUUAGAAGUUGAGCAGCUUGAUGUGAAGACCGCAUUUUUGCAUGGUGACUUAGAAGAGGAAAUUUAUAUGGAGCAACCUGAGGGCUUCAUAGAUAAGGGUAAUGAUCAGUUAGUUUGCAAAUUGAAGAAGAGUUUGUAUGGAUUGAAGCAAGCACCGAGGCAGUGGUACAGAAAAUUCGAUUCUUUCAUGAUUGAGCAUGGGUAUUCAAGAACCACUUCAGACCAUUGUGUGUUUGUGAAGAAAUAUCUAGAUGGUAAUUUUAUUAUUCUCUUGCUUUACGUUGAUGAUAUGCUUAUUGUGGGCCAAGACACGAGCAAGAUUAGCAAGUUGAAGUCAGAGUUGAGCAAGUCCUUUGCCAUGAAGGAUUUGGGUCCAGCAAAGCAAAUUCUUGGGAUAAGAAUUGUUCGCGACAGAUCACAUGGGCUGAUUUGGUUAUCUCAAGAGAAUUAUGUUAAAAAGGUUCUUGAGAGGUUCAAUAUAGACAAAAUAAAGCCUGUUAAUUGUCCACUUGUAGGCCACUUCAAACUUAGCUCAAGUCAGUGUCCUACAAGUGAUGAAGAGAAAAAUGAGAUGCAGAAAAUUCCCUAUGCUUCAGCAAUUGGUUCUUUGAUGUAUGCCAUGGUUUGUACUCGACCGGAUAUUGCUCACGCAGUUGGGGUUGUUAGUCGAUUUCUGUCUAAUCCGGGAAAAGAACACUGGGCAACAGUGAAAUGGAUUCUGAGGUAUCUUCAGGGCACUUCAAAGAUGAGUUUGUGUUUUGGUAAAGGCGAGCCUAUUCUUGAUGGGUUCACAGAUUCUGAUAUGGCUGGUGAUGUUGAUAGUCGAAAAUCUACUUCUGGUUAUUUGAUUACUUUUGCAGGGGGGGCAGUGACAUGGCAAUCAAGAUUACAGAAAUGUGUUGCUCUCUCCACCACAAAAGCUGAGUUCAUCGCCAUUACAGAAGCCUGCAAAGAAUUAUUGUGGUUGAAGAAAUUCUUACAAGAGUUGGGUUUGAAACAAGAAAGGUAUGUCCUUCAUUGUGAUAGUCAGAGUGCAAUCCACUUGAGUAAGAAUUCUUCAUUUCAUUCGAAGUCGAAACACAUUGAUGUUAGAUAUCAUUGGAUUCGUGAUGUCUUGAAUGAUAAGUUGUUGCAACUUGAAAAAGUUCACACUGAUGAUAACACUUCAGAUAUGUUGACUAAGGCAUUGACUAAGGACAAGCAUGAGAAGUGUCGACUAUUGGCGGGAAUGGUCGAUUCCUCCACAUAAGUCGGGAGGGGGAGAAUUGUUGGGUUUCCCUCCUUUGUGGGAUUCUUAAAUUUACUAAAUAUGGUUUUGCUAUUUUGGCCAACACCUUGGUUAGCACAUGACUCUUGGCAUAUUCAAGAUUGGUUUGAAGUCUUCAAGGAAAGAAAAAAAAAACUACAAGUCUUUUGUCUUUUCCUUUGGUUCAUCAUCUUGGUCGGCAAGAAGACUUUUGGGAUACCUUUUUGGUUCAAAACAAAAAUCAGCCUUCUUCUUCUCCAUUUUUUGGUGCUACACAAUCGGCAAGUUUGUUCUUCAAGUGGGUAACGUUUCUUCACUUGAUAUUUGGGGUUUCUUGCGGUUUGUUCUUGGAGAUUUGGUUUACUUUUGUGAGGUAUUUUCCUCUUGUGAUUUACACCUUGGUGUGUUUGUAAGGCUUAUGCCUUUUGGCCACUUUGUAAACUCUUUUGGUGAUAGUGGAAGAAACUGACCUCCCGGUCGUCGUGGACGUACCUCAAGUUAUUUGAGGGAACCACGUAAAUCUUGUGUGCUCAUUUAUUUUCUGUUAUUCUAUUUAUAUUGCUUCCAUUGAUUUACACUUGUGGGAAAGCCUAUUUUUUUUCAACAAAUUUGACCAACUAUCAUAAGGAAUUUCUUUCAAAAGAGAGAUAAGUAAUAAAUAUCUGUUAUUUAUUGGAAAAAAAAUAUUAUCAUACUAUUAAUGUGUUUAAUUUUUAUUUUUUUUAAAUAGAGAUUGUUAUAUCUUUUUGUAAAAAUAAGUUUCCUUAUAAAAUAAGAAAAAGUGGUAGAAGUAUUUCUAUAAAUAUUUUAUUAAGAGAAAAAACUAUAACAUGAAGAAAAACAUGUAAAGUUUAUAUUUAAAAGAUAGUGAUAUGGGAAAGAGUGGAAAACAUUUCUUGGAAUGACGACAUGUGAUUCAAAGUAAAAUCUCAUUUUUGUUUUCUAUCGUCCUUAUGACUUUUGGUUUUUCUAUUGAGUGCCAAUAAAUAAAAGAAAAAACCCUCCUUUUUUGAAAGUUCAUUUGAACAGUUGUUUGAAGAAAAAAUCUUUAUUAAUCCAAACCCUAUCAACUUAUAUAUGACCUAUUACAUGACUAUGAAGUUUUUUAAAGUAAUUUUAAAGACAACCAAAAAAUAAUUGAUAUGAUAAAUGAUUAAAACCACUUUAGAUUCUAAUAGUAUUUUCUAUCAUAUAACAUCUUAGUGAAAUGUUUCAUAACAAAAUGAAUUAUUCUAUGAAUAUGACUUUGGAUUUCAAAUUUUGAACUUUCUAAUGCCUUAACUUAGUGGUGAGUCUCAUAGAAAAUGAAAGUUAUGGAGAAGUAGAAUGUGGACAUACUUUUUGACUUAAAAAACUGAUGUUACAACACCUUCAAGUAAUUACCUUAAAAAUGAUAUGUCAUUGCAUUGAAAAUGAUAUUAAAUUUAAUGGAGAGAUAAUUUAUAAAAAUAUCACUAAUUUUUUAAAAAGAAUAAUGUGAUCUUACUGUUGUGUUAGGUUGGAAAGAAAUUUAUGCUGGUGUUAAUUUAUUUAUUUAUUUUGCAUAUUGUAAGGUCUCAAACUCGUUUAGAAAUAUGAACAAUGAUGAAGAGUUAAAAAUUUAAAAACAUUAAAUGUAUGGUUAAAGGUAUGGUUAAAGCUAUGUUUAGAUAGUUGAAAUUGCAACCAAAAAAACAAGAAAAUGAAAGAAGUUCAAAUUUUAUUUGAUUAUCUUAAAAAUAUGAAAUAAAUUACAUAUAAUGAAAAUUGUUUAGAGUUUUAUAUACUUUUAAUAUUUACUCUUUACAAAAAAGAAAAAAAAGCAAGUCAAUUUUAAUGAACUUAUGGAAAAUAUUAAACUUAAGCUUAAUUUUUUAUUUUUCUUGAUUUUUCUUUCCUUCCAUAAUUUUCCUUCACAAUCUUUCCCACUUUAUUCAAACUUUCCAUGGUCUAUACUUUAUACAUGUUUUAUCUCCUUUUUAAUUAAAAACCUUUAAAUUUUCCAAUUAAAAUUCCAAGAUAGGCUAAUAAAAACUUAAAAUUAAUAUUACAUUUUAAACAAACUAGAUUGAUUUGAUAGAUGAUUCAAAUCAAACCUAAAUUCAAACUUAACCCAUUCAAAUUUAGCCUCUAAUGUGAGGUAUUUGACCCAAACUUAGCUCAAACUCAUUUUUACCUACUAAAGUUAGGCUUAAAUUGACUCAUAGUACUUUUAGUUGAGUUGAUUAGGUUGUAUGAUCAUAACUAGGUUUGGUAAGGUUGAGUUAGUUUGAACCUAUUCAUAAUUUUUUUUCUUUUUUAUACUUCUUUUAUAUCAUAAUUUUAAAAAUUAAAUUGGAUAACUUUUCAACAUAAUAACAAAAAUAAAUCAAUUUAUGUAUCCGUCCAACAAAAAUGAAAUAAUACAAUUAAAAUUCAACAUUUUUCUUUAAAAACUAAAAAAAAUAAAAACACACACACAUACAAAAUAGGUAUCAUUAUAUAAAAUAAUAUAAAUUAUAAAUAUAUAAAAUUAGGUUUGGGCUAGCUUGGGUUGUCAAACCUUAGCCUAAGUAGUUUCACGAUUCUCUACUACUUGUAAAAGUUUUAUUAAAAUUAAUAAAAAAGAAAAAAGAAAUAAAAUUUUUUUAAAAAAUAUAAAUGCAUAAUUAAAAUUAUGCUAAUGAAACAAAGGGAAGCAAACAAGAUCAAAAUUUUUCUCUCAAAAGGUGUAGUGUAAUGACUUCAAAUUUUAAGUUUUGAUGGUCAAUCUGCCUUCAAUUAUAGGGAUAAGAAGCUUGUAGAGAAUAAAAAAUAUAUAGCAAGUGGGUAUAUAUAGAUAUAAAAUAUAUAUAUAUAUAUUGUAUGCAUCCCACUUUUGUCACGAGCAAACCCACUAGUAAACCUUUAUCAUCUUAUUAUAUAACAAGUGGGUAUAACUAGAUAUAAUAAAAAUAGGUCCUUGUUUAUUAAAUUCAAAAGUUUAUGAUCAUCACUUAGCAUUUAACAAAGUGGUACAAAUGAAGGUAAAAAUAGUAGUAUAGUCAAUAUUUUCCUACAAAAAAAGUUACUUAAUUUAAAGAAUAUUAUAAUUGAUGUGUGAUUUUUAUUUUUAUUUUUAUCAAGAAGCGAUUUUAGAGAUAAGUUUUUAUCAAGAAACAAUCUUCAAUGUUAAUUUACCAUCAUUAUCUCUAAUAUUGUACCAUUGAAUGCAAUUGCAAAACAUCUAUGUAAUUGUUAGUAAAAAAAAUUUCAUGCUUAUUAUGCAAUAUUUGUUUUAAUUUUCAAGUUGCAAUUAUAUAGUCUAAAGGUUGAGGUUCUUAGAUAAUUAUUGUUUUGAUGAGAAGUCUAAUCAUGUUGUUGUUGUUCAUGUCACUUUAAUUAGACCAAGUUUAAUGAUACUUUAGACCAUAUUUAAGGAUCCUUUUCAAAUAUCUAACCUUUGGUAUGCAAUUUGAAAAGAGGAUGGAGAGAGGAUGGUUGUUCUCCAUAAUCCAUUAAUAAAUAAAUAAAAAUAAUUAUAUUUAGCAGGAAAAUGAAAAAUUAUUGAGAUCAUUAACAAGUAAUUUUGGUAAAACUUGAUAUUUAAUGAAGUAAGAUGACUUUAAGUUAAAUUAAUUGUAAUUAAGUCAUUAAGUCUUAGUUAUUAAGACGAUUUCUCAAAAUCAUUUUUAAAUUUAUUCUUAAAAUUAAGUCAUGAAAUUGAUUUAUCAUCACCCUCUAAAGUCUUUUCAAUUUUGUACAUUUAUUUGAUACAUAUUUAAUCAUAAACAAUAAAAAAAAGGUGUUACCUCAAAAUUUUUAAUUCAAACUCCUCCAAGAUUAUUCAUGACUAAAAUUCAUUAAUUAAUUUACAUUACAAGCUUUGAAAGAAACUUGUUUUAGAACAUAAAAUUGAUAGAGAUAGUACAUAUUUUAAACUUUUAAUUAAAAUAAAAAAAUCACAACAAAAUAAUUUGAUGGAUGUUUUAGUAUUCGAAAAGAUCAUGAGUCAUUUGGUCAUGAUUUUAGAAAAGUUAGAAAUGUUCUAUAAUGCUUAAAAACAUUUUUGUUACAAAAAUUAAGUAUUUGAUAAAGUUAAAAUUCAUUUUCUAGGUAAUUGGUGGUGCCUAUGAAAUAUUUUUUUUGGUUAUACAAAUUUAUUAGUGUGAGAUGAUAUGCAACAACUUUAAAGUAUAGCAAUUAUUGAAGUUUGGACCAACCAUAUAUGUUAAAGGUGCUUCACUCCACCUUCUCAUUUUGUAUUAUCUUGUACCCUAAAAGAUUUGAAAUGAGUCUUAUUUAUAAGCAUUAUAAAUAAUGUUGUGGACCCCGCAUUUCAGCCCAUGCGUUUUCCACUCGAUGGCGAGCUCGAUUUUUGUUUAAAAAAAUGACUUGGAGUCGCCACUUAUUUUUGUUUUAUUUUUAAAAGAGUAAACAAAAUAAAAAAGAAAACUCUAAGUGUGACUCCUUAUUUUGGAAAAGGUGGUCUAUGGAAAACCGGAUCAGGCUUGGGGGUCAGGUUACUCAUCAGGAAGGUACGGUAAAGACCGUAGCACCCCUCUAAGUCCCUAAAGUCGGGUCUCUACUAAUAAAAUGAAGCUGACGUGGCGAUCAAUAGGAAAAUCAACAGAUACUCAAAUCAACCAUGCACACAUAGGAAUCAAAACAUGCAUAGAAAAUGACCAGAAUGGGAAUGGAUGCAUACCUGAGCCACAAACGAGCAAUGCGCUAUUAUAAAAAUGGGGUCAGUGUAUAAUAAAGAGCACAAAACUUAUCACAUGCGUCACCAAAUAGAAAUGAAAACUGUUCGAGGGAAAAUUGAAUUUUUGAAAUUUAUUUGAAAAUUGGAGUUUUAGAGAUUAUUUGAAAAUUGGAGUUUUAGAGAUUGUUUGAAAAUUGGAUUUUUAGAAAUUAAAUAUAAGAAUGAGAAUUUUAGAAAUUAAAUUUGAAAGAAAUUGGAAUUUUGAAAAUUAUUUGAGAAUUUAGGAUUUUUUUUUUAGAAAUUAAAUUACGGAAAUUGAGACUUUAGAAAUUAAAUUUUGAAAGAAAUCAGAAUUGAAAGUUAUUUGAGAAGUAAAAACUAUGAAAAUUGAAUUAUAAAAAUUGGAAAUCUUGGAAAUCGUUCGAAGGCAAAAUUUUUAAAAAUAAAUGAAUAAAAUGAUAAUAAUAAACAAGUAACGAAAUAAAUGCGAGAAUUGGAACAUUGGAAACUGAAAAAAAUUAAGUUCGGAAAUUGAAAAAUUGGAAUUUCAGAUAACUAAAUUUGGGAAUCGGAAUUUUGAAAAAUUAUUUAAAGACGAAAUUUUAAUAAACGAAUAAGUGAAUAAAUAAAUUAAUGGAAUAAUAAUAAUGACAAAAUAAUAAAGAUUAGGUAAAUAAUUGCGAAAAAUAAAAUUUUAGAUAUUGGAGAUUGAAUUUAGAGAUUGAAAAUUUAAGAAAUUAUUUAGAGAUGAGAUUUUUAAUAAAUGAAUAAGUGAAGAAAUAAAUGAAUGGAAUAAUAAUAAUGACGAAAUAAUAAAAAUUAGAUAAAUAAUUGCGAAAAAUAGAAUUCUAGAGAUUGAAAAUUGAAUUUAGAGAUUAAAAAUUUGAGAAAUUAUUUAGAGAUGAGAUUUUAAAUAUAUGAAUAAGUGAAUAAAUAAAUUAACAAGAUAAUAAUAAUAACGAAGAUAAUCAUUUAAACAACUGAAUGUGAAUAGUGAGAUUUUUUAGAUUGGAAAUUAAAUUUGGAAAACAGAAUUCUGAAAAAUUGAACUUUAAUUAUUGGAAUUUGUAAAAUAAAUAAAUGGAAUGAUAAUAAUAAUAAUGAAAAUAAUAUUUAAAUGAAUGAACAUGAAUAGUGGAAUUUUUUAAAUUGAAGAUUAAAUUCGAAAGUCAGAUUUUUGAAUAAUUGAACUUUAAUGAUUUGAAUUUUUAAAAGAAAUAAAUAAAUAAAUAUAGAAUAAUAAUAAUAAUAACCAAAAUAAUGUUUAAACGAAUGAACAUGAAUAGUGGAAUUUUUAAGAUUGAAAAUUAAAUUUGGAAAUCAGAUUUUUGAAGAAUUGAACUUUAAUGAUUAGAAUUUUUAAAAGAAAUAAAUAACUAAAUAUGGAAUAAUAAUAAUGAUAAUAAAAAUAAUGUUUAACAAAUGAACGUGAAUAGUGAAAUUUUUUUGAGAAUGAAAAUUAAAUUCGAAAGUCAGAUUUUUGAAGAAUUGAACUUUAAUGAUUAGAAUUUUUAAAAGAAAUAGAUAAAUAAAUAAAAUAAUAAUAAUAAUAAAAAUAAUAUUUAAACGAAUGAACGUGAAUAGUGGAAUUUUUUAUAUCGAAAAUUAAAUUCAAAAGUCAGAUUUUUGAAGAAUUGAACCUUAAUGAUUUGAAUUUUUUUAAAAUAAAUAAAUAAAUAAAUAUGGAAUAAUAAUAAUAAUAACAAAAAUAAUGUUUAAAUGAAUGAACGUGAAUAGUGGAAUUCUUGAGAUUGAAAAUUAAAUUCGAAAAUCAGAUUUUUGAAGAAUUAAACUUUAAUGAUUGAAAUUUUUAAAAGAAAUAAAUAAAUAUGAAAUAAUAAAAAUAAUGUUUAAACGAAUGAACAUGAAUAGUGGAAUUUUUUUAGAUUGAAAAUUAAAUUCGAAAGUAAGAUUUUUGAAGAAUUGAACUUUAAUGAUUGGAUUUUUUUUAAAAGAAAUAAAUAAAUAAAUAAUAAUAAUAAUAACAUAAAUAAUAUUUAACGAAUGAACGUGAAUGGUGAAAUUUUUUAUAUUGAAAAUUAAAUUCGGAAGUCAAAUUUUUGAAGAAUUGAACUUUAAUGAUUGGAUUUUUUUUAAAAGAAAUAAAUAAAUAAAUAUGAAAUAAUAAUAAUAACAAAAAUAAUGUUUAACAAAUGAACGUGAAUAGUGGAAUUUUUUUUAGAUUGAAAAUUAAAUUCGGAAGUCAGAUUUUCGAAGAAUUGAAUUUUAAUGAUUGGAAUUUUAAAAAAAAUAUAUAAGCAAAUAAAUAAAUAGAAUAAUAAUAACAAGAAUAAUAAUUAAAUAAAUAAACAUGAAUAUUGGAAUUUAAAAAUGUGAAUUUUAGACGGUUACAUGAUAACAGAAUUUUUUUACAAAAACUAUAUUUUUAACAUAUAAAGAAGAAGAAUCAAGAGGGCCAAACACUAGGCCAAUGGGGUCUACACCUAAGAAGCAACGGACUAGGUCCAUAAAAACCAAAUAGCCUUCAGUAAAGCCCAAUCAUAGAGGGCCCAAAUGAACAUUACCAAUCAAGUUCAAGGUUCAUCAUUCAUCAUUGUGAGAAAUCAAAUGUGCCAAAGAGAGGCACACAGAAGGUUCAUAAGAGUGUUUGUUCCACAUUCUAUCCCAUCUCAGUCCACUAACAUGAAAAAACAACAGCAAAAACAAUAACGCAAAUCAACAAAUCUGAAUCUUCAAUACUAAAAGGGAAACUAAAAUAAAGCCCCCGUUGAAAGCAGCUUGGUCCAUUCUCUGAAGACAAUAAACGAACAAACACAGAACUCAAAAUUUCAAGUUUGCUUAACGAACCUCUGUCUUCUCUCGCUGUGAUCUUCCCCUCUGGUCGUUCUCGUUCUCCUUCCUGUUAUGGAAUCUGCUUCAGCUCCAGGAAUCUUUUUUUUUUUCAGUUCCCUUUCCUCUCGUUUUCUGCAACCCUUCGCUUCUUGAAUCAGCCGACCCACAAUCCCUUCUCAAGAUAACACAUUAUUACAUAAAUCUCCCCCAUAAUUAUUAUAAUUUAAGAGAUCACAUAUUACCAAAGAAAUUCCUAUGCGCUCAACUCUCCAAAAAUUCCCUAGAACCCUCAAUCUCCGGAACUGAAAAUCUCCUCUGUUUUUCUUAUUCCUUCCUCAGCUGAAAAUCCCCCGGUCCCGAACCCAAAAAUCCUCCACCCAACUCUCCUCCUUUUUUUUUUCUCAAUCUCCCCUUUUUCCCGCUACUUCUCGUCCUCUUCAGCCGCCCAAAUACUGCUCGCCCCGUCCCAUCUCAUGGCCGCCCAAAGCAGUCCAUUCUGUCAUCUCUGGC
rnacentral:lncRNA from 1 species